rnacentral:lncRNA from 1 species
GAGAGGAUCACCGUGGUAUCGUGGAUACCGAGUUGAUGGAUAUUUGUGAUGUUGUGCGAGAGUCAAGGGUAAAGGUCAAGCUCCUUGUGCUCAUGUAAUGAUUACUACGGUAUGGUAAUACCAAGCUUGAUUGGAUCCUGAGAUGAUCGUGUGAUGUCCGUGAUGGUAAGAUGAUGUAUGUGAUGGUUAUGAGGUAACCCGAGCAGAGUAAGUUGGUGCAUGAUAGCCUCAUCAUGUUGUAUGCUAGUAUCACCAUGUUCAUAUGUUCGUGCCAUGCUCAUAUUGUUCUAGCUGUAUCAUGUUCAUGUUGUACAUGCUAUGAUCGAUCUGUUAUAUGACGCUAAUCCUUGUUAACCUGUAAUUGCCAUGCUAUUGUCUGUCUUGAUUGCUCUUGGUUGCUGUAAGCUUGCAAGUACAUUCAACUUACUGACCUGGCGUGUUAUGCCAGUUUGCAGGUCAUGCCGGAUUUGAUUGUUUGUUUGUUGCGGAUUCCUUGUUUGCGAGCUAGGAUAAGCGUUCCAGCCAGAGUCCCUGCGGAGUGGAGUUCAUCAGUGUCGUCAUUGUUCCGCUGCUACAAGUCAUUCCGCUGCUUCACGUUGUUCUGCUGCUUGCAUAGAGCAACCGUGGCAGGCGUAGUGUCGCCGUGCCGAUGUAAUCCCUUGUAUCCAUAUAGAUUUUAAUAAAGAGCUGAUUUGUUCAACGCUAAGCAGUGUCGUAUCCCAGAAGACUUCUCCUCGAUCUCUAGGCUGGAAUACUGGGUGUUCCGGUUUCUCUGAGCCGGGGUGCCACAAUCCCCAUGCCAUCAGUGCACUUGGGGGUGCAGAUCGAGGCUGAAGCCACUUCCCAAUGUUCUCCCUUCAAACAUACAUUGCAUGCUGACAGCAGGAUCCCUCGGGGUAGGCCCAUUGCAAGGAUACGACCUAGAAGGCAUGAACGGCCCGAGUCCACAUCAUGAGAAUAACUCGGCUAUCCCGGCACCUCAAAGCCCAUCCGGCUAAUGAAUACCACAAUAUCCAUCCGAUUGGACCAACCGUGAUCAUCUAAUAUAAAUGUUGCCCACGACAUCUUCAGAACAACAUUAUGACAUUUGGGACAAUUCUUCUGAUAAUCACUGUCAUUACGGCUCGGGUAUCACAUCGUGGCUCAUAACAACCCUUGUACCCCACCUUUCCGCCGUCCCAUAUAAGGCGAGGAUGGAAGGAGAUCUAGACAAGGGAGACAAGAUUCAUAGGUAAGACAUACACACAUCAACGACAGCCCCCCUUCUCCCGGGAGAGACACGCGUGAGAUCUGGGCUUAGUAUGAGAUCACGCGAUCCAGCGUUUUGAGCCAUUAGAUUAGCAUCCAGUGGUACAGAUAGGCUCAGGUGGGUUUCCGAUCAGGUCGGUAGUACAAUUUACAUUUACAUCCUUGGAAAAAUCCUUUUAGUGGGAACCGACCUCUAGAUAGGUUUCUGUACAAUUCGCACAGACAUGCUCAAGUUUCAGGUGAGUUUCUGUACCAGUCAACUAAGUACUGUCCAUUCAAAAAUAUGAAGUGGUGAGCAUUGACAUGGCAAAACUUUCUUCCGCGCCCAGGGUUAUGAGAUCAUGGCUGUUCAUGUUCUACCAGCGCACCAACUCUUUCAUCCAACCCACUGUUAGCACUAAAUUUGUACAAGCCCGCUCUCUCAUCUAAUACAUGAAGUCAACAGGAAGUAGAAUAAAUAUAAGCACAAAUCGGAGUAUCACAGGAUGCAAUGGAAAAUAUACUUAGUCCACUGAACCACUAUUUCAACUCAUUAAUUAGGACAUGUCAAGCAUCAAGAAUUUAACAAGAACAAACAUCUAGUAGUAGCGUUGAUACUUAGACAAAUAUUUUUAUUUUUUCAUCGGACAGACACGACUGUCAUGUAACACAACUUCCUUGCAUGUUCUGCAAGUGUGCGGCACCCGUAGAGUAACCCCUAAUUUCUUCUUAUUUGACCAUGCCUUCUUUUCAUUGUCUCUGUGGCCCUUAAUUCGUGAGCAUGUACCCCUCGCAUUGACAACGGUCGGUGUUAGGAUAUCAACUUGGGCAAGCAAGGUGCUACCAACGUAUGAUUCUUGUUCUUCUUGUGUAGUUUGAGGAACAACGAAGGCAGACUGCAAGACAACAGAUUCAAGAUUGCACAGACCCGUAUUGAGUGAGUCAAGUGUUACGCUCGAUUUUUUAGCACAUUGGAAGAUAUCUUCUAACUUGUUCCGUGCCAUCGAGAUCUUUCUUCUGGUAUCCAUGUCAAUGCGGUCAAUCAGAUUAUCUUCAAGUGCAUACCCUUCGUUGUCAAAUACAAUAUCCCUACAGGAAAAAGAUAACAUUGUGAGUAGAGCUAACACUUACAAAUUUUGAUAGAACUAUGGAAAAUAAUUACCUUUUGCACAUUUUCUCCCAUCUUUUGAGAACAUAAAAGGUUGGAAGCUCAUUUCUCUUUGCACCCCUCAAGACGCGUAUGACAUGGUGGCACACAAUGCCCUUGGACUCAAAGAGCUUGCAAGAACAUUUAGCAAUCAUGGUUGUUGUCUCUAAAUGCAUGUCUCUUACCUUAUUUUUCCGAUGACUUUGAUCACUAAUGGAAACAAUCUUCAGCUCCCCCACAGUCGUAGUAUCCUGGACAUCACAAUGCUCUCUAGCAGCAAGUACCUCUAAUUGAAACAAGGCAAAGACCUCUGAUUAAAACAAGGUGGUUCUGAGAAUAACAGCUAGGGCAAUGUCCAUGAAAUAUGCUGGCACCCAUGACCCAUGAAGCAGGUAACAUUUUGCAAACCACUCAUUUUCUUGCAAGCCAAAAUCUGAUAUUAGAGACUUCCAACUUUCUUCGAAUUAUGUAGGUGUUUCAGAAUUCCACACACAUGAGUCCAACCUCUUGUAGAAUAAUCCAUCACUUCUCAAUCCGAGAGAGACCUUGAGAGGAACCUUCUUCAUAAUUUGCCACAUGCACAACCGAUGCGUGGUAUGGGGUAGAAGUGCCUUGAUAGCGUUCCUCAUGCUACCACACUCAUCCGUUAUAAUAACACUAGGUGCAACCCCAUCCAUGCAUUUAAGGAUAUCUCAAACAACCAUAAGUAGUCCUCAGUUGUCUCAUUCAGUAAGAACCCACCCCCUAAGAAGACACCUUGCAUAUGAUGGUUGAUACCCGUGAAGGGCGCAAAAAUGUAGUCAUACUGAUUAGUGCUAUAUGUGGAAUCAAAGGACAACACAUCAUGGAAAUGUUUGUAGUUUUUCCUGCUAGUUGCAUCUGCCCAAAACAAACGCAACAAUGUACCAACUUCGUCAACUUCAUAGUCAAAGAAAAAACCAGGGUUGAGUUCCUUCAAUCUACCAAAAUGGUCCACUAGCAUUUGAGCAUCAAAAUUCUUGAUUUUAUUUUUGAACCUAGAAUAGUAAUUCUGCACCUCUUUCUUCAUGCAUCCCACAUCUGGAAACCCCCCUUCACCAAUUUAGAGUAGCCUAUAUGCUUGGGCUGGUCCGAUGCUAGCUUUGUGGCAAUCAAAUAGUAUUGACUUCACCUUCUCACUUACAUUCCUGUUUGAUCUAAUCAAGUGUUGCUUGCUAGGAGAAACUAGUUCGUGAUUGUGGUGUUCAACCAUUGAAGCUAUCUUAUAUUUCCCAUUAUCAUCCCGAUUGACAUAAAUGUGAGCAUCACAUCCACACCUAGUAAAUUUCACCUUGCAUCUUUUACUUGAAGUAUUCGUGUUCAAGCAGUUAACAACAUAAGUACCUUUUGUGGACCGGUAUCCCUCCCUUGAGCAUAAGAAAUGCUUCCACAUAAUUACAUUCUUCACAAGCCUUUGUGCUCCAAUGCGGACACCAAAUCCCACAUGCUGUGCAUACUUCUUAUAAAAUGUCUCCACGGCAGCAAUAUCAUCAAAUGUCAUGCCUACUGUUGGUUUGAGUGCAUCAUCACACAGAGGUUUAUACAACGAACCCUGCAAAUGAACACAAGACUGCCAUUAAAUAAACAUAGUUUCCAUAGUUCAGAAAGAUCGAUCACAUUUUACACAUGAAAUUUUUCUAUAUUUUACACGCCUAACAUUCUACACAACAUUCAGGUUUUCAGGUAUUGUGUAACAUGUUUCUCCACUUCCAUAAUUUUCUUCACAAGAUAUUAGGUGCUCAUGUCUGAGGUAAACACGUAGAAAAUAAGGCGAUCAUCCUAAAUUUGAAGUGCAUAUUAUGAUAACCUGCAUUAUGAACCAUUUUGAAUCCGAGGUAGCCCGAAUAUAGUCGGUACAAUUACGAAGAGAAGAAAAACUUGAACAUCUAAUCAGAGAUAAACACACAUAAAAGAAUCUGCAUUAUACUUACAUCUAGAGAAAAGCAUUGUCUCUUCUUAGGCGUAGAGAAUUCAUCAAAAGGAAGCAUAGCAGAAUUAAUCUCUGAAAAAGAGUUGGCAUCACUUAAUUCAAUGCCAUGGACCGAUUCUGGAAAAACAAAAUAAAAACCUUAAACAGACAUAUAUUGUCUGGCGGUGCUGCAAGCAAUGAGUGAAGGUUUCAACUUGGAAAGGAAGGCGGAAACGGGGGAAAUGUGGCUUUUGGUAAGGGGGAGGGGCGGGGAGGUAGAUAUUUCCGCGGAAGCCGAAAAUUUGGAAUCGCUUCAGCCAAAAAACUGGCGCGCAAAGUGUCAUCAGACAUGGUCCCUUAUCCAAAACUGUGUACGAUAUGUGAGCAUCACAAACGAUUCAGAUAGCUUAACCCGUGUGUGUUGAGUUUGAACGUCAAAAAUUUUGGUUCGAAUUUCCAUGGUUAAAGUGGUCAUCCACGUCAUUGCAUAAUUUGGGCACACAAAGGAGACUACAGCACACCCACACUUCUUAAUCGAGCAAGUUCAGCAAUUAAACAGAGCUAGCUGACCUAAACAUUUCCCUAACAAAUUAAAGACUGACGCUCUUAAUUAAACAAAACAAAGAGUAGUACUACGGCUGGUGCUCGUUGAUCUCUGCCACCGCCUCCAUGUCCAGCUCGCGCCCGACGGUCUCCUGGGGAAGGGGCUCCAUGGCAUCAAUUGCACCAUACUCGGCAAGCAUCUCGCCGUCCGCGUCCGCCAUAUCUUUGGCAUAGGCCGUCACGAGCUGGGCAUGGGCGGCCGUUAUCUGGGCUCUGGCGGGCUCCGUCGUGGCACCGUUGUCAGAGAUUGCCAGCUCUUCGGCCGUCGGUUGCCGACCGUUGUCAGAGAAGCUUCGUUCGAUUUGUACGGUGACAACCACGAGCUGGGCGUAGACGGCCUCGACAUGGUAGUGGGCGGCCUCCAUCAGGGCGAAGGCCGCCGCUGCGGAAUGGACAGCUACUGUGCCGCUCUCGCCAGUUGCUAUCCCCGAGGCAGAUGCUGCUGCCACCGCCUGAGAAGCAACAAUGGUCGUUUGGGCUGCCUUGGCCGCCCGGACGCAGACUGCGGUCGCCCUCAUGAAGCUUGUUAGCACGCGCCUGGCGACUGCGGCCGCGCUCUCGCCGGAGUGGGCCGCCGAAGUUGCCCUCACGACGUGGGUCCACGUCCCCAUCUUUCACCGGCGACAAAUGAACAGUGAAAUGAUAUUUGGGGAGUGAGCUAGUGUGCUUGACACACCGGCUGUGGACUGUAGCCAACGCACCUUCUCGCGUAAGUCAUAGGCGUACUAUACACCAACGGUGCUCCAAGAUAUUUUGGGCUACAUCUCACACGGUUGGUGAUAAUAAACUGUGUGCGAUCUACUUGAUUUAUCGUCUUGAUUUGAAUUAUGUAAUGGGGUCACAACUACAAAGGAUGGUGUUUGAAUUGUUAGAACUUUUAGCUGUAGUGAACAUGCAACUAUAGGUGUGUCGUCAAAAAAAUUGAAAUUAUUCAGGGUUCGUUUGGACGUUUUUAUAUAUUAACUGGGUUUCCCAGGCAUUUUAUGUGCAUAAUUCAAAUUUGAACUACAUGCACAUGCUCCAGUGCAUAUAAACUGGUUGAAAAAUCAAAUAUGUGUCCUUGAUUGCAUGCUUAGGUCCCAUGCAAGAAAUGGGAAUGAAUUUCAAACACCCUUCCACCGUCACUCGGCCGCAAACAUUGAGAUACAUGGUUUUUAAAUUCUAGUAAAUCCAAAACUCGUGUGAAAUUCAUGAAACUUGGCAUGCUAUCAUGGAGCGGCGUCAACAUGUCGUGGUAAAUUUUUUGUCCCAUUUGGGGCAGGUUUGGGUAUAAGCUUCUCACAACAAGCAUGAUGGUUUCAGUAGGGAACGUGCCACCUUUGGGGACGAAAUGAUAUCCGUUGCCUCUUAUUGCUUUCAAAAUUUUCCGAGUGUCAACAUAGAACAACAGGAGUGUUGUGUUCAAUUUUGGAAUUUUUCGGGGUUCGUUUGGACAUUUUUAUAUAUUAACUGGGUUUCCCAGGCAUUUUAUGCGCAUAAUUCAAAUUUGAACUACAUGCACAUGCUCCAGUGCAUAUAAACUGGUUGAAAAAUAAAAUAUGUGUCCUUGGUUGCAUGCUUAGGUCCCAUGCAAUAAAUGGGAAUGAAUUUCAAACACCCUGCCACCGUCACUCAGCCGCAAACAUUGAGAUACCUGGUUUUUAAAUUCUAGUAAAUCCAAAACUCGUCUAAUAUUCAUGAAACUUGGCAUGCUAUCAUGGAGCGUCAUCAACAUGCGGUGGUAAAUUUUUUGUCCCAUUUGGGGCCGGUUUGGGUAUAAGCUUCUCACAAAAUAGAGCUUCACACAACAAACGUGAUGGUUUCGUUAGGGAACGUGCCACCUUUGGGGAUGAAACAAUAUCCGUUGCCUCUUAUUGCUUUCAAAAAAUUUCGAGUGUCAACAUAGAACAACAGGAGUGUUGUGUUCAAUUUUGGAAUUUUUCGGGGUUCGUUUGGACAUUUUUAUACAUUAACUGGGUUUCCCAGGCAUUUCAUGUGCAUAAUUUAAAUUUGAACUACAUGCACAAGCUCCAGUGCAUAUAAACUGGUUGAAAAAUCAAAUAUGUGUCCUUUGGGGCAUGCUUAGGUCCCAUGCAAGAAAUGGGAAUGAAUUUCAAACACCAGGGCACUGUUGAUUGCCGGCAAAACGUUGAGAUACUUUGUUUUUAAAUUCUAGUAAAUCCAAAACUCCUUUUAGUUAGAACACCUGUAUGCAAACCGAUAGCUUCCCCAGGAAGCCAAGGGAAAAUGUUCCAAGCAGGAUUUUUGCAGCUCUUGAUCGCAAACGUUUUAGAUAGAAUACCCGUAUGCAAAGUGACAGCUAUGGUCUUCCCCCUUAAGUCGAGGGAAAAUCCGCAGCGUAGGAUUUGUGCAUCCCUUCAACGCAAAUGGUUGUUUUGGAUGACCCGUGUGCAACCACGUACAAACAAUUUGGUAAGAUUUGCAUCUGUCAUAUUGGGUAUGUUGCCAUUUGUCAAACUGGAAAGAUUUACAUUUGUUGAUCUAGUAACGUUGCCAUUUGUCAAUCCUUGUAACACUGCGAUUUGUCGAAAUAUGCAGCUAGAAAUCACUAGCACUAUGUAAUUUUUGCAACUAAAUUCAGUAAUUAAGCAUAGAUUUCAUUCAUAGAUUAAGUAGUCAUUCUUAAUUUAUACAAAUAGUUCAACUCGACAGCUGAAUUGACCAAACUUCUCCCCAAUUGUUGCCAACCACGUACUGAAAUAACUAGUUCAAAUAUAUAUACUUGCUAAUUUUAAGUCUGUUGUACAGUUCGACCACACGUCUAUAGUCAGAUGAACUGAACAAAAUAGCCCCUAAAUACUACUACUACCACGAAGGGGCUUUGUGCUACUUCCGGCAGCCUCUCCUCUGCCGAGCGCGCUCAGUAAGAGGCAGAGGAGGAGGAGGAGGAGCCUACCGACGAGUUGGACAAAUGCAAUACGGUGCCUGCCGCUGCUGCACGUUCAGCGACGCUCGCCAGCUCGAACACCCACUGCCGCUCCAGACAAUCCCUCUCGAAGUGGCCAGACUGCUCGUAGAUCUCCUGAUUCCUCGCCUCCGUAUCGGCGUGUGCUGCGGCCACGGCGGCGGUUGAAGGAAAUAUGCCUAGAGGCAAUAAUAAAGUUAUUAUUUAUUUCCUCAUAUCAUGAUAAAUAUUUAUUAUUCGUGCUAGAAUUGUAUUAACCGGAAACAUAAUACAUGUGUGAAUACAUAGACAAACAUAGUGUCACUAGUAUGCCUCUACUUGACUAGCUCGUUGAUCAAAGAUGGUUGAGUUUCCUAACCAUAGACAUGAGUUGUCAUUUGAUUAACAAUAUCACAUCAUUAGGAGAAUGAUGUGAUUGACUUGACCCAUUCCGUUAGCUUAGCACUUGAUCGUUUUAGUUUACUGCUAUUGCUUUCUUCAUGACUUAUACAAGUUCCUAUGACUAUGAGAUUAUGCAACUCCCGAUUACCGGAGGAACACUUUGUGUGCUACCAAACGUCACAACGUAACUGGGUGAUUAUAAAGGUGCUCUACAGGUGUCUCCGAUGGUACUUGUUGGGUUGGCAUAGAUCGAGAUUAGGAUUUGUCACUCCGAUUGUCGGAGAGGUAUCUCUGGGCCCUCUCGGUAAUGCACAUCGCUAUAAGCCUUGCAAGCAAUGUGACUAAUGAGUUAGUUGCGGGAUGAUGCAUUACAGAACGAGUAAAGAGACUUGCCGGUAACGAGAUUGAGCUAGGUAUUGAGAUACCGACGAUCGAAUCUCGGGCAAGUAACAUACCGAUAACAAAGGGAACAACGUAUGUUGUUAUGCGGUUUGACCGAUAAAGAUCUUCGUAGAAUAUGUGGGAGCAAAUAUGAGCAUCCAGGUUCCGCUAUUGGUUAUUGACCGAAGAUGUGUCUCGGUCAUGUCUACAUAGUUCUCGAACCCGUAGGGUCCGCACGCUUAACGUUCGGUGACGAUCGGUAUUAUGAGUUUUUGUGUUUUGAUGUACCGAAGGUAGUUAGGAGUCCCGGAUAUGAUCACGGACAUGACGACGAGUCUCAAAAUGGUCGCGACAUAAAGAUCGAUAUAUUGGACGACUAUAUUCGGACACCGGAAGUGUUGCAGGUGGUUUCGGAGAAAACCGGAGUGCCGGAGGGUUCCCGGAACCCCCCGGGAGAAAUAGUGGGCCUUAUGGGCAUUUGUGGAGAGAGAGAGGGCUGGCCUAGGGUAGGCCGCGCGCCCCUCCCCCUCUGGUCCGAAUUGGACUGGGAGAGGGGGGGCGGCGCUCCCCUUUCCUUCUCCCUCUCCCCCUUCCUUUCCCCCUCCUAGUAGGAGUAGGAAAGAGGGGAGUCCUACUCCUACUAGGAGGAGGACUCCUCCUCCUGGCGCGCCCUACAGGGCCGUCCGGCCUCCCCCUUGACGGGGGCAGGGGGCACCUCUAGACACAGAAGUUGAUCUGUUGAUCUCUCCCAGCCAUGUGCGGUGCCCCCCUCCACCAUAUUCGACCUCGGUAAUAUCGUAGCGGUGCUUAGGCGAAGCCCUGCAUCGGUAGCAUCAUCAACACCGUCAUCACGCCGUCGUGCUGACGGAACUCUCCCGCAAAGCUCUCUUGGAUCGGAGUUCGUGGGACGUCAUCGAGCUGAACGUGUGCUGAACUCGGAGGUGCCGUACGUUCGGUACUUGGAUCGGUCGGAUCGUGAAGACAUACGACUACAUUAACCGCGUUGUCAUAACGCUUCCGCUUUCGGUUUAUGAGGGUACGUGGACACACUCUCCCCUCUUGUUGCUAUGCAUCACCAUGAUCUUGCGUGUGCGUUGGAAUUUUUUUGAAAUUACUACGUUCCCCAACAGUGGCAUCCGAGCCAGGUUUAUCCGUAGAUGUUAUAUGCACGAGUAGAACACAAGUGAGUUGUGGGCGAUACAAGUCAUACUGCUUACCAGCAUGUCAUACUUUGGUUCGGCGGUAUUGUUGGAUGAAGCGGCCCGGACCGACAUUACGCGUACACUUACGCGAGACUGGUUCUACCGACGUGCUUCUAACACAGGUGGCUAGUGGGUGUCUGUUUCUCCAACUUUAGUUGAACCGAGUGUGACUACGCCCGGUCCUUGUUGAAGGUUAAAACAACACUAACUUGACGAAAUAUCAUUGUGGUUUUGAUGCGUAGGUAAGAACGGUUCUUGCUCAGCCCAUAGUAGCCACGUAAAACUUGCAACAAUAAAGUAGAGGACGUCUAACUUGUUUUUGCAGGGCAUGCUGUGAUGUGAUAUGGUCAAGGCAUGGUGCUAAAUUUUAUUGUAUGAGAUGAUCAUGUUUUGUAACCAAGUUAUCAGCAACUGGCAGGAGCCAUAUGGUUGUCGCUUUAUUGUAUGCAAUGCAAUCGCCCUGUAAUUGCUUUACUUUAUCACUAAGCGGUAGCGAUAGUCGUAGAAGCAAUAGUUGGCGAGACGACAACGAUGCUACGAUGGAGAUCAAGGUGUCGCGCCGGUGACGAUGGUGAUCAUGACGGUGCUUUGGAGAUGGAGAUCAAAGGAACAAGAUGAUGAUGGCCAUAUCAUAUCACUUAUAUUGAUUGCAUGUGAUGUUUAUCUUUUAUGCAUCUUAUUUUGCUUAGAUCGACGGUAGCAUUAUAAGAUGAUCUCUCACUAAUUUUCAAGGUAUAAGUGUUCUCCCUGAGUCUGCACCGUUGCUACAGUUCUUCGUGCUGAGACACCACGUGAUGAUCCGGUGUGAUAAGCUCUACGUUAACAUACAACGGGUGCAAGCCAGUUUUGCACACGCAGAAUACUCGGGUUAAAAUUGACGAGCAUAGCAUAUGCAGAUAUGGCCUCAGAACACUGGAGACCGAAAGGUCGAGCGUGAAUCAUAUAGUAGAUAUGAUCAACAUAGUGAUGUUCACCAUUCAAAACUACUCCAUCUCACGUGAUGAUCGGACAUGGUUUAGUUGAUUUGGAUCACGUGAUCACUUAGAUGAUCAGAGGGAUGUCUAUCUAUGUGGGAGUUCUUUAGUAAUAUGAUUAAUUGAACUUUAAUUUAUCAUGAACUUAGUACCAGAUAGUAUUUUCCAUGUCUGUGAUGUUGUAGAUAGAUGGCCUGUGCUGUUGUUUCGUUGAAUUUUAAUGCCUUCCUUGAGAAAGCAAAGUUGAAAGAUGAUGGUAGCAAUUACACGGACUGUGUCCGUAACUUGAGGAUUAUCCUCAUUGCUGCAUAGAAGAAUUACGUCCUGGAAGCACCGCUGGGUUCCAGGCCUGUUGCAGAUGCAACUGACGACGUUAAGAAUGUCUUGCAGAGCAAGGCUGAUGACUACGUUCAGUGUGCCAUGCUUUAUGGCUUAGAACCGGGACUUCAACGACGUUUUGAACGUCAUGGAGCAUAUGAGAUGUUCCAGGAGUUGAAGUUAAUAUUUUAAGCAAAUGCCCGGAUUGAGAGAUAUGAAGUCUCCAAUAAGUUCUACAGCUGCAAGAUGGAGGAGAGUAGUUCUGUCAGUGAACAUAUACUCAAAAUGUCUGGGUAUAACAAUCACUUGAUUCAACUGGGAGUUAAUCUUCCGGAUGAUAGUGUCAUUGACAAAAUUCUUCAAUCACUGCCAGCAAGCUACAAGAGCUUCGUGAUGAACUAUAAUAUGCAAGGGAUGGAUAAGACAAUUCCCGAGCUCUUCGCAAUGCUAAAGGCUGCGGAGGUAGAAAUCAAGAAGGAGCAUCAAGUUUUGAUGGUCAACAAGACCACUAGUUUCAAGAAAAAGGGUAAAGGGAAGAUGAAGGGGAACUUCAAGAAGAACAACAAACAAGUUGUUGCUCAGGAGAAGAAACCCAAGUCUGAACCUAAGCCUGAGACUGAGUGCUUCUACUGCAAACAGACUGGUCACUGGAAGCGGAACUGCCCCAAGUAUUUGGCGGAUAAGAAGGAUGGCAAGGUGAACAAAGGUAUAUGUGAUAUACAUGUUAUUGAUGUGUACCUUACUAAUGCUCGUAGUAGCACCUGGGUAUUUGAUACUGGUUCUGUUGGUAAUAUUUGCAACUCGAAACAGGGGCUACGGAAUAAGCGAAGAUUGGCUAAGGACGAGGUGACGAUGCGCGUGGGAAAUGGUUCCAGAGUCGAUGUGAUCGCCGUCGGCACGCUACCUCUACAUCUACCAUCGGGAUUAGUUUUAGACCUAAAAAAUUGUUAUUUGGUGCCAGCGUUGAGCAUGAACAUUAUAUCUGGAUCUUCUUUGAUGCGAGACGGUUAUUCAUUUAAAUCAAAGAAUAAUGGUUGUUCUAUUUAUAUGAGUAAUAUCAUUUAUGGUCAUGCACCCUUGAAGAGUGGUCUAUUUAUAUUAAAUCUCGAUAGUAGUGAUACACAUAUUCAUAAUAUUGAAGCCAAAAGAUGCAGAGUUGAUAAUGAUAGUGCAACUUAUUUGUGGCACUACCGUUCAGGUCAUAUUGGUGUAAAGCGCAUGAAGAAACUCCAUACCGAUGGACUUUUGGAAUCACUUGAUUAUGAAUCACUUGGUACUUGCGAACCAUGCCUCAUGGGCAUGAUGACUAAAACGCCGUUCUCCAGAACAAUGGAGCGAGCAACAGAUUUGUUGGAGAUCAUACAUACUGAUGUAUGUGGUCCGAUGAAUGUUGAGGCUUGCGGCGGGUAUCGUUAUUUUCUCACAUUCACAGAUGAUUUGAGCAGAUAUGGGUAUAUCUACUUAAUGAAACAUAAGUCUGAAACAUUUGAAAAUUUCAAAGAAUUUCAGAGUGAAGUGGAAAAUCAUCGUAACAAGACAAUAAAGUUUCUACGAUCUGAUCGUGGAGGAGAAUAUUUGAGUUAAGAGUUUGGUCUUCAUUUGAAACAAUGCGGAAUAGUUUCGCAACUCACGCCACCCGGAACACCACAACGUAAUGGUGUGUCCGAACGUCGUAAUCGUACUUUACUAGAUAUGGUGCGAUCUAUGAUGUCUCUUACUGAUUUACCGCUAUCAUUUUGGGGUUAUGCUUUAGAGACGGCUACAUUAACGUUAAAUAGGGCACCAUCGAAAUCCGUUGAGACGACGCCUUAUGAACUGUGGUUUGGCAAGAAACCAAAGUUGUCGUUUCUUAAAGUUUGGGGCUGCGAUGCUUAUGUGAAAAAGCUUCGACCUGAUAAGCUCGAACCCAAAUCGAAGAAAUGUGGCUUCAUAGGAUACCCAAAAGAAACUGUUGGGUACACAUUCUAUCACAGAUCCGAAGGCAAGACAUUUGUUGCUAGGAAUGGAUCCUUUCUAGAGAAGGAGUUUCUCUCGAAAGAAGUCAGUGGGAGGAAAGUAGAACUUGAUGAGGUAACUAUACCUGCUCCCUUAUUGGAAAGUAGUUCAUCACAAAAACCGGUUCCUGUGACAUCUACACCAAUUAGUGAGGAAGCUAAUGAUAUUGAUCAUGAAACUUCAGAUCAAGUUACUACCGAACCUCGUAGGUCAACCCGAGUAAGAUCCGCACCAGAGUGGUACGGCAAUCCUAUUCUGGAGGUCAUGUUACUUGACCAAGGCGAACCUACGAACUAUGAAGAAGCGAUGGUGAGCCCAGAUUCCGCAAAAUGGCUUGAGGCCAUGAAAUCUGAGAUGGGAUCCAUGUAUGAGAACAAAGUGUGGACUUUGGUUGACUUGCCCGAUGAUCGGCAAGCCAUUGAGAAUAAAUGGAUCUUCAAGAAGAAGACUGACGCUGCCGGUAAUGUUACUGUCUACAAAGCCCGACUUGUUGCAAAAGGUUUUCGACAAGUUCAAGGGGUUGACUAUGAUGAGACUUUCUCACCCGUAGCGAUGCUUAAGUCUGUCCGAAUCAUGUUAGCAAUUGCCGCAUUUUAUGAUUAUGAAAUUUGGCAAAUGGAUGUCAAAACUGCAUUCCUGAUUGGAUUUCUGGAAGAAGAGUUGUAUAUGAUGCAAGCAGAAGGUUUUGUCGAUACAAAGGGAGCUAACAAAGUGUGCAAGCUCCAGCGAUCCAUUUAUGGACUGGUGCAAGCCUCUCGGAGUUGGAAUAAACGUUUUGAUAGUGUGAUCGAAGCAUAUGGUUUUAUACAGACUUUUGGAGAAGCCUGUAUUUAGAAGAAAGUGAGUGGGAGCUCUAUAGAAUUUCUAAUAUUAUAUGUGGACGACAUAUUGUUGAUUGGGAAUGAUAUAGAUUUUCUGGAUAGCAUAAAAGGAUACUUGAAUAAGAGUUUUUCAAUGAAAGACCUCGGUGAAGCUGCUUAUAUAUUGGGCAUCAAGAUCUAUAGAGAUAGAUCAAGACGCUUAAUUGGACUUUCACAAAGCACAUACCUUGACAAAGUUUUGAAGAAGUUCAAAAUGGAUCAAGCAAAGAAAGGUUCUUGCCUAUGUUAUAAGGUGUGAAGUUGAGUCAGACUCAAUGCCCGACCACUGCAGAAGAUAGAGAGAAAAUGAAAGAUGUUCCAUAUGCUUCAGCCAUAGGCUCUAUCAUGUAUGCAAUGCUGUGUACCAGACCUGAUGUGUGCCUUGCUAUUAGUUUAGCAGGGAGGUAGCAAAGUAAUCCCGGAGUGGAUCACUGGACAGCGGUCAAGAACAUUCUGAAAUACCUGAAAAGGACUAAGGAUAUGUUUCUCGUUUAUGGAGGUGACAAAGAGCUAGUCGUAAAUGGUUACAUUGAUGCAAGCUUUGACAUUGAUCCAGACAAUUCUAAAUCGCAAACCGGAUCGUGUUUAUAUUGAACGGUGGAGCUGUCAGUUGGUGCAGUUCUAAACAAAGCGUCGUGGCGGGAUCUACGUGUGAAGCGGAGUACAUAGUUGAUUCGGAGGCAGCAAAUGAAGGAGUCUGGAUGAAGGAGUUCAUAUCCGAUCUAGGUGUCAUACCUAGUGCAUCGGGUCCAAUGAAAAUCUUUUGUGACAAUACUGGUGCAAUUGCCUUGGCAAAGGAAUCCAGGUUUCACAAGAGAACCAAGCACAUCAAGAGACGCUUCAAUUCCAUCCGGGAUCAAGUCCAGGUGGGAGACAUAGAGAUUUGCAAGAUACAUACGGAUCUGAAUGUUGCAGACCAGUUGACUAAGCCUCUUCCACGAGCAAAACAUGAUCAGCACCAAGACUCCAUGGGUGUUAGAAUCAUUACUGUGUAAUCUAGAUUAUUGACUCUAGUGCAAGUGGAAGAUGCUACCUCUUGAGCACUGCGUUGGUUUUCCCUUGAAGAGGAAAGGGUGAUGCAGCAAAGUAGCGUAAGUAUUUCCCUCAAUUUUUGAGAACCAAGGUAUCAAUCCAGUAGGAGGCUACGCGCGAGUCCCUCGCACCUACACAAAACAAAUAAAUCCUCGCAACCAACGCGAUAAGGGGUUGUCGAUCCCUACACGGUCACUUACGAGAGUGAGAUCUGAUAGAUAUGAUAGGAUAAUAUUUUUGGUAUUUUUGUGAUAAAGAUGCAAAGUAAAGAAAGCAAAAUAAAGACGGCGCCAGAAAUAGCUUAUUGUCGGGAGAUUAAUAUGAUGGAAAAUAGACCCGGGGGCCAUAGUUUUCACUAGUGGCUUCUCUCAAGAGCAUAAGUAUUUUACAGUGGGUGAACGAAUUACUGUUGAGAAAUUGACAGAAUUGAGCAUAGUUAUGAGAAUAUCUAGGUAUGAUCAUGUAUAUAGGCAUCACGUCCGAGACAAGUAGACCGACUCCUGCCUGCAUCUACUACUAUUACUCCACUCAUCGACCGCUAUCCAGCAUGCAUCUAGAGUAUUAAGUUCAUGAAAACAGAGUAACGCCUUAAGCAAGAUGACAUGAUGUAGAGGGAGAACAUUGUAUUGAGAUACAAAAAGAGAGAGGAAGCCAUCUAGCUAAUAACUAUGGACCCGAAGGUCUGAGGUAAACUACUCACACUUCAUCGGAGGGGCUAUGGUGUUGAUGUAGAAGACCUCCGUGAUGGAUGCCCUCUCUGGCGGAGCUCCGGAACAGGCCCCAAGAUGGGCUCUCGUGGGUACAGAAGGUUGCGGCGGUGGAAAUAGGUUUUUGGCUCCGUAUUUGAUCGUUUUGGGGUAUGUACGUAUAUAUAGGAGGAAGGAGUCCGUCGGUGGAGCAACAAGGGGCCCACGAGGGUGGAGGGCGCGCCUUGGGGGGUAGGCGCGCCCACCUACCUCAUGGCCUCCUCCUUUGUUUCUUGAUGUAGGGUCCAAGUCUCCCGGAGCAUAAUCUUCCUAAAAAUCACGUUCCCGAAGGUUUCAUUCCGUUCGGACUCCGUUUGAUAUUCCUUUUCUGCAAAACUCUAAAAUAGGCAAAAAACAACAAUUCUGGGCUGGGCCUCCGGUUAAUAGGUUAGUCCCUAAAAUAAUAUAAAAGUGAAUAAUAAAGCCCAAUAAUGUCCAAAAUAGUAGAUAAUAUAGCAUGGAGCAAUCAAAAAUUAUAGAUACGUUGGAGACGUAUCAAGCAUCCCAAACUUGAUUCCUGCUCGUCCUCGAGUAGGUAAAUGAUAAAAACAGAAUUUUUGAUGCAGAGUGCUACUUGGCAUAAUUUCAAUGUAAUUCUUCUUAAUUGUGGUAUGAAUAUUCAGAUCCGAAAGAUUCAAGACAAAAGUUUAAUAUUGACAUAAAAAUAAUAAUACUUCAAGCAUACUAACAAAGCAAUCAUGUCUUCUCAAAAUAACAUGGCCAAAGAAAGUUAUCCCUACAAAAUCAUAUAGUCUAGCUAUGCUCUAUCUUCACCACACAAAGUAUUUAAGUCAUGCACAACCCCGAUGACAAGCCAAGCAAUUGUUUCAUACUUUUGACAUUUUCAAAACUUUUUCAAUCUUCACGCAAUACAUGAGCGUGAGCCAUGGACAUAGCACUAAAUGUGGAAUAGAAUUGUGGAGAAGACAAAAAGGGAGAAGAUAGUCUCACAUCAACUAGGCGUAUCAACGGGCUAUGGAGAUGCCCAUCAAUAGAUAUCAAUGUGAGUGAGUAGGGAUUGCCAUGCAACAGAUGCACUAGAGCUAUAAGUAUAUGAAAGCUCAACAAAGGAAACUAAGUGGGUGUGCAUCCAAAUCGCUUGCUCACGACCUAGGGCAUUUUGAGGAAGCCCAUCAUUGGAAUAUGCAAGCCAAGUUCUAUAAUUAAAAAAAUUCCAACUAGUAUAUGAAAGUGACAAAAUGAGAGACUCUCUAUCAUGAAGAUCAUGGUGCUACUUUGAAGCACAAGUGUGGUAAAAGGAUAGUAACAUGGUCCCUUCUCUCUUUUUCUCUCAUUUUUUUUAUUUGGGCCUUUUCUCUUUUUUUUAUGGCCUCUUUUUUUAUUUAUUUUUCGUCCGGAGUCUCAUCCCGACUUGUGGGGGAAUCAUAGUCUCCAUCAUCCUUUUCCUCACUUGGGACAAUGCUCUAAAAAUGAUGAUCAUCAUACUUUUAUUUUCUUACAACUCAACAAUUACAACUCGAUACUUAGAACAAAAUAUGACUCUAUAUGAAUGCCUCCGGCGGUGUACUGGUAUAUCCAAUGAAUCAAGAGUGACAUGUAUGAAAGAAUUAUGAACGGUGGCUUUGCCACAAAUACGAUGUCAACUACAUGAUCAUGCAAAGCAAUAUGACAAUGAUGGAGCGUGUCAAAAUAAAUGGAACGGUGGAGAGUUGCAUGGCAAUAUAUCUCGGAAUGGCUAUGGAAAUGCCAUGAUAGGUAGGUAUGGUGGCUGUUUUGAGGAAGGUUUAUGAUACCGGCGAAAAGUGCGCGGUAUUAGAGAGGCUAGCAAUGGUGAAACGAAGAAGGGUGCGUAUAGUCCAUGGACUCAACAUUAGUCAUAAAGAACUCAUAUACUUAUUGAAAAAUCUACAAGUUAUCAAUGCAAAGUAUUACGCGCUUGCUCCUAGGGGGAUAGAUUGGUAGGAAAAGACCAUCGCUCGUCCCCGACCGCCACUCAUAAGGAAGACAAUCAAUAAAUAAAUCAUGCUCCGACUUCAUCACAUAACGGUUCACCAUACGUGCAUGCUACGGGAAUCACAAACUUUAACACAAGUAUUUCUCAAAUUCACAACUACUCAACUAGCAUGACUCUAAUAUCACCAUCUUCAUGUCUCAAAACAAUUAUCAAGCAUCAAACUUUUCAUAGUAUUCAACACACUCAUAAGAAUUCUUACAAAUCUUGUAUGCUUCAUAUUAGGAUUAUUUAAGCAAAUUACCAUGCUAUUUAAGACUCUCAAAAUAAUCUAAGUGAAGCAUGAUAGAUCAAUAGUUUCUAUAAAACAAAUUCACCACCAUGCUCUAAAAGAUAUAAGUGAAGCACUAGAGCAAAACUAUAUAGCUCAAAAGAUAUAAGCGAAGAACAUAGAGUAUUCUAAUAAUUUGCAAAUCAUGUAUGGCUCUCUCAAAAGGUGUGUACAGCAAAGGAUUAUUGUGGUAAACUAAAAAUCAAAGACUCAAAUCAUACAAGACGCUCCAAGCAAAACACAUAUCAUGUGGUGAAUAAAAAUAUAGCUCCAAGUAAAGUUACCGAUGGAAGUAGACGAAAGAGGGGAUGGCUUCCGGGGCAUCCCCAAGCUUUGGCUUUUUGGUGUCCUUAGAUUAUCUUGGGGGUGCCAUGGGCAUCCCCAAGCUUAGGCUCUUGCCACUCCUUGUUCCAUAAUCCAUCAAAAUCUUUCACCCAAAACUUGAAAACUUCACAACACAAAACUUAACAGAAAAUCUCGUGAGCUCCGUUAGCGAAAGAAAACAAAAGACCACUUCAAGGUACUGUAAUGAACUCAUUCUUUAUUUAUAUUGGUGUUAAACAUACUGUAUUCCAACUUCUCUAUGGUUUAUAAACUAUUUUACUAGCCAUAGAUUCAUCAAAAUAAGCAAACAACACACGAAAAACAGAAUCUGUCAAAAACAGAACAGUCUGAUCUAAUCUGUAACUAACGCAAACUUCUGGAACUCCAAAAAAUCAGCCAAAAUAGGAAGACCUAGACAAUUUGUUUAUUGAUCAGUAUCAAUUGGAAUCAGUAUUUUAUCACGUUCUGGUAAUUUUUAACAAUUAUUUUCGUGAACAGAAAGUUUCUGGAAAUUUCUGCAAGAUCAAAUAACUAUCAUCCAAGAAGAUCCUAUAGGUUUAACUUGGCACAAACACUAAUUAAAACAUAAAAACACAUCUAACCAGAGGCUAGAUCAAAUAUUUAUUUCUUAACAGAAGCAAAAAGCAAAAAACUAAAAAUAAAAUUGGGUUGCCUCCCAACAAGCGCUAUCGUUUAACGCCCCUAGCUAGGCAUAAAAGCAAGGAUAGAUCUAGGUAUUGCCAUCUUUGGUAGGCAAUACAUAAGUGGCUCUCAUUAUAGAUUCAUAUGGUAAUUUUAUUUUCUUCCUAGGGAAGUGUUCCAUACCUUUCUUUAAUGGAAAUUGGAAUCUGAUAUUCCCUUCCUUCAUAUCAAUAAUUGCACCCAUCGUUCCAAGGAAUGGUCUACCAAAAAUAAUAGGACAUGAAGGAUUGCAAUAUAUAUCAAGAACGAUAAAAUCUACGGGCACACAAUUCCUAUUUGCAAUAGUAAGAAUAUCAUUAAUUCUUACCAUAGGUUUCUUAAUAGUAGAAUCCGCAAGGUGCAAGUUUAGAGAGCAAUCAUCAAAAUCUCGGAAAUCUAGCAAAUCGCACAAAGUUUUGGGAAUAGUGGAAACACUAGCACCCAAAUCACAUAAAGCAUAGAACUCAUGAUCCUUAAUCUUAAUUUUAAUAGUAGGUUCCCACUCACCGUAAAGUUUUCUAGGGAUAGAAACUUCCAACUCAAGUUUUUCUUCAUAAGAUUGCAUCAAAGCAUCAACGAUAUGUUUGGUAAAAGCUUUAUUUUGACUAUAAGCAUGAGGAGAAUUUAGCUCGGAUUGCAACAAGGAAAUACAAUCUAUCAAAAAGAAAUUUUCAUAAUUAAAUUCCUUGAAAUCCAUAAUAGUGGGUUUAACGUCUAGGGUUUUGAUUUCUUCAAUCCCACUUUUGUCAAUUUUAGCAUCAAGAUCUAAAAACUCCGAAUUUUUGGAAUGCCUUCUAGGUAAAGGUGGAUCAUAUUCAUUCCCAUCAUUAUCAAGAUUCAUAUUGCAAAACAAAGAUUUAAUAGGGGACACAUCAAUAACUUUUAGAUCUUCAUCUUUAUUUUCAUUGAAAUCCGGUUUAGCGGCCAUCUUAUUAACUAAGGUAGCCUGCUUAUCCGAUAUUUCAGCAGUCAACUUCUCAAGGCGAGCAAUUUGGGAUCUUAAACCAUCAAAUUCUUUAGACAUAUCAUCGAGCUCUUUAUUCAUAUGACUCAUAAAACCUUUUUGUUCCUUAAGCUCAUUUCUGAAGAAAUUAUUAUGCUCAAAUUGCAAAACCAUAAAACUCCUGACGUUGCUUUCAAUCUCUUCUAACCUUUUAAGGUGAAGAUCACCAAAUCUAGGUAGAGCCAUCGUGACAAACAAGCAAUCCAACACACGAGCAAACAAAAAGCAAGCGAAAAAGAGGCGAACGGAAAAGAGAGGGCGAAUAAAACGGCAAGGGUGAAGUGGGGGAGAGGAAAACGAGAGGCAAAUGGCAAAUAAUGUAAUGCGGGAGAUAAGGGUUUAUGAUGGGUACUUGGUAUGUUGACUUUUGUGUAGACCUCCCCGGCAACGGCGCCAGUAAUCCUUCUUGCUACCUCUUGAGCACUGCGUUGGUUUUCCCUUGAAGAGGAAAGGGUGAUGCAGCAAAGUAGCAUAAGUAUUUCCCUCAGUUUUUUAGAACCAAGGUAUCAAUCCAGUAGGAGGCUACGCGCGAGUCCCUCGCACCUACACAAAACAAAUAAAUCCUCGCAAUCAACGCGAUAAGGGGUUGUCAAUCCCUACACGGUCACUUCGAGAGUGAGAUCUGAUAGAUCUGAUAGGAUAAUAUUUUUGGUAUUUUUGUGAUAAAGAUGCAAAGUAAUGAAAACAAAAUAAAGACGGCGCCAGAAAUAGCUUGUUGUCGGGAGAUUAAUAUGAUGGAAAAUAGGCCAGGGGGCCAUUGGUUUCACUAGUGGCUUCUCUCAAGAGCUUAAGUAUUUUACGGUGGGUGAACGAAUUACUGUUGAGAAAUUGACAGAAUUGAGCAUAGUUAUGAGAAUAUCUAGGUAUGAUCAUGUAUAUGGGCAUCACGUCCGAGACAAGUAGACCGACUCCUGCGUGCAUCUACUACUAUUACUCCACUCAUCGACCGCUAUCCAGCAUGCAUCUAGAGUAUUAAGUUCAUGAAAACAGAGUAACGCCUUAAGCAAGAUGACAUGAUGUAGAGGGAUAAAUUCAUGCAAUAUGAUAGAAACCCCAUCUUGUUAUCCUCGAUGGCAACAAUACAAUACGUGCCUUGCUGCCCCUACUGUCACUGGAAAAGGACACUGCAAGAUUAAACCCAAAGCUAAGCACUUCUCUCAUUGCAAGAAAGAUCAAUCUAGUAGGCCAAACCAAACUGAUAAUUCGAAGAGACUUGCAAAGAUAACCAAUCAUACAUAAAAGAAUUCAGAGAAGAUUCAAAUAUUGUUCAUAGAUAAUCUUGAUCAUAAACCCACAAUUCAUCGGUCUCAACAAACACACCGCAAAAAGAAGAUUACAUCGAAUAGAUCUCCACGAGAGAGGGGGAGAACAUUGUAUUGAGAUCCAAAAAGAGAGAAGAAGCCAUCUAGCUACUAACUAUGGACCCGAAGGUCUGAAGUAAACUACUCACACUUCAUCGAAGAGGCUAUGGUGUUGAUGUAGAAGCCCUCCGUGAUGGAUGCCCUCUCCAGCGGAGCUCCGGAACAGGCCCCAAGAUGGGAUCUUGUGGAUACAGAAGGUUGCGGCGGUGGAAUUAGGUUUUUGGCUCCGUAUCUGAUAGUUUGGGGGUACGUAGGUAUAUAUAGGAGGAAGGAGUAUGUCGGCGGAGCAACAGGGGGCCCACGAGGGUUGAGGGCGCACCCUGGGGGUUAGGUGCAUCCCCUACCUCGUGGCCUCCUCCUUUGUUUCUUGACGUAGGGUCCAAGUCUCCCGGAUCAUAAUCUUCCGAAAAAUCACGUUCCCGAAGGUUUCAUUCCGUUUGGACUCUGUUUGAUAUUCCUUUUCUGCGAAACUCUGAAAUAGGCAAAAAACAGCAAUUCUGGGCUGGGCCUCCGGUUAAUAGGUUAGUCCCAAAAAUAAUAUAAAAGUGAAUAAUAAAGCCCAAUAAUGUCCAAAACAGUAGAUAAUAUAGCAUGGAGCAAUAAAAAAUUAUAGAUACGUUGGAGACGUAUCAGGAGACGGAAGGAAAUAUGCCCUAGAGGCAAUAUUAAAGUUAUUAUUUAGUUCCUCAUAUCAUGAUAAAUGUUUAUUAUUCAUCCUAGAAUUGUAUUAACUAGAAACAUAAUACAUGUGUGAAUACAUAGACAAACAUAGUGUCACUAGUAUGCCUCUACUUGACUAGCUCGUUGAUCAAAGAUGGUUGAGUUUCCUAACCAUAGACAUGAGUUGUCAUUUGAUUAACUAGAUCACAUCAUUAGGAUAAUGAUGUGAUUGACUUGACCCAUUCCGUUAGCUUAGCACUUGAUCGUUUUAGUUUACUGCUAUUGCUUUCUUCAUGACUUAUACAUGUUCCUAUGACUAUGAGAUUAUGCAACUCCCGAUUACCGGAGGAACACUUUGUGUGCUACCAAACGUCACAACGUACUGGGUGAUUAUAAAGGUGCUCUACAGGCUUGUUGGGUUGGCAUAGAUCGAGAUUAGGAUUUGUCACUCCGAUUGUCGGAGAGGUAUCUCUGGGCCCUCUCGGUAAUGCACAUCGCUAUAAGCCUUGCAAGCAAUGUGACUAAUGAGUUUGUUGCGGGAUGAUGCAUUACAGAACGAGUAAAGAGACUUGCCGGUAACGAGAUUGAGCUAGGUAUUGAGAUACAGACGAUCAAAUCUCGGGCAAGUAACAUACCGAUGACAAAGGGAACAACGUAUGUUAUGCGGUUUGACCGACUUCAUAGAAUAUGUGCGAGCCAAUAUGAGCAUCCAGGUUCCACUAUUGGUUAUUGACCGGAGACGUGUCUCGGUCAUGUCUACAUAGUUCUUGAACCCGUAGGGUCCGCACGCUUAACGUUCGGUGACGAUCGGUAUUAUGAGUUUUUGUGUUUUGAUGUACCGAAGGUAGUUCGGAAUCCCGGAUAUGAUCACGGACAUGACGAGGAGUCUCGAAAUGGUCGAGACAUAAAGAUCGAUAUAUUGGACGACUAUAUUCCGGGUGGUUUCAGAGAAAACCGUAGUGCCGGAGGGUUACCGGAACCCCCCGGGAGAAAUAGUGGGCCUUAUGGGCCUUAUUGGAGAGAGAGAGAGAGGGCUGGCCUAGGGUAGGCCGCGCGCCCCUCCCCCUCUGGUCUGAAUUGGCCUAGGAGAGGGGGGUGGCGCCCCCCUUUCUUUCUCCCUCUCCCCCUUCCUUUCCCCCUCCUAGUAGGAGUAGGAAAGAGGGGAGUCCUACUCCUACUAGGAGGAGAACUCCUCCUCCUGGCGCGCCCUACAGGGCCGGCCGGCCUCCCCCCUUGCUCCUUUAUAUACGGGGGCAGGGGGCACCUUUAGACACAGAAGUUGAUCUGUUGAUCUCUCCCAGCCGUGUGCGGUGCCCCCUCCACCAUAUUCCACCUCCGUAAUAUCGUAGCGGUGCUUAGGCGAAGCCCUGCGUCGGUAGCAUCAUCAACACCGUCAUCCCGCCGUCAUGCUGACGGAACUCUCCCGCAAAGCUCUGCUGGCUCGGAGUUCGUGGGAUGUCAUCGAGCUGAACGUGUGCUGAACUCGGAGGUGCCGUACGUUCGGUACUUGGAUCGGUCGGAUCGUGAAGACGUACGACUACAUCAACCACGUUGUCAUAACGCUUCCGCUUUCUGUCUACGAGGGUACGUGGACACACUCUCCUCUCUCGUUGCUAUGCAUCACCAUGAUCUUGCGUGUGCGUAGGAAAUAUUUUGAAAUUACUACGUUCCCCAACAGCGGUAAGGCUCUUUGCGUGCUCGACGAGGCGCUCCUCCUCCUCCCGCAGGAACUCGAUGUAGCGUGCAAGGUCGCUGACGCACGUGCGGGCCUCCACCUUGGCCUCCCGCCUUCGGGCCGCGACGGCGGAGCGGGUGAUAAUCCCGACGGUCAACGGUGGGCUGGCGGCCACGGUGGCGGACUAUGGGGUGGCGGCCACGACCAAAACCUCCCGCCUUCGGGCCGCGGUGGCGGAGCGGGUGAUGGCCACGGUGGCCGGCAGUGGGGUGGCGGGCACGACGGCCACCUCCCGCCUUCAGGCCGCGGCGGCGGAGCGAGAGAUGGCCCUGUCUUUCGACGGUGGUGUGGCGGCAACGGCGGCCGGCAACAGCUGCCGAUGGGCAGCAGCGACGGAGCGUGUGGUGGGUGUUCCGCGCACACCCAACAGGGACGCCACACGCACUACACUACGCCGGGGACUGCGCCGCCGCCGCUGUGUAGCCUCCCAGCUGGAGAUGUCCUCUGAUGACGGUGGAGUGGCUGAGCGACGACGAAGGACCGGUGCCAUUGGCGAUUGUGGGAGAAGCAGACGAGAUAAGCUACAGGGAGGGAGGGGAAAAUGCGACGCUGACACCUGUCCAACGUAUCUAUAAUUUUUGAUUGCUCCAUGCUAUAUUAUCUUCUGUUUUGGACAUUAUUGGGCUUUAUUAUUCACUUUUAUAUUAUUUUUGGGACUAACCUAUUAAUCGGAGGCCCAGCCCAGAAUUGCUGUUUUUUGCCUAUUUCAGAGUUUCGCAGAAAAAGAAUAUCAAAUGGAGUCCAAACGGAAUGAAACCUUAGGGAACGUGAUUUUUGGAACGAACAUGAUCCAGGAGACUUGGACCCUACGUCAAGAAACAAAAGAGGAAGCCACGAGGUAGGGGGCGCGCCUACCCCCCUAGGGCGCACCCUCCACCCUCGUGGGCUCCCUGUUGCUCCACCGACGUACUUCUUCCUCCUAUAUAUACCUACGUACCCCCAAACGAUCAGAUACGGAGCCAAAAACCUAAUUCCACCGCCGCAACCUUCUGUACCCACGAGAUCCCAUCUUGGGGCCUGUUCCGGAGCUCCGCCGGAGAGGGCAUCGAUCACGGUGGGCUUCUACAUCAACACCAUAGCCCCUCCGAUGAAGUGUGAGUAGUUUACCUCAGACCUUCGGGUCCACAGUUAUUAGCUAGAUGGCUUCCUCUCUCUUUUUGGAUCUCAAUACAAUGUUCUCCCCCUCUCUCGUGGAGAUCUAUUCGAUGUAAUCUUCUUUUGCGGUGUGUUUGUUGAGACCGAUGAAUUGUGGGUUUAUGAUCAAGUUUAUCUAUGAACAAUAUUUGAAUCUUCUUAAUUCUUUUAUGUAUGAUUGGUUAUCUUCGCAAGUCUCUUCGAAUUAUCAGUUUGGUUUGGCCUACUAGAUUGAUCUUUCUUGCAAUGGGAGAAGUGCUUAGCUUGGGGUUCAAUCUUCCGGUGUCCUUUCCCUAUGACAGUAGGGGCAGCAAGGCACGUAUAGUAUUGUUGCCAUCGAGGAUAACAAGAUGGGGUUUUUAUCAUAUUGCAUGAAUUUAUCCCUCUACAUCAUGCCAUCUUGCUUAAGGCGUUACUCUGUUCUUAUGAACUUAAUACUCUAGAUGCAUGCUGGAUAGCAGUCGAUGUGUGGAGUAAUAGUAGUAGAUGCAGGCAGGAGUCGGUCUACUUGUCUCGGACGUGAUGCCUAUAUACAUGAUCAUACCUAGAUAUUCUCAUAACUAUGCUCAAUUCUGUCAAUUGCUCAACAGUAAUUUGUUCACCCACCGUAAAAUACUUAUGCACAUGAGAGAAGCCACAAGUGAAACCUAUGGCCCCCCGGGUCUGUCUUCAUGAUAUUAAUCUUUCAACACUUAGUUAUUUCCGCUGCUUUUUACUUUGCUUUUAUUUUACUUUGCAUCUUUAUCAUAAAAAUACCAAAAAUAUUAUCCUAUCAUAUCUAUCAGAUCUCACUCUCGUAAGUGACCGUGUAGGGAUUGACAACCCCUUAUCGCGUUGGUUGCGAGGAUUUAUUUGUUUUGUGUAGGUGCGAGGGACUCGCGCCUAGCCUCCUACUGGAUUGAUACCUUGGUUCUCAAAAACUGAGGGAAAUACUUACGCUACUUUGCUGCAUCACCCUUUCCUCUUCAAGGGAAAACCAACGCAGUGCUCAAGAGGUAGCAAGAAGGAUUUCUGGCGCCGUUGCCGGGGAGGCCUACGCAAAAGUAAACAUACCAAGUACCCAUCACAAACCCUUAUCUCCCGCAUUACAUUAUUCGCCAUUUGCCUCUCGUUUUCCUCUCCCCCACUUCUCUCUUGACGUUUUAUUCGCCCUCUUUUUCAUUCUCCUCUUUUUCGCUUGUUUUUUUGUUUGCUCGUGUGUUGGAUUGCUUGUUUGUCACGAUGGCUGAAGAUAAUACCAAAUUGUGUGACUUUACCAAUACCAACAAUAAUGAUUUCCUUAGCACUCCGAUUGCUCCCCUCACUGAUACUGAAUCUUGUGAAAUCAAUGCUGCUUUGUUGAAUCUUGUCAUGAAAGAUCAAUUCAUCGACCUUCCUAGUGAAGAUGCUGCUACUCAUCUAAAUAGCUUCGUUGAUUUGUGUGAUAUGCAAAAGAAGAAAGAUGUUGAUAAUGAUAUUGUUAAACUGAAGCUAUUUCCUUUUUCGCUUAGAGAUCGUGCUAAAGCAUGGUUUUCGUCUUUGCCUAAAAAUAGUAUUGAUUCUUGGAAUAAAUGCAAAGAUGCUUUUAUCCCUAAGUAUUUCCCCCCUGCUAAGAUUUAUCUCUCUUAGAAAUGAUAUUAUGAAUUUUAAGCAACUUGAUGAUGAACAUGUUGCACAAGCUUGGGAGAGGAUGAAAUUAAUGAUACGUAAUUGCCCUACAUAUGGUUUGGAUUUGUGGAUGAUUAUACAAAAAUUUUAUGCCGGAUUGAAUUUUGCUUCUAGAAAUCUUUUAGAUUCGGCCGCGGGAGGCACUUUUAUGGAAAUCACUUUAGGAGAAGCUACUAAACUCCUAGAUAAUAUUAUGGUCAAUUAUUCUCAAUGGUACACUGAAAGAUCUACUAAUAAAAAAGUGCAUGCGAUAGAAGAAAUUAAUGUUUUGAGUGGAAAGAUGGAUGAACUUAUGAAAUUAUUUGCCACUAAGAGUGUUUCUUCUGAUCCCAAUGAUAUGCCUUUGUCUACUUUGAUUGAGAAUAAUAAUUAAUCUAUGGAUGUGAAUUUUGUUGGUAGGAAUAAUUUUGGUAACAACGCGUAUAGAGGAAACUUUAAUCCUUGGCCUUAUCCUAGCAAUUCCUCUAAUAAUUAUGGUAAUUCCUACAACAAUUCUUAUGGAAAUUUUAAUAAGAUGGCCUCCGAAUUUGAGACUAGUGUUAAAGAGUUUAUAAAUUUGCAGAAGAACUUCAAUGCCUUGCUUGAAGAAAAAUUGCUUAAAGUUGAUGAAUUGGCUAGGAACAUUGAUAGAAUUUCUCUUGAUGUUGAUUUCUUUAAAAUUGAGAUCUAUUACUCCUAAGCAUUAUAUCAAUGAAUCUCUCAAAGCCAUGAUAAUUUCCAUUGAUGAGUGCAAAGAAAUAAACCCUAAGGGAUGAUAGAUGUCUCAUUGAAGAAUUGCCUACCAAAGAUGGCAAUACCUAGAUCUAUCCUUGCUUUUAUGCCUAGCUAGGGACGUUAAACGAUAGCGCUUGUUGGGAGGCAACCCAAUUUUAUUUUUAGUUUUUUUGCGUUUUGCUUCUGUUUAGGAAUAAAUAUUUGAUCUAGCCUCUGGUUAGAUGUGUUUUUAUGUUUUAUUUAGUGUUUGUGCCAAGUUAAACCUAUAGGAUCUUCUUGGAUGAUAGUUAUUUGAUCUUGCAGAAAUUUCCAGAAACUUUCUAUUCAUGAAAACAAUUGUUAAAAAUCACCAGAACGUGAUAAAAUAUUUAUUCCAAUUGCUUCUGUUCAAUAAACAAAUUGUGUAGGUCGUCCUAUUUUGGCUGAUUUUUUGGAGUUCCAGAAGUUUGUGUUAGUUACAGAUUAGUACAGACUGUUCUGUUUUUGACAGAUUCUGUUUUUCGUGUGUUGUUUGCUUAUUUUGAUGAUUCUAUGGCUAGUAAAAGAGUUUAUAAACCAUAGAGAAGUUGGAAUACAGUAGUUUUAACACCAAUAUAAAUAAAGAAUGAGUUCAUUACAGUACCUUGAAGUGGUCUUUUGUUUUCUUUCACUAACGGAGCUCACGAGAUUUUCUGCUGAGUUUUGUGUUGUGAAGUUUUCAAGUUUUGGGUGAAAGAUUUGAUGGAUUAUGGAACAAGGAGUGGCAAGAGCCUAAGCUUGGGGAUGCCCAAGGCACCCCCAAGAUAUUCUAAGGACACCAAAAAGCCAAAGCUUGGGGAUGCCCCGGAAGGCAUCCCCUCUUUCGUCUACUUCCAUCGGUAACUUUACUUGGAGCUAUAUUUUUAUUCACCACAUGAUAUGUGUUUUGCUUGGAGCGUAUUGUAUGAUUUGAGUCUUUGCUUUUUAGUUUACCACAAUCAUCCUUGCUGUACACACCCUUUUGAGAGAGACACACAUGAUUCGAAAAUUAUUAGAAUACUCUAUGUGCUUCACUUAUAUCUUUUGAGUUAUAUAGUUUUUGCUCUAGUACUUCACUUAUAUCUUUUAGAGCACGGUGGUGGAUUUGUUUUAUAGAAACUAUUGAUCUCUCAUGCUUCACUUAAAUUAUUUUGAGAGUCUUAAACAGCAUGGUAAUUUUCUUAAAUAAACCUAAUAUGCUAGGUAUUCAAGAUUAGGAAAAACUUUCUUAUGAGAGCAUUGAAUACUAAGAGAAGUUUGAUGCUUGAUGAUUGUUUUGAGAUAUGGAGGUAGUAAUAUUAAAGUCGUGCUAGUUGAGUAGUUGUGAAUUUGAGAAAUACUUGUGUUGAAGUUUGCAAGUCCCGUAGCAUGCACGUAUGGUAAACCUUAUGUAACAAAUUUGAAACAUGAGGUGUUCUUUGAUUGUCCUCCUUAUGAGUGGCAGUCGGGGACGAGGGAUGGUCUUUUCCUACCAAUCUAUACCCCUAGGAGCAUGCACGUAGUGCUUGGUUUUUGAUGACUUGUAUAUUUUUGCAAUAAAUAUAUGAGUUCUUUAUGACUAAUGUUGAGUCCAUGGAUUAUACGCACUCUCACCUUUCCAUCAUUGCUAGCCUCUUCGGUACCGUGCAUUGCCUUUCUCACAUUGAGAGUUGGUGCAAACUUCGCCGGUGCAUCCAAACCCCGUGAUAUGAUACGCUCUUUCACACAUAAACCUCCUUAUAUCUUCCUCAAAACAGCCACGAUACCUACCUAUUAUGGCAUUUCCAUAGUCAUUCCGAGAUAUAUUGCCAUGCAACUUUCCACCAUUCCGUUUAUCAUGACACAUUCAUCAUUUUCAUAUUGCUUUGCAUGAUCAUGUAGUUGACAUAGUAUUUGUGGCAAAGCCACCGUUCAUAAUUCUUUCAUACAUGUCACUCUUGGUUCAUUGCAUAUCCCGGUACUCCGCCGGAGGCAUUCAUAUAGAGUCAUACUUUGUUCUAGUAUCGAGUUGUAAUCAUUGAGUUGUAAAUAAAUAGAAGUGUGAUGAUCAUCAUUUUCUAGAGCAUUGUCCCAAGUGAGGAAUAUAAAAAAACAGAAAGGCCAUAAAAAAAGAGAAGGCCCAAAAAAAUGAGAGAAAAAGAGAGAAGGGACAAUGUUACUAUCCUUUUACCACACUUGUGCUUCAAAGUAGCACCAUAAUCUUCAUGAUAGAGAGUCUCUUGUUUUGUCACUUUCAUAUACUAGUGGGAAUUUUUCAUUAUAGAACUUGGCUUGUAUAUUCCAACAAUGGGCCUCCUCAAGUGCCCUAGGUCUUCGUGAGCAAGCAAGUUGGAUGCACACCCACUUAGUUUCUCUUUGUUGAGCUUUCAUAUACUUAUAGCUCUAGUGCAUCCGUUGCAUGGCAAUCCCUACUCCUUGCAUUAACAUCAAUCGAUGGGCAUCUCCAUAGCUCAUGGAUUAGCCUCGUUGAUGUGAGACUUUCUCCUUUUUUGUCUUCUCCACAUAACCCCCAUCAUCCUAUUCUAUUCCACCCAUAGGGCUAUGUCCAUGGCUCGCGCUCAUGUAUUGCGUGAAGGUUGAAAUUUUUUGAGAUUACUAAAGUAUGAAACAAUUGCUUGGCUUGUCAUCGGGGUUGUGCAUGAUGAGAGCAUUCUUGUGUGACGAAAAUGGAGCAUGACUAAACUAUAUGAUUUUGUAGGGAUGAACUUUCUUUGGCCAUGUUAUUUUGAGAGGACAUAAUUGCUUAGUUAGUAUGCUUGAAGUAUUAUUAUUCUUAUGUCAAUAGGAACUUUUAUCUUGAAUAUUUCGGAUCUGAAUAUUCAUACCACAAUUAAGAAGAAUUACAUUGAAAUUAUGCAUAGUAGCACUCCACAUCAAAAAUUCUGUUUUUAUCAUUUACCUACUCGAGGACGAGCAGGAAUUAAGCUUGGAGAUGCUUGAUACAUCUCCAACGUAUCUAUAAUUUUUUAUUGCUCCAUGCUAUAUUAUCUUCUGUUUUGGACAUUAUUGGGCUUUAUUAUUAACUUUUAUAUUAUUUUUGGGACUAACCUAUUAACUGGAGGGCCAGCCCAGAAUUGCUGUUUUUUGCCUACUUUAGAAUUUCGCAGAAAAAGAAUAUCAAACGGAGUCCAAACGGAAUGAAACCUUCGGGAACAUGAUUUUCGGAACGAACAUGAUCCAGGAGACAUGGACCCUACGUCAAGAAACAAAACAGGAAGCCACGAGGAAGGGGGCGCGCCCAGCCCCCUAGGGCGCGCUCUCCACCCUCGUGGGCCCCUUGUUGCUCCACCGACGUACUUCUUCCUCCUAUAUAUACCUACGUACCCCCAAAUGAUCAGAUACGGAGCCAAAAACCUAAUUCCACCGCCGCAACCUUCUGUACCCAUGAGAUCCCAUCUUGGGGCCUGUUCCGGAGCUCCGCCGGAGAGGGCAUCGAUCACGGAGGGCUUCUACAUCAACACCAUAGCCCCUCCGAUGAAGUGUGAGUAGUUUACCUCUGACCUUCAGGUCCAUAGUUAUUAGCUAGAUGGCUUCCUCUCUCUUUUUGGAUCUCAAUACAAUGUUAUCCCCCUCUCUCGUGGAGAUCUAUUCGAUGUAAUCUUCUUUUGCGGUGUGUUUGGUGAGACCGAUGAAUUGUGGGUUUAUGAAUAAGUUUAUCUAUGAACAAUAUUUGAAUCUUCUGAAUUCUUUUAUGUAUGAUUGGUUAUCUUUGCAAGUCUCUUCGAAUUAUCAGUUUGGUUUGGCCUACUAGAUUGAUCUUUCUUGCAAUGGGAGAAGUGCUUAGCUUUGGGUUCAAUCUUGCGGUGUCCUUUCCCAGUGAUAGUAGGGGCAGCAAGGCAGGUAUAGUAUUGUUGCCAUCGAGGAUAACAAAAUGGCUUUUUUUAUCAUAUUGCAUGAAUUUAUCCCUCUACAUCAUGUCAUCUUGCUUAAGGCGUUACUCUGUUCUUAUGAAAUUAAUACUCUAGAUGCAUGUUGGAUAGCGGUCGAUGUGUGGAGUAAUAGUAGUAGAUGCAGGCAGGAGUCGGUCUACUUGUCUCGGACGUGAUGCCUAUAUACAUGAUCAUACCUAGAUAUUCUCAUAACUAUGCUCAAUUCUGUCAAUUGCUCAACAGUAAUUUGUUCACCCACCGUAAAAUACUUAUGCACAUGAGAGAAGACACUAGUGAAACCUAUGGCCCCCGGGUCUAUCUUCAUCAUAUUAAUCUUUCAACACUUAGUUAUUUCCGUUGCUUUUUUACUUUGCUUUUAUUUUACUUUGCAUCUUUAUCAUAAAAAUACCAAAAAUAUUAUCCUAUCAUAUCUAUCAGAUCUCACUCUCGUAAGUGACCGUGUAGGGAUUGACAACCCCUUAUCGCGUUGGUUGCGAGGAUUUUUUGUUUUGUGUAGGUGCGAGGGACUCGCGCGUAGCCUCCUACUGGAUUGAUACCUUGGUUCUCAAAAACUAAGGGAAAUACUUAUGCUACUUUGCUACAUCACCCUUUCCUCUUCAAGGGAAAACCAACGCAGUGCUCAAGAGGUAGCAGACGCAGGACUCGCCGGCCGUGAGGGUUUUUAUAGCAGGCCGGUAAGCAUUGGGAUUUUGGGGGAUUUCACCUAGUCGGGCGAGAAGCUUGUGUGGGAAUCUGCGAGGUUGCGCGGGAACAGGCUCACCGACAAUUCAUUGGCGCCACCGUUUGGCCAAAAGAACGCCCCCGCGCGCUACGCAAGCUUGCGCGUAAGCCGUAUGCGGGAGCGGGGUGACAAGACGUGCGAGAGGAGGACGAAAGGACACGUACACAUACGGUUAAUAAAAAAACAUUUCGAUUUAAUUACCUACUAUACCCCCGUCCUGGUUUAUAAGUAGGAUUUAACUAAUAAAAUACGAAUGCAUGUCGCCAAAGAUUAUAUCGUUGGAGUCGUAUUUGAACAUAGUUUCCAGCUAUACAAUUUUUGUAACAUGCAUUAACAUUUUUUGGGUUAAAUUUAAGGUUAUAUACUAGCAAGAAUUUGCCUAGAACACACACGGCUUAUUCCAUCACAAACAGCUCGGAUGGAUCAACUGUAUGCCACGUAUCGCACACGCAACUCUAAUAUGAUUCGUGCUUGAUGUCUCCGACAUCGCUCGCAUAGUUCGUCUUAUUUGCCACGUAUCACUGUGCGGGCCUCUGCUCGCGUCCCUCGGCAAGCUCUGCUCGCCAUUAGGCGCCGAGGCGCGCUCUGUCGCGUCCGUUGGUGCGCUCUGCUCGCGUCCGUCGGCGCGCUUGGCUCGCGUCCGUCGGCGCGCUCGGCUUGUGGACAACUUUUCCUUGCGCGUUCAAUUGCUAUAUGCAUAUAUAUAUGGUUGCUCGCCGUUAAGGCGACCGCGGAGCACUCUGCUCGCGUCCCUCUACGUGCGCUCUGCCAGCGGUUGGGCGUGCGCACGAUCACGUCGGGGCCCCCAUAUGCAUGCGGUUGCGCCGCGCACAUUGCCACGCGAUCCAGUUACGUGCGGCAUGAUGGAGUUACGCGCUGCAAAUUAGAACUGCCAUCAGGGCCUGCCGAUAUUCCUGGCCGUCCGGCUUCCCCUUUAAUUCCCGUGGCCAUUAUAACCUUAGUCUCUUCAACCUUUCGAUCGCGCCCCACAACACAACAAGCACACCCACGACGACACAUAGAGAGGGGAUGUCCAGCGGCGCUCCAAUGGAGUUCGGCAAGCAUAGAGUGGAGACCCACACGAGGGAGACGGAUCUCUCGGUGGUCUACACCAUCGACCCGGCCGUGGUGGAUGACUACAUCAACAGCGUUGAGCAGUUGCUUGCUCGAGACAAGUACAAGGUGGUUGGCAUUGACCUCCAGUACACCGCCGGUCGUCCCGGCAUAGAUCAGAAGGUUGCCGUCGCCCAGUUGUGCGUGCGCCAUCAUGUCCUCAUCUACCACUACUGCAUGGCCGCAGAGCCUUGCGACCGUUUCAACAGGUUUGUCAACAGCACCGACUACAAGUUCGCCACGGUGGAAACCAUGGACGAUGUAAAAGCGCUCAGUGUUACGGGCUUGGCCUGCAAGAACCCUGUUGAAAUCCAUGACCACUACAGGUUCUGGGGCAGCACGAAGAAGGACUCCCUGGUCGAACUCGCCUUGGCCAUCAUCGACCCCUACUACGAAAAGAUGAAGCAGGAUGCCCAGAGAACAAGCCCCCUAUCCUGGCACAGGGCUUGGCUGCGACAACUGGAUGAACCUCACCUUAGGUUCGCGGCCAAGAGCGUGUACACAUGCUACAAGAUGCACAGGCGGAUCGUUGACAUGAGGAAGUGUCUCGUUACCCAAAUCGACGAGCCUGGAUCGAGCCACAAGCAGAGCAAGCGUCACAAGAAUUAGAUGAUGAUCAGAUGAUCAUUUAUGCUAGUUGAUCAUGCAUGUAAUAUAUAGUUUACUUUAUUGGUGUGUGGAAAUGUCAUGUGUGUAUUAGCCACCUAUGUAAUUAUGCAUGUAAUAGUUUCUUUGGUGUGUGCAAAUGCCAUGGUUGUAGUAGCCACCUAUGUAAGUGGAUGUUUAAUUUUGUUAUGCAAGCAUGUCCUUAUAUAUAUAUAUAUAUAUAUAUAUAUAUAUAUAUAUAUAUAUUGUUGUUCUGUAUGCAAUCCCAUCGCACAACACACACGUCUUAUUAGCAGCAACCGUCUGUGUUAUUAUUGGUCUUCACACACAUUUCUGAUUACAGACCUGUUUGCCGCGUAUCACACACAUGUUGUUAAGUUGAACCAUUUCUGUUCUCAUGUCUGAACGCAAACAGUUCAUCCGAGUGAACCGCAUGCCGUAUAUCGCACACACCUUGAUCUGGCUGACCGUUUCUUUUGUGUUGCCUAAUCACAAACAGUUCAUCCAAGUGAACCGUAUACUGUGUAUCGCACACGCCUUCCUCUGGCUGCCCAUUUCUUUUGUUCCUCCUCAUCGCAAACAGUUAAUUGAACUGUACCGUAUGCCCUUCAUCGGACAUGCAACUAAAACCUGAACCGUGUUUGAUGCAUCCGUCAUCGCAAACGUUUUAUACAUUUGUAACGGUUUUCAUACACCACGGUUUGCGAUUAUGGCAUCGCACACAGUUUCUCAAAGGGUCUCUGAUCGUAGUGUCGCGUUAGCAGCAUCCUGCAGUAGUGCUGAAGUGAUUUUCAGGGAAGAAAAUGAAUAUUUUUCUUUAUGAAAAAUGUUCCUUGGGCUUUUGUUGGAGUUUUUCAGAGAAGGAAAGGUGAGUUAGAGGUGAAUGAGUCACUUGGGUGAAAUUCAAGGGUAGGCCCAAGUGUUCAAGUCCAUUUGAAUCGAUUCAAAACUCCAAAUCAAAGCAAAAUGCACAUGAAAGUCCGAAAAAAGAGAAAAGGCAAAAACAAGGCUGUCACAAGAAAACCAUAGCUUUAUCAUUAGCCGGAAGUAACAGGCGCAUGAUGGUAUGAAGCUCUCCAAAAUUAUUUUGGAACGGAGUCCUGAUAGGAUAAUUCGCUUUUUGGUACGAAGUUCAGCAAGAGCCUUUCGAAUAUCGCUAUUUGGAAGGCCUUUGCUGAACUUUGUACCAUAAAGCAAAUUAUCCUAUCAGGACUCCCUUCGAAAAUAACUUUGGAGAGCUUCAUACCAUCAUGCGCCUGUUACUUCCGGCUAAUUAUGAAACCAUGGAUUUCUUCAAUACUUUAACACAAGAGAACGUGCACAUAUAGAAUGGUAGAUGAGAUCAGGAAAAAUAUGGAUCAACUUAAUUAUGCACAUCCAUAAUGGGGGAAUUCUUGAUAAAUCUCUUUUGAAGUUAUCGGGGAGGGGGUAUAUCGACCCCCCUCCUCAUGUCGAAGUUAUUCGGGAGGGGGUAUAUCGACAACGAUGACAUACAUACAUGGAAAACAAUGUUACCGGGGAGGGGGCAAAUCGACCCCGCCCCCCCCUCAUGUCGAAGUUAUCGGGGAGGGGGUAUAUCUACAACGACAUACCCGAUAAAAAAAUAAGAAGAGGAAGAAUAAGAAAAAAAGAAGAAAAGAAGAAUGAAUAGAGGAGAAGAAGAAUUUUUUCCUCUAUUCCUUCUUCUUAUCCUCUUUUUCUUAUUCUUUUUCCUCUUCUUAUUUAUUUCUCCUCUUCUUCCUCUCCUCUUCUUCUCCUUCUUCUUCUCCUUCUUCCUCUUCUUAUUUUCCUUUCUCCUCUCCUUCUUUUCUUCUAAAUAUGAACAUAUAUACAUAAAUGACUUUGAUCAUACAAAAUUUUCCUAUACAUACACAAUUUUUUUCUAAAUAUGCACAUAUAUAUGAACAUAUACAUAAAUUGACAAAAAAAUACAUUGAACAAAAAAAAUCAUACAUCAAUGCAUACCGCUACCUCUUGAGCACUGCGUUGGUUUUCCCUUGAAGAGGAAAGGGUGAUGCAGCAAAGUAGCGUAAGUAUUUCCCUCAGUUUUUGAGAACCAAGGUAUCAAUCCAGUAGGAGGCUACGCGCGAGUCCCUCACACCUACACAAAAGAAAUAAAUCCUCGCAACCAACGUGAUAAGGGGUUGUCAAUCCCUACACGGUCACUUACGAGAGUGAGAUUUGAUAGAUAUGAUAAGAUAAUAUUUUUGGUAUUUUUAUGAUAGAGAUGCAAAGUAAAGAAAGCAAAAUAAAAGGCAAUGGAAAUAGCUUGUUGUUGGAAGAUAAAUAUGAUGGAAAAUAGACCCGGGGGCCAUAUGUUUCACUAGUGGCUUCUCUCAGGAGCAUAAGUAUUUACGGUGGGUGAACAAAUUACUGUUGAGCAAUUGACAGAAUUGAGCAUAGUUAUGAGAAUAUCUAGGUAUGAUCAUGUAUAUAUGCAUCAUGUCCGAGACAAGUAGACCGACUCCUGCCUGCAUCUACUACUAUUACUCCACACAUCGACCGCUAUCCAGCAUGCAUCUCGAGUAUUAAGUUCAUAAGAACAGAGUAAUGCUUUAAGCAAGAUGACAUGAUGUAGAGGGAUGAACUCAUGCAAUAUGAUAUAAACCCCAUCUUGUUAUCCUCGAUGGCAACAAUACAAUACGUGCCUUGCUGCCCCUACUGUCACUGGGAAAGGACACCGCAAGAUUGAACUCAAAGCUAAGCACUUCUCCCAUUGCAAUAAAGGUCAAUCUAGUAGGCCAAACCAAACUGAUAAUUCGAAGAGACUUGCAAAUAUAACCAAUCAUACAUAAAAGAACUCAGAGAAGAUUCAAAAUAUUGUUCAUAGAUAAACUUGAUCAUAAACCCAAAAUUCAUCGGUCUCAACAAACGCACCGCAAAAGAAGAUUACAUCGAAUAGAUCUCCACGAGAGAGGGGGAGAACAUUGUAUUGAGAUCCAAAAAGAGCGAAGAAGCCAUCCAGCUAAUAACUAUGGACCCGAAGGUCUGAGGUAAACUACUCACACAUCAUCGGAGAGGCUAUGGUGUUGAUGUAGAAGCCCUCCGUGAUCGAUGCCACCUCCGAUGGAGCACCGGAACAGGCCCCAAGACGGAAUCUCAUAGGUACAGAAGGUUGCGGCGGUGGAAUUAGGUUUUUGGCUCCAUAUCUGGUAGUUUGGGGGUACGUAGGUAUAUAUAGGAGGAAGGAGUACGUCAGUGGAGCAACAGGGGGCCCACGAGGGUGGAGGGCGCGCCCGGGGGGGUAGGCGCGCCCCCCUACCUCGUGGCUUCCUGGUUGAUGUCUUGACGUAGGGUCCAAGUCCUCUGGAUCACGUUCGUUCCGAAAAUCACGUUCCCGAAGGUUUCAUUCCGUUUGGACUCCGUUUGAUAUUCUUUUUCUGCGAAACUCUGAAAUAGGCAAAAAAACAGCAAUUCUGAGCUGGGCCUCCGGUUAAUAGGUUAGUCCCAAAAAUAAUAUAAAAGUGUAUAAUAAAGCCCAAUAAUGUCCAAAACAGAAUAUAAUAUAGCAUGGAGCAAUCAAAAAUUAUAGAUACGUUGGAGACGUAUCAAGCAUCCCCAAGCUUAAUUCCUGCUCGUCCUCGAGUAGGUAAAUGAUAAAAACAGAAUUUUUGAAGUGGAAUGCUACUUGGCAUAAUUUCAAUGUAAUUCUUCUUAAUUGUGGUAUGAAUAUUCAGAUCUGAAAGAUUCAAGAUAAAAGUUCAAUAUUGACACAAAAACAAUAAUACUUCAAGCAUACUAACUAAGCAAUUAUGUCCUCUCAAAAUAACAUGGCCAAAGAAAGUUCCUCCCUAUAAAAUCAUAUAGUUUAGUCAUGCUCCAUUUUCGUCACACAAGAAUGCUCUCAUCAUGCACAACCCCGAUGACACAUACUUUAAUAAUCUCCAACUUUCUCAACUUUCAAGCAAUACAUGCACUACUAGGAAAAGGGCUAUAGAUGGAAUGGCCACUAAUGGCGCACCAGACAUGUGGUGCGCCAUUGCUAUGUAGCAGUGGCGCACCAUGUGCUGGUGCGCCAUUAGUGUGAAAUACACUAAUGGCGCACCAGGCACACGGUGCGCCAUUAGUAACAAAUUUUAUUUUUUUUAUUUUGCCAGACAUACUAAUGGCGCACCAGGGCACAGUGCGCCAUUACUAGUUCUAGUAAUGGCGCACCAGCAACAUAGUGCGCCACUACAAUAUUUUUUUAUUUUUUACUUUUUUGCAAAACUACUAAUGGCGCACCUGGGGCAGUGCGCCAUUACUAGUUUAAGCUAGUAAUGGCGCACUGCUCCCUAGUGCGCCAUUAGGGUUUUUUUUUUGCAAAACUACUAAUGGCGCACCACCAGCAGGUGCGCCAUUAGUAACCAGGGUUACUAAUGGCGCAUUAGGUGGUGGUGCGCCAUUAGUAACCUGGGACGAGCUAGAUAUUUUGGACAGCCACACCUACCCACUCACUUUCCCCACUUCAUUCUCUCCUCCCUCCUCCAAGCUUGUCUCGGCUGCCUCCUCGUCCUCACCUCAUUUGCACCAUAAAUUCAUCGAAAUUACGUGGUUAAAACCCCCCUUUUUUUGAUAGGUAAGUAAGGGGGAAGCUAUCUUUAUGUUGUUCUCCCUCCAACAACGUGCACAUGCACUUUUUAUGUCCUAGCUAGAUCUAUGUAUGUUUGUGGUGUUGCAUAUAUGUUUGUGUUUGCAGGUACCGGUAUUUGAAAUGCGAUAGUUGCCAAUAUUUUGCCGGAAUGUUGAUUCAUUUCCGUUUCGGCGAGAAUUUUGGCACUAUGCAUUCUUUUUGGUCCUAUUUUUAGGGAAAGUCAUGCCAAAUUUUUUCUUGGUUCUAAAAUAUCGUUUUGCUCUACCCCGCAGGCGACCAUGGUCCGCACGAUGACCGAAGGCAUCGUGAAUAGGUUUUUGAGCUCCGCGAAGGCCGAGAUGCUUGAAAAGAACGAGACGGAGAUAAGAUGUCCGUGUCGAAGAUGCAAGCUGAAGAGCCUUAUUGCGGACCCGGAUUUCGGGCAGGUGCGGGACCACGUGCUCAUGCGUGGUUUCAUGGAUGGCUGUCGGUGGCAUGGUGAUGAAGAUGACUAUGAAGUCGUCCAUGGGGGUCGGGCAAGAAAUGAGGAUGCGCAGCAGGACAACCACCGCGGCUCGGGCGGGCGAGAAGGCGAAGAAUCUCCAAGACAUGAUCACGACGGUGAUGCUGUACACAGUCAUCAUGUAGAAGAUGCCGAACAUGAUGAUGAGGAAGAUGCGGGAGCAGACGAAGGGCAUGAUCAUGAAGAUGAAGAUGCCGGCGGAGCAGACGACGAUGGACCAUCGAUGGGCUGGGUGCAGGACCCUCAUCUUCAAGAGCUGCUUCUCAAGCGGACGGAUAACGCAAGAGCUGCCGCCCGAGAGAAAGCCAAGCUGGAUCAACUGGAGAUAGACGCGGUUACUCCAUUGUAUGAAGGAUGCACGCCCGAGGAUACCCGCCUGAAAGUAACGCUCAUGGCUCUGGAGAUGAAGGUAAAGCACAAAAUGACCGACGCAUGCUUCGACGAGAACAUGUCAUUCUGGCACGAACGUCUUCCCAAGGGGAACAAGUGCCCGACCAGUUUUGAGGAGGUGAAGAAAAUCGUGUGUCCUCUGGAUUUACCGCACGUGAAAUACCAUGUGUGCAUGAACAAUUGCAUCAUUUAUCGGGACGAGCACGCGGAGUCUACCAUAUGUCCGGUGUGCGGCGUCACUCGAUACAAGAAGAGGAAGAAAGCUCCUCGAAAAGUGGUGUGGACCCUAAGGUAGCAAAGCUCCUGCGUUGGCACGCGGAUAGCGAGGAGAAGAAGCGAGAAGAUGGCGCAAAUGAUCCGGAGAUAAAUAAAAAAGACAAGAUGCUGAGUCACCCUAAGGAUGGGAGCCAGUGAAAGCGUUGAACUUCGAACACCCAGAAUUUGGGAACGAUCCAAGGAACAUCAUGCUGGGCGCGAGCACGGAUGGAGUCAAUCCGUUUGGCAGCCAGAGAAGCACACAUAGCACCUGGCCUGUGUUUGUGUGGAUCUACAACCUUCCCCCCUGGUUGUGCAUGAAGAGGAAGUACAUUCACAUGAGUAUGCUAAUUGAAGGGCCGAAACAACCAGGGAACGACAUCAAUCUGUAUCUGGGGCUGCUGGAAGAGGAGCUAGACACGCUGUGGAAAACGCCAGCCAAUACAUGGGAUGCCGCAGAGAAAGAAUAUUUCCCUAUGAGAGCCGCACUGCUCACGACGGUGCACGACUAUCUCGGUUUCAGAUAUCUCGCGGGGCAGGUGGUCCACGGAUUUUCUGGAUGCGUCAGGUGCAUGGAUGACACAACGUAUCGCCAGCUAGAUAGAGAUCCCGGGUCUUCGAAAACCGUGUUCAUGGGACAUCGAAGGUGGCUUCGCGACGAUGACCCGUGGAGGAAACGCAAGGAUCUGUUCGAUGGUGAAACCGAACCCCGAAGACGCCCGCGUACGAGGAGCGGCGAGGAAAUAGACGAGCUGUUGAAAAAUUGGAAAGAUUGCCCACUGCCGGGAAAGAAGCAAAAGGCGCCAGAGCCGGGAAAGAAGCGAAAGGCGCCAGAGCCACUGCUGAAGGUAUGGAAAACGAGGUCUGUUUUCUGGGACUUGCCGUACUGGAAGAUCCACCGUGUGCCUCACAGCCUUGAUGUCAUGCAUAUCACGAAGAACGUGUGCGAGAGUCUGCUUGGUACCUUGCUCAACAUGCCAGAGAGGACCAAAGAUGGGCCGAAAGCAAGGGCAGACUUGAAAUCAAUGGGCAUUAGGGAGGAGCUUCACGCUAAUGAUGAUGAUGAUGAUGAGGCGAAGCAGGACACGGAAAGUCGUCGCAAAGGCAAAAAGGCCAAGAAGACCGGAAAUGACUUCCCUCGUGCUUGCUUCACUCUAAGUCAGGAGGAGAUCGAUCAGUUUUUCACCUGCCUCGUAGGAGUAAAACUUCCUUAUGGUUACGCGGGGUAGAUAAGCAGAUACCUAGACUCAGUGAAGCAGAAGUUCAGCGGGAUGAAGUCUCACGACUGUCACGUGCUGCUGACGCAGAUACUUCCAGUUGCAAUCCGUGGGAUCAUGGACGCGCACGUCCGUGAAACGCUAUUUGUCCUAUGCAACUUUUUGGACGUCAUCUCUUGGAAGUCGGUUGGCGUGAGGCAACUCAGAAGGCUACAGGAAGAGAUCGUGGUGAUACUAUGCGAGCUUGAGAUGUACUUCCCUCCCGCAUUCUUCGACAUUAUGGUGCAUCUGCUGGUCCAUAUCGUGGAGGAUAUCAUCCAACUCGGGCCGACAUUCCUGCACAGCAUGAUGCCAUUCGAAAGGAUGAAUGGUGUCAUCAAAGGAUACGUUCGCAACAUGUCACGUCCAGAGGGAAGCAUAGCCAGGGUCUUUCUGACCGAAGAGUGCAUCUCCUACUGCACGAAUUAUCUAGGCAUCGAGAACCCCGUUGGUCUGCCUGUCAACAGGCACCUCGGCAGGCUCGCUGGAUGGGGUCACCGUGAGGGUCGCCGCGAAAUGCAUGUCGACUUCGAUGGUCGACUCGCCGACUAUGAAAGAGCAAACCUAGUCGCGCUACAACACAUAGACGUGGUCGAUCCUUGGGUGGUAGAGCACAAAACGUUUAUUGAGAAGAUGUACAAUGACCGAGGCCAACAGAGGACGGACGGAGAUAUAAUCAAAGAGCACAACUCAUGUUUCACGCGUUGGUUCAAGCAGAAGCUUCUGUCGUACCCUUUACAUGAGGAUUCUUCCAUGGAAGAACAACUCAUAUUCGCCUUGUCACAGGGCGCCGAGCACAACCUGAUUACGUAUGAGGCGUACGAUAUCAACGGGUAUACAUUCUACACCGAGGAAAAGGACAUGAAGAGCGAUGGUUAUCAGAACUCCGGGGUAACGAUGGAAUCCUACACCGGUAACGACAAGGACAGAUACUACGGAAGGAUCGAGGAGAUCUGGGAGCUGAGCUACGCUGGAGAGAAGGUCCCGAUGUUCCGUGUCAGAUGGGCCAAGAGCGUCAUAAAAGAAGACUGGUAUUUCACCACCAUGGUUAUACCCGAAGCCAAAUCCAAGACCGCAGGCGCGAACGUCACCGCGAAAAAUGAGCCAUGGGUACUGGCUUCCCAAGUGGACCAAUGCUUCUUCAUUACCGACCCAUCAAAGCCCAGUCGUGUUGUCGUGAGGAGAGGCAAAAGGAAGAUCAUCGGAAUGGAUGGAGUCACCAAUGAGCAAGACUUCGACAAGUACGGCGACCCGAAGAUGGAACAUGACGACGACGAUGAAGUAUCAGCAUACACCACAAGAAGAAGCAGGACCACCCUACCUAAAGGACGUCCGUUCAAGAGAAGAACUCCAUUUACGAAAAAUAAGGGCAAGAAGAUUGUGAACAGAUAGCUAGCUAAGAUCGAUUGUAUUUAAAUUGUAGCCUUCAUUUCUCGAUUGUAUUUCAUGGGCACUUUUUGAACUCAUGAAUGUUUUUAAAUUUCAUGGACACUCGAUCUCGNNNNNNNNNNNNNNNNNNNNNNNNNNNNNNNNNNNNNNNNNNNNNNNNNNNNNNNNNNNNNNNNNNNNNNNNNNNNNNNNNNNNNNNNNNNNNNNNNNNNNNNNNNNNNNNNNNNNNNNNNNNNNNNNNNNNNNNNNNNNNNNNNNNNNNNNNNNNNNNNNNNNNNNNNNNNNNNNNNNNNNNNNNNNNNNNNNNNNNNNNNNNNNNNNNNNNNNNNNNNNNNNNNNNNNNNNNNNNNNNNNNNNNNNNNNNNNNNNNNNNNNNNNNNNNNNNNNNNNNNNNNNNNNNNNNNNNNNNNNNNNNNNNNNNNNNNNNNNNNNNNNNNNNNNNNNNNNNNNNNNNNNNNNNNNNNNNNNNNNNNNNNNNNNNNNNNNNNNNNNNNNNNNNNNNNNNNNNNNNNNNNNNNNNNNNNNNNNNNNNNNNNNNNNNNNNNNNNNNNNNNNNNNNNNNNNNNNNNNNNNNNNNNNNNNNNNNNNNNNNNNNNNNNNNNNNNNNNNNNNNNNNNNNNNNNNNNNNNNNNNNNNNNNNNNNNNNNNNNNNNNNNNNNNNNNNNNNNNNNNNNNNNNNNNNNNNNNNNNNNNNNNNNNNNNNNNNNNNNNNNNNNNNNNNNNNNNNNNNNNNNNNNNNNNNNNNNNNNNNNNNNNNNNNNNNNNNNNNNNNNNNNNNNNNNNNNNNNNNNNNNNNNNNNNNNNNNNNNNNNNNNNNNNNNNNNNNNNNNNNNNNNNNNNNNNNNNNNNNNNNNNNNNNNNNNNNNNNNNNNNNNNNNNNNNNNNNNNNNNNNNNNNNNNNNNNNNNNNNNNNNNNNNNNNNNNNNNNNNNNNNNNNNNNNNNNNNNNNNNNNNNNNNNNNNNNNNNNNNNNNNNNNNNNNNNNNNNNNNNNNNNNNNNNNNNNNNNNNNNNNNNNNNNNNCCCUCCCCCACUCCACCGCCGCCGACGACCCCCCGCACCCUCUCCCCCGCACCCUCCCCGGCCUGCUCCACCGUCACAAAUGAAUGCAACUAAAUUUGCAAAAAAAUAGCAAAUUUGAUUAUAUUUUCAAAUAACAAUUUUGAUGAUAUUUUUUAAAAAAUCAUUACUGUUUUUAUAAAAAAUAUUACGGUUAUGAUUUAAACAAGUUUGAACAUAUUUAAACACAAAUAAAUAUCAAACAACAUUUUAAAUGCAUAAAAACAAAAAUUGGGGAGCCUGGGAAUCGAACCCAGGACCUCCUAGUGUGUGUGCUGUGUGCUGACCAGUCGGGCUAGUGGGCGUGUUCUGAUGGAGAUAGGGUUAGGUGGAAUAUAACCUGACCAGUCGGGCUAGUAAUUAAAACAAAAUUCUAAUGGCGCACCCGGGGGAGGUGCGCCAUUAGAAUCGACGUACUUAUGGCGCACUAGAGGGAGGUGCGCCAUUGCUAACCCACUCCACUUGUUCCCCUCGCACUGUGGCCUCCCUCCCUCCCUCGCCAGAUCCCCCACUCGACCCCAACCGUACGCCGCCGCCCCCUUGCUCCGCCCCCUCCGUCCGCCGUGCCUGCACGCCGUCCGCCGCUGUGGUCUUGCGCUGCCUCGACGCCGCCGCCCCGACCCCCGCGGGACUCCACCCCCGUUGCCCCCGCGCCCCCCGAACGGGAUCGGCCGAGCGUGCGCCGCCCGCUCCUCUCCUCUCCUCCUCCCUCCGACGAGCGAGGGCCUCCUCCGGCCCCUGCAGCAGGCGGCGAGCGCGGCCCCGACGCGCCCAUCCCGCCUGCCCCUGGCGUCCUCCGCCACCGGCCCCUGCUCUCCUUCGACCGCGGCGAGCGAGGACCCGGACGAGCUCGGACCCCGACCGCGACCCCUUCGCCGACCCCGACCCCGACCCCUCCGGCGACCAGGUACCUCUCCUCCUUCCUCCUUCCUCCCUCUCUCCACCAUUCCCCAUUCCCUCCCUCCCUCCCCUCGACCGUGGCAGUGUAGGUCAUCUGACAGGGUAGUCCAUGGAUUCAAACUAGCUAAAGGAGAUUCAAACUAAUGGAAGUGUCAUGUGAACUCUAGAGCUCUGUCACCAUCAUUCAACACUCUACUUGCUUGCAUGAUACUCCUAUGUGCUACUGCGGUGGCUGCUUUGUAAUUACUAGUGUAGUGCUGCUGUUUAACCAACCUGACUGAUCCUCCAACAUUCAUCUUACUUACUCACGUGCAGCUUACUGAACAAGUGCAAGCGCUGCAGAGGGACAAGGAGAUACUCAAGACCAACCUAAACAAAGCAGAGGAGGAGGUACGAUACAUACCGAACCUCUCUUGUCCUUGCAACUGCAAACAUGUUCUGCACCUAUGACUUUUAUCGCCUUCUCAGUGAAUGUCAAUAGAUUUGUGCGAAACUAGCAUGGUUCUGACGGUUAGAAGUUUCUUGCGUGUUUCCAUUCAAGGUUAAGUUGCUGUUUGAGGAGAACAGAGCCCUCGACGAAGCAAACAAGAGGCUGCUGUGCUUGCUGGAGAAGGAGCAGAAGCAUCGGUCCGAAAGAAAGCACUCCGCCAGUAAUUCCAGCAAGGUAAAAAGCACCAACCAACCAUAAAGCUCACACAAGUGUGUACUACUGAUUUAAUUUAAUUUAGUACACGCACACACACAGGCAGUAGAACUGUUAGUUGAAACCAUGAAUUACCCUGUGCUGCUGAAGAUGAGUAGUUGUAGGAAGAUGAUGCCCUAAUGGAAGUGACAUGAGUAUUUGGCCUGCCCAUCAUGUUUGUUGGUUGUUUGCUGUCAUGUUGUUAUUACUUCCAUUAGGGCAUCUGUUGGUUCAUUAAUCUUAAGCCCAUUAUUCCAUGGAAUAGCUGAACUAUAAUACUAUUAUUCAUUUAUGAUAGUUUGUGAGAUACAGAAAUAGAUAAAUUUAAGUUUGUAAUGGCUAAUAGCCAGACAUGUGAAUCUGUUCUUGAUACUCCUUUUCCCUUUUCUUAGAAUCAUCAUAUACAAAUUAGAACCUUUCUAACAUCUGCAUAUUUCAGGUUUCCGAGGAGGUAACGGAAGUGAAGUCCAGACAGUGCAGCAGCAGCAACACCUCCAAGGUGAGAAAUAUGUUCCUAUUUAUCUUUGUUUGCUCAAGUUCUUCAGUACAUCAUAUAAUAUAGAGAAGUGCAGAUCAAGUGGUGCAAUCAUAUACAUCUGGCCACUUAUUUGCUCCAAUGGCACAAACUUGAGCUGCUACCAUAAAAAGUGUUGCAGGCGACAGACAGUGAGGAGCUACUGUCAAAAACUUGAGCUACUAUAAAAAAAUUCAGUUAUGGCAUCUAGAAUUAUGUCAGUUUUGUUUUGUAACUAGAAGACCAAAGUGUUAGGAAUUCUGUCCAAACUGUAGUUUUCAGUAUUCUGUCCAAACUAAAAACUGUUAAAAAGACCAUGUGUUUUUUGGUCAAAAUCUGCAUGUAAAACUGAAAUAAUCAGUCAUAAAGAAUAUCCUCAAGACCAUGUGUUUCUUGGAUUUCUGUAAUGAUGAUGGAACAUUAUAAAGCAUUGUACUCCAGUGUGUAUGAAGGAUACAAAAAAUUUAGCAACUUCUCUGAUUUUAUAAAGUUCUUCUUAUAUGGGUGAAACUUCACUUGUUUUUAGGCUAGUGCAGGGUGUUGCUUUAUUGUGAUGCCUCUGAAUUACUUGUGAUCACAUUGAGAAACACUUGCAAAGAUGAUGAUCAUCUUUUACAGAAAACAAUUUCUGUAAACACGUCAGUAACUUUGCUAGUUUGCUGGGUUUUGUCUCCGACCAUUGUGUCGUGAUGAAUUUGCAGGUACCCCGAGAGGCCCUUGAGUUUGCUGGAAUGUCGAUUAACUUCCGUUCCGGCAAAUGCGGGUACUCCAUAUGUCCUAUUUUCAGCAAAGGUCAUGCUGAAAUUUUCCGUGAAUUUUAGCAUGACUUUGCUAAAAAUAGGACAUAUGGGGUACUUGUGACUAAUGCAUGGGCCAGGGUAUCUUAGUACUUAGUUAAGUAGGAUCAACUGCCCCGCCAUUCUUGCUGCAUUAAACCAUAGGUGGCAAUAGAGCCAAGUGAUUACGCCCAACUUAGAAUUCUCCUUAGCAUCGAUAAACCCUAGAUGAUAAACCCAACAUAGGUGGCAACAGAGCCAAGUGAUUAGGCCCAACCUAGGGUGCCUCGGCAUCGAUAAACCCUAAAUGAUGAAAACUUAACUUAGCAUUUAGGGUGCCUCGGCGUCGACAAACCCUAAAUGAUGAAACCUUGGCUUCUAUAGGGUGCCUCGGUGUCGAUGAGAACCUAAAUGAUGUACGCUUAGGCUUUUAGGGUGCCUCGGCGUCGACAAACCCUAAAUGAUAAAAGCUUAGCUUUUAGGAUGCCUCGGUGUCGACAAACCCUAAAUGAUGAGACCGUGAUCUUGUUCCUUGACAAUAACCAACUUUUUGACAAACUUUUUUCCUAUUUAGAGCGAAACAUGGCCCACAACAAUGAGGCCGGCGGUUCGGGCGGCAAUCAAUUCUGGGAGCUGUCCCAGGAGAUGGAGGAAGAACCUCACCGCUAUGAGGACGCCGCGGAAGACACCGAUCCUGACUACACAACCCCUAGUGGCGUUGGGGAUGACACCACUGAUGGUGCCGCCGAGGAUGCCACCACUGAGAAUGGCGGCGCACGCACAGAUGGCAGCCAACCGAAGAGGCAACGGAAGGACCGGCGCCCGAACGUGCUCGGCACCGUCAAGGAGGAAUUUACUGAAGUGAACUCCGACGGGCAUCCAAUGGCACCCAAACAUGUAGUCAAGGGGUACUCGGUUCAGCUCGGGUGCAUUCUCCGGAGCACCGUCUCGAUCAACACCGAGAACCUAAGGCAUAAGGACCGAGGGAAUUUGCGCAGCCUCCUCUUCACGAAGCUGCACGAACGAUACAAGUCCCCCGAUGAGUUUGCAAACACACGCCUCUCAGGGAAUAAAGUGAACAGUGCCGCCCUCACGAGGAUGAGCACGGCCCUGUCUACAUGGAGAAGCACGGUGAAGGCAAUGAUUGAAAAAGGUGAUAGUUAUGAGAAGAUCAAGGCGAAACAUCCUUUGAUGAGCGAAGAUGACUACAAGGAGUUCAAGAUCAAGUGCGAGAGCAGCGCAACCUCCGAAUCAAGUCAGUGGGGGAAAGAAAUGCGGCAGUUGAACUUAGGGGUCCACCAACUCAGUCCCGGCGGUUACAGAGUGGCGGAGCCUAUAUGGGACAAGGAGGACGCGGAGCGUGCCGAGCAAGGCCUACCGCCCCGCUUCGAGAAAUUCCCUGACAAGCAGACCAGGAACUUUGUUAGGGCCCGGUACAAGGAGGACCCGGUAACAAAGGAGCUUACCACGGAUCCGAAGACCAGGGCGCUUGAGCUUGUUCUGGUAAGGAAUACACCCCCCGCAUAAUUAGCUCCAUAUGGUUGCAUUCUAAUUAAUGAAGCCAAAUUUCUAAAUGUUUCACAUUCCUUUUGUAGGAGGCUGAAAGCAGUAGCGCGGGGUCAUCUCAGAGCUCCCCUUUUGACACCCCUUUAAAUAGGGCGUUCAACGUAAUGAAAAACAAGGAUAAGCUCAGUAAGCCGUCGUCAGCUGGUCGUGUGGCCGGCAAAGGCUUGCCCACAAAAUGGUCGUCAUACUAUACCGCUGGUGGGCGAAAGGAGAAAAAGACCAGCUCGGAAAGCCAGUCGCGCGAGGUUCAAGAACUCAAGGCACAAGUGGCGCGGAUUCCGGAGAUUUUCCAAGAGCAAGUGCAACAACAACUGGGAACGACGCUCACCGCCAUUGUGCCUACCUUGAUUCAGGGGCUGACGACGUGGAUUGCGGGCGGCCAACAGGGGCCUCCCCCGGUUCCCAGCUUCACGGCCAGCAACUCGCACAACGCGUAGGCGGCGCCAUUGGUGUCUCCGGCGGAGGCGGUAUUCAUGUCUCCGGCGCCGGCAUGGGCAUUGGAGCUUAAUGCACCCGGGUGUACGCCGGCCGGCACCUCGCCAGCAAGCGGCCCCUCCGUCAGUUGCACGCGCACGCCCGCCGUUGGCGGUGCCUCGACAUUAGCCGAGCUCGACGGCAUCACGGUAACUAAGCCUCUCGGCCGGUGACUUCAUCUCCUUUCCUUUGACUGGGCAUCCCUGACGCCAUACAUGUUUUCGCAGGGCACCACCGAUGUUCCUUGCACUCUCCUGCACUUCGUGGGCGGCGAGUUGGUCGAUGUCGCCAAGGACAGAAUCAUUCAACCGGGCAACCGCGUGUUCCACGGUAAUCCGAUGCCACCCACCUUGUAUAGGGUUGAACUGGUUCGGGUGCUGCCAGGCUGCGACGAGUUGUUACCUCCGAUUCGACCCGCUGGGGCCGACGAAGAUGAUGUGAUGACCCUCAGCGCCUGUGUAAGCUGGCCCCUGCUUUGGCCGAAGAGCCAGAUUCGUUUGGGGGCGGGGGACACCACCCCACAGACAAGACCGCCAGUCGUGCCAGCGCCAAGCCAUGGCAAGAACGCCGCAACGCUACCGGACAUGCCAGACAUCUCUAUGGCACAGGAUCCGGACAUGCAUAUGGCACAGGAUCCGGACGACGACGACAACGACGACGGUACAUUUACCAACGUCGAUAAGUACUUUGCCAAACAUGGGUACGGUGACGAGUUCUGCGGGCCUCCUUCUCAAGAACCCAACCCUCAAAAAGACGACCGCGAUCUAGCUGGUACGGCGGAGAAACCCAAUUGCAACAGGCGUCGUCUGGCAUUCAAUUCUCAGGAGACGCCUUCAGCUGCCGCCUUCAUCGAGCCUCAGAUAGCUGAGGUGCCAAAUAUUAUCAGCCCCAACACGCUCAAGAAGGCGGUCUGUGAGCAGAACUCGAUCACAUUACAGCAGAUCAGAAGAAGGGACAGAAACGAAAGACUAACAAGGGCGCCAGUGCGAGCCAGCCGGCACCGAGUACGAUCCGUGCUCAGGACGGGCCACCUUCACCUAAGGAUAUCUCGAGGAGGGUGCAUGUGGCGGGUAGGCCGAUGCUACCGACAAAUAUCCUCAAUGCUGCAACCGGUGCUAUGCAGAGUCUGCAUGGCAGUGUUCUUUCUUUGGAGAAGCGGCGUCUUAGAGAGAAUGAUGUGGCAUACCCGGUUUUCGUGGCCAAGGUGCCAGAGGGCAAGGGCUUUGUGGAUAGCGCCGUCGGGGGUACGAUCGUCCUGCGGUUUGAUGACAUCUUUGCUAUGCUUAACCUUCAUCCGCUGCACUACACCUUCGUUCGGAUGUUUUCGCUGAGUAUGGAGAUGCGGAUCAUUAGAGACAAGACCCCGGACAUUGUGAUAGUCGACCCCUUCUACAUGCGUGCCAAGAUCUUGGGCAGCGCUGGGGACCGGCAAGUCGCGAGUUCACACCUCGAAGGCGUCAUUCUGGCAAACCCAGAUAAGGAUAACUUCCUCGUGCCUUAAUUUCCCGAGUAAGUCAUCUCCUAACCGUCCCGUAACAUAUGAUUUCUUAGAUUUCGAUCGUUCAUUUUUUUCUAACAUUCCUUGUUCUGUGCAGUGACACACAUUGCACACUCAUCCUCUUAAGCCCGAAAUAUUCCACGGCCACGUAUUUCGACCCGGACCGUGACUCCAAGAUAGACUACACAAAUAUCAAGAAAGUUCUUGAUGAUGCUCUCCCCGGCUACGCCGCAUCUGGAGGCACCUUUAAGAGGCCAGUUCGUAGGUACGGCAGGCACGUGUUCACCCACAAUACGAUGUUCCCCUGCGUCAAGCAGCCGCCUGGCGGUCAGAAGGAUGCCUACUACGCCCUCCAUCACAAGCGGGCGAUCGUGCGGGACCAUAAUCACCUUCUGCUACCAAAUAAUCUCAAAGAUUGGGCCGCAAGCUUGGCGGCAAUCCAGGACGCGGACAUCCGACAAGAAAUCUUUCGCAUCCAGUCGGAGUUUGCAGAAAUCAUCCAUCAAGAUGUCCUUCGUACCUCGGGGCAGUUCUACCUCAAAUUUCAACCGUCCAACAGCGAGAUAGACACAAUGCUACAAAUGCAGGCUGACAACGCCCGCGACUUCAUGACCAUCACGACAGACGGCGGCUUCAUCCACGCUUCGGUCCCAUGAGUCGAGUCGAAAGUAGUGAUGCUAUGUGUAGUUCUGAAACAUUCAUUAGCUCAUGUUGUAAUUAAACUUUAGUGAACUUGUAUGUCUCUUUGGUUUGGACAGUCGUUCAACUUAGAUGUAAUCGAUGCUAUUUGUUAGUAGGACCAUGAAUCGUGCUAUUAAUGUCUUGCUUUUCUCUUCCGAUCCUUUUGUUGCAUACUUAUAUAUUGCUUAUGUAUUGUCUGUUGUUUGGCUAGUGCAUAGAGAUGCCGUCGUAUGUCGUGUACAAGGGUAAGGUUCCCGGAGUCUACGACGACUGGGAGGAGUGUCGGAGACAGGUUCACCAUUUCAGCGGUAACAGUUACAAAGGGUACACCACUAGGGCAGAGGCGGAAUCUAGAUACGCGCGGUAUCUAGCGGGAGAGAGGAGGGAGCGUUGGAGGAACCGGAUGAAGACCAGUUUCAUCGCGAUGAUGCUCAUCGUGAUGACCGCAGCUCUCUUCUAUGUGAUGGUAGUUUAGAUGAUCGAUAUCGACUUGUAAUGUGAAGACAAACUCGCUACUCGCGGUCUCGAGACUUGUAAUGUUCUAUCUUCGUUCGGUCUUUUGAAUUCAGAGACUAAUAUGAUGAAUUGUAUUCGGAGACUAAUCUUCUAUUGUAUUCGAUGAAUCUGCUGUUGUUGUGUCCUGCUGCUUAUAUUCUGUCCAAUAAUAUAUUUUGUAAUCUGUGCAAAAAUCAGAAAAGAAAAAAAUCCCUAAUAUACGUACUAAUGGCGCAUCACGCCAACGUGCGCCAUUAGUAUGCCAAAGGAUACUAAUGGCGCAUCGCAGCGCAGUGCGCCAUUAGUAUGCCAGAGGGUACUAAUGGCGCAUCACCCAGCAGUGCGCCAUUAGUAUGCCGAAGGAUACUAAUGGUGCAUCACACCGCAGUGCGCCAUUAGUAUGGCAAAGCACAUGGGUAUAUAUGGCCCCCUGGGAGGCAUACUAAUGGCGCACCGUGGCCUAUACUAAUGGCGCACUGCCCGGUGCGCCAUUAGAGUACCAGAUACUAAUGGCGCACCAGCGGUGCGCCAUUAGUAAAAAAUACUAGUGGCGUGAUGCUAGUGGCGCACCAGUAGUGCGACAUUAGUAGGCAAAACUGGUGCGCCACUAGUAAGCCUUUUUCUAGUAGUGAUGAGCGCGAGCCAUGGAUAUAGCACUAUGGGUGGAAUAGAAUAUAAUGAUGGGGGUUAUGUGGAGAAGACCAAAAAGGAGAAGUCUCACAUCAACGAGGCUAAUCAAUGAGCUAUGGAUAUGUCCAUCGAUUGAUGUUAAUACAAGGAGUAGGGAUUGCCAUGCAACGGAUGCACUAAAGCUAUAAAUAUAUGAAAGCUCAACAAAACAAACUAAGUGGGUGUGCAUCCAACUUGCUUGCUCACGAAGACCUAGGGCACUUGAGGAGGCCCAUUGUUGGAAUAUACAAGCCAAGUUCUAUAAUGAAAAAUUCCCACUAAUAUAUGAAAUGGACAAAACGAGAGACUCUCUAUCAUGAAGACCAUGGUGCUACUUUGAAGCACAAGUGUGGAAAAAGGAUAGUAGCAUUGUCCCUUCUCUCUUUUCUCUCAUUUUUUUAUUCCUCGCUUGGGACAAUGCUCUAGAAAAUGAUGAUCAUCACAAUUCUAUUUAUUUACAACUCAAUGAUUACAAAUCGAUACUAGCACAACGUAUGACUCUAUAUAAAUGCCUCUGGCGGUGUACCGGGAUAUGCAAUGAACCAAGAGUGACAUGUAUGAAAGAAUUAUGAACGGUGGCUUUGCCACAAAUACUAUGUCAACUACAUGAUCAUGCAAAGCAACAUGACAAUGAUGAACGUGUCAUGAUAAACGGAACGGUGGAAAGUUGCAUGGCAAUAUAUCUCGGAAUGGCUAUGGAAAUGCCAUAAUAGGUAGGUAUGGUGGCUGUUUUGAGGAAGAUAUAAGGAGGUUUAUGUGUGAAAGAGCGUAUCAUAUCACGGGGUUUGGAUGCACCGGCGAAGUUUGCACCAACUCUCAAUGUGAGAAAGGGCAAUGCACGGUACCGAAGAGGCUAGCAAUGAUGGAAAGGUGAGAGUGCGUAUAAUCCAUGGACUCAACAUUAGUCAUAAAGAACUCACAUACUUAUUGCAAAAAUCUACAGGUCAUCAAAAACCAAGCACUACGCGCAUUCUCCUAGGGGGAUAGAUUGGUAGGAAAAUACCAUCGCUCGUCCCCGACCACCACUCAUAAGGAAGACACUCAAAGAACACCUCAUGUUUCAAAUUUUUUACAUAAUGUUUACCAUACGUGCAUGCUACAGGACAUGCAAGCUUCAACACAAGUAUUUCUCAAAUUCACAACUACUCAACUAGCACAACUUUGAUAUCACUACCUCCAUGUCUCAAAACAAUCAUCAAGCAUCAAACUUCUCUUAGUAUUCAACACACUCAUAAGAAAGUUUUUACUAGUCUUGAAUACCUAGCAUAUUAGGAUUAUUUAAGCAAAUUACCAUGUUGUUUAAGACUCUCAAAAUAAUCUAAGUGAAGCAUGAGAGAUCAAUAGUUUCUAUAAAAUAAAUCCACCACCGUGCUCUAAAAGAUAUAAGUGAAGUACUAGAGCAAAAACUAUAUAACUCAAAAGAUAUAAGUGAAGCACAUAGAGUAUUCUAAUAAUUGCCGAAUCAAGUGUGACUCUCUCAAAAGGUGUGUACAGCAAAGAUGAUUGUCGUAAACUAAAAAGCAAAGACUCAAAUCAUACAAGACGCUCCAAUCAAAACACAUAUCAUGUGGUGAAUAAAAAUAUAGCUCCAAGUAAAGUUACCGAUGGAAGUAGACGAAAGAGGGGAUGCCUUCCGGGGCAUCCCCAAGCUUUGGCUUUUAGGUGUCCUUAGAUUAUCUUGGGGGUGCCAUGGGCAUACCCAAGCUUAGGCUCUUGCCACUCCUUGUUCCAUAAUCCAUCAAAUCUUUCACCCAAAACGUGAAAACUUCACAACACAAAACUUAACAGAAAAUCUCGUGAGCUCCGUUAGCGAAAGAAAACAGAAGACCACUUCAAGGUAAUGUAAUGAACUCAUUCUUUACUUAUAUUGGUGUUAAAACUACUGUAUUUACAACUUCUCUAUGGUUUAUAAAAACUAUUUUACUAGCCAUAGAUUCCUCAAAAUAAGCAAACAACACACGAAAAACAGAAUCUGUCAAAAACCGAACAGUCUGUAGUAAUCUGUAACUAACGCAAACUUCUGGAACUCCAAAAAUUCAGCCAAAAUAGGACGUCCUAGACAAUUUGUUUAUUGAUCAGCAGCAAUUAGAAUCAAUAUUUUAUCACGUUCUGGUGAUUUGUAACAAUUGUUUUCGUGAACAGAAAGUUUCUGGAAUUUACAGCAAGAUCAAAUAACUAUCAUCCAAGAAGAUCCUAUAGGUUUAACUUGGCACAAACACUAACUAAAACAUAAAAACAAAUCUAACCAGAGGCUGGAACAAAUAUUUAUUCCUAAACAGAAGCAAAAGCAAAAAACUAAAAAAUAAAAUUGGGUUGCCUCCCAACAAGCGCUAUCGUUUAACUCCCCUAGCUAGGCAUAAAAGCAAGGAUAGAUCUAGGUAUUGCCAUCUUUGGUAGGUAAUCCAUAAGUGGCUCUCAUGAUAGAUUCAUAAGGUAAUUUUAUUUUCUUUCUAGGGAAGUGUUCCAUGUCUUUCUUUAAUGGAAAUUGGAAUCUAAUAUUCCCUUCCUUCAUAUCAAUAAUUGCACCAAUCGUUCUAAGGAAAAGUCUGCCAAGAAUAAUAGGGCAUGAAGGAUUGCAAUCUAUGUCAAGAACAAUAAAAUCUACGGGCACAUAGUUCCUAUUUGCAAAAAUAAGAACAUCAUUAAUUCUUCCCAUAGGUUUCUUAAUAGUGUAAUCCGCAAGGUGCAAGUUUAGAGAGCAAUCAUCAAAAUCACGGAAACCUAAUAAAUCGCAUAAAGUUUUUGGAAUCAUGGAAACACUAGCACCCAAAUCACACAAAGCAUAUCAUUCAAUCCCACUUUUAUCAAUUUUAGCAUCAAGAUCCAAAAGCUCCGAAUUUUUGGAACACCUUCUAGGUAAAGGUGGAUCAUAUUCAGUCCCAUCGUUAUCAAGAUUCAUAUUGCAAAACAAAGAUUUAAUAGGGGACGCAUCAAUAACUUUUAGAUCUUGAUCUUUAUUUUCAUAGAAAUUUGAAGAACACGCUUUCACAAAGCAAUCUUUCUUAGCACACAUCCUAGCGGUUCUUUCUUUGCACUCAUCAAUGCAAAUUCUCAUGGCUUUGAGAGACUCAUUGAUAUCAUGCUUAGGAGGAAUAGAUCUAAGUUUUAAAGAAUCAACAUCAAGAGAAAUUCUAUCAACGUUCCUAGCUAAUUCAUCUACUUUAAGCAAUUUCUCUUCAAGCAAAGCAUUGAAAUUCUUUUGCGAAUUCAUAAAUUCCUUAACACUAAUCUCAAAUUCAGAAGGCAUCUUAUUAAAAUUUCCAAAGGAAUUGUUGUAGGAAUUACCAUAAUUGUUAGAGGAAUUACUAGGAUAAGGCCUAGGAUUAAAGUUUCCUCUAUACGCGUUAUUACCAAAAUUAUUCCUACCAACAAAAUUCACAUCCAUAGGUUCAUUAUUAUUCUCAAUCAAAGUAGACAAAGGCAUAUCAUUAGGAUCAGAAGAAACACUCUUAGUAGCAAAUAAUUUCAUAAGUUCAUCCAUCUUUCCACUCAAAACAUUAAUUUCUUCUAUCGCAUGCACUUUUUUAUUAGUAGAUCUUUCAGUGUGCCAUUGAUAAUAAUUAACCAUAAUACUAUCUAGGAGUUUAGUAGCUUCUCCUAAAGUGAUUUCCGUAAAAGUGCCUCCCGCGGCCGAAUCUAAAAGAUUUCUAGAGGCAAAAUUCAAUCCGGCAUAAAGAAUUUGUAUAAUCAUCCACAAAUUCAAACCAUGCGUAGGGCAAUUGCGUAUCAUUAAUUUCAUCCUUUCCCAAGCUUGUGCAACAUGUUCACGAUCAAGUUGCUUAAAAUUCAUAAUAUCGUUUCUAAGGGAGAUGAUCUUAGUGGGAGGAAAAUACUUAGAGAUAACAACAUCUUUGCACUUAUUCCAAGAAUCAAUACUAUUUUUAGGCAAAGAUGAAAACCAAGCUUUAGCACGAUCUCUAAGCGAAAAAGGAAAUAGCUUCAAUUUAACAAUAUCAUUGUCCACAUCUUUCUUCUUUUGCAUAUCACACAAAUCAACGAAGCUAUUUAGAUGGGUAGCGGCAUCUUCACUAGGAAGGCCGGCGAAUUGAUCUUUCAUGACAAGAUUCAACAAAGCAACAUUGAUUUCACAAGAUUCAGUAUCGGUAAGAGGAGCAAUCGGAGUGCUAAGGAAAUCAUUAUUGUUGGUAUUGGUAAAGUCACAUAAUUUGGUAUUAUCUUGAGCCAUCGUGACAAGCAAGCAAUCCAACACACGAGCAAACAAGAAGCGAACAAAAAGUGGUGAACGGAAAAGAGAGGGCGAAUAAAACGGCAAUGGUGAAGUGGGGGAGAGGAAAACGAGAGGCAAAUGGCAAAUAAUGUAAUACUUGAGAUAAGGGUUUGUGAUGGGUACUUGGUAUGUUGACUUUUGCGUAGACUCCCCGGCAACGGCGCCAGAAAUCCUUCUUGCUACCUCUUGAGCACUGCGUUGGUUUUCCCAGGAAGAGGAAAGGGUGAUGCAGCAAAUGAAGGAAAUAUGCCCUAGAGGAAAUAAUAAAGUCAUUAUUUAUUUCCUUAUAUCAUGAUAAAUGUUUAUUAUUCAUGCUAGAAUUGUAUUAACCAGAAACAUAAUACAUGUGUGAAUACAUAGACAAACAGAGUGUCACUAGUAUGCCUCUACUUGACUAGCUCGUUGAUCAAAGAUGGUUAUGUUUGCUAGCCAUAGACAUGAGUUGUCAUUUGAUUAACGGGAUCACAUCAUUAGGAGAAUGAUGUGAUUGACUUGACCCAUUCCGUUAGCUUAGCACUCGAUCGUUUAGUAUGUUGAUAUUGCUUUCUUCAUGACUUAUACAUGUUCCUAUGACUAUGAGAUUAUGGAACUCCCAUUUACCGGAGGAACACUUUGUGUGCUACCAAACGUCACAACGUAACUGGGUGAUUAUAAAGAUGCUCUACAGGUGUCUCCGAAGGUACUUGUUGGGUUGGCGUAUUUCGAGAUUAGGAUUUGUCACUCCGAUUGUCGGAGAGGUAUCUCUGGGCCCUCUCGGUAAUGCACAUCACUUAAGCCUUACAAGCAUUGCAACUAAUGAGUUAGUUGUGGGAUGAUUUAUUACGGAACGAGUAAAGAGACUUGCCGGUAACGAGAUUGAACUAGGUAUUGAGGUACCGACGAUCGAAUCUCGGGCAAGUAACAUACCGAUGACAAAGGGAACAACGUAUGUUGUUAUGCGGUUUGACCGAUAAAAUAUCUUCGUAGAAUAUGUGGGAGCCAAUAUGAGCAUCCAGGUUCCGCUAUUGGUUAUUGACCGGAGACGUGUCUCGGUCAUGUCUACAUUGUUCUUGAACCCGUAGGGUCCGCACGCUUAAAGUUCGAUGACGGUUAUAUUAUGAGUUUAUGUGUUUUGAUGUACCGAAGGUAGUUCGAAGUCCCGGAUGAGAUCGGGGACAUGACGAGGAGUCUCGAAAUGGUCGAGACGUAAAGAUCGAUAUAUUGGACGACUAUAUUCGGACAUCGGAAAGGUUCCGAGUGAUUCGGGUAGUUUUCGGAGUUCCGGAAAGUUACGGGAAUUCGCCGGGGAUUAUAUGGGCCUUAUUGGGCUUUAGGGGAAAGAGAGAGGAGAGGCUGCGCGCCCCCCCAAGUCCUAGUCCGAAUUGGACUAGGGGGAGGGGCUGCGCCCCCUCCUUCCUUCUCUUCUCUCUCCCCUUUCCUUGACUCCUACUCCUACUACUUGGAAGGGGGGGAAUCCUACUCCCGGUGGGAGUAGGACUCCUCCUAGGGCGCGCCAUAGAGAGGGCCGGCCCUCCCCUCCUCCACUCCUUUAUAUACGGGGAGGGGGUACCCCUUGGAGACACAACAAUUGAUCGUUUGAUCUUUUAGCCGUGUGAGGUGCCCCCCUCCACCAUAGUCCACCUCGAUAAUACUGUAGCGGUGCUUAGGCGAAGCCCUGCGUCGGUAGAACAUCAUCAUCGUCACCACACUGUCGUGCUGACGAAACUCUCCCUCAACACUCAGCUGGAUCGGAGUUUGAGGGACGUCAUCGGGCUGAACGUGUGUUGAACUCGGAGGUGCCGUGCGUUCGGUACUUGAUCGGUCGGAUCGUGAAGACGUGCGACUACAUCAACCGUGUUGUGCUAACGCUUACGCUUUCGGUCUACGAGGGUACGUGGAAAACACUCUCCCCUCUCGUUGCUAUGCAUCACCAUGAUCCUGCGUGUGCGUAGGAAUUUUUUUCAAAUUACCGCGUUCCCCAACAGUGGCAUCAGAGCCUGGUUUUAUGCGUUGAUGUAAUAUGCAUGAGUAGAACACAAGUGAGUUGUGCGCGAUAUAAGUCAUACUGCUUACCAGCAUGUCACACUUAAGUUCAGCGGUAUUGUUGGAUGAAGCAGCCCGGACCGACAUUACGCGUACUCUUACGCGAGACUGGUUUUACCGCCGUGCUAUGCACACAGGUGACUAGCGGGUGUUAGUUUCUCCAACUUUAGUUGAACUGAGUGUGGCUACGCCUGGUCCUUGCGAAGGUUAAAACAGCACCAACUUGACAAACUAUCGUUGUGGUUUUGAUGCGUAGGUAAGAACGGUUCUUGCUCAGCCCGUAGCAGCCACAUAAAACUUGCAACAACAAAGUAGAGGACGUCUAACUUGUUUCUGUAGAGAAUGUUGUGAUGUAAUAUGGUCAAGACAUGAUGCUAUAUUUUGUUGUAUGAGAUGAUCAUGUUUUGUUGAAGUUAUCGGCAACUGGCAGAAGCCUUAUGGUUGUCUCUUUAUUGCAUAAGAUGCAAGUGCCAAAUAAUUGCUUUACUUUAUCGCUAUGCGAUAGCAAUAGUUGCAAGAGCAAUAGUUGGUGAGACGACCAUGUGACGACACAUUGAUAUAGAUCAAGAUGAUGGAGAUCAUGGUGUCAUGCCGGUGACGAUGGAAAUCAUGACGAUGCUUUGGAGAUGGAGAUCAAAGGCACAAGAUGAUGAUGGCCAUAUCAUGUCACAUAUUUUGAAAGCAUGUGAUGUUUAUCUUUUAUACAUCUUAUUUUGCUUAGUUCGGCGGUAGCUUUAUAAGAUGAUCUCUCACUAGAUUAUCAAGGUAUAAGUGUUCUCCCUAAGUAUGCAACGUUGCGAAAGUUCUUUGUGCUGAGACACCACGUGAUGAUCGGGUGUGAUAGGCUCUACGUUCAAAUACAACGGGUGCAAAACAGUUGCACACGCGGAAUACUCAGGUUAAACUAGACGAUCCUAGCAUAUAACAGAUAUGGCCUCGCAACACUGAGACCGAAAGGUCGAGCAUGAUUCAUAUAGUAGAUAUGAUCAACAUAGUGAUGUUCACCAUUGAAACUACUCCAUCUCACGUGAUGAUCGGACAUGGUUUAGUUGAUUUGGAUCACGUGAUCACUUAGAGGACUAGAGGGAUGUCUAUCUAAGUGGGAGUUCUUAAGUAAUAUGAUUAAUUGAACUUAAAUUUAUCAUGAACUUAGUCUUGGUAGUAUUAGCAUAUCUAUGUUGUAGAUCAAUAGCGCGCAUUGUUGCUUCCCUAUGUUUUAUAUAUGUUCCUAGAUAAAACUAAGUUGAAAGAUGUUAGUAGCAAUGAUGGGGAUUGGAUCCGUGAUCUGAGGUUUAUCCUCAUUGCUGCACAGAAGAAUUAUGUUCUUGAUGCACCGCUAGGUGACAGACCUAUUGCAGGAGCAGAUGCAGACAUUAUGAAUGUUUGACAAAGCUCGCUAUGAUAACUACUUCAUAGUUUAGUGCACCAUGCUUUACGGCUUAGAACCGGGACUUCAAAAAUGUUUUGAACACCAUAGAGCAUAUAAGAUGUUCCAAGAGUUGAAAUUGGUAUUUCAUACUCAUGCCCGUGUCGAGAGGUAAGAGACCUCUGACAGUACUUUGCCUACAAGAUGGAGGAGAAUUGCUCAGCUAGUGAGCAUGUGCUCAGAUUGUCUGGGUACUACAAUCGCUUGAAUCAAGUGGGAGUUAACCUUCCAGAUAAGAUAGUGAUUGGCAGAAUUCUCUAGUCACCAUCACCAAGUUAGUAGAACUUCGUGAUGAACUAUAGUAUGCAAGGGAUAACGGAAACAAUUCCCAAGCUCUUCGUGAUGCUAAAAUCGACGAAGGUAGAAAUAAAAAAACAUCAAGUGUUGAUGGUUGACGAGACCACUAGUUUCAAGAAAACGGCAAAGGGAAGAAGCGGAACUUCAAGAAGAACGGCAAGCAAGUUGCUGCUCAAGUGAAGAAGCCCAAGUCUGGUCCUAAGCCUGAGACUAAGUGCUUCUACUCCAAAGGGACUGGUCACUGGAAGCGGAACUGCCCCAAGUAUUUGGCGGAUAAGAAGGAUGGCAAAGUGAACAAAGGUAUAUUUGAUAUACAGAUUAUUGAUGUGUAUUUUACUAGUGUUCGUAGCAACCCCUCUGUAUUUGAUACUGGUUCAUUUACUAAGAGUAGUAACUCGAAACAGGAGUUGCAGAAUGAACAGAGACUAGUUAAGGGUGAAGUGACGAUGUGUGUUGGAAGUGGUUCCAAGAUUGAUAUGAUCAUCAUCGCACGCUCCCUACACUUUCGGGAUUAGUGUUGAACCUAAAUAAGUGUUAUUUGGUGUUUGCGUUGAGCAUGAAUAUGAUUUGAUCUUGUUUAUUGCAAGACGGUUAUUCAUUUUAAGUUAGAGAAUAAUUGUUGUUCUAUUUACAUGAAUAAAACCUUCUAUGGUCAUACACCCAAUGAAAAUGGUUUGUUGGAUCUCGAUCGUAGUGAUACACAUAUUCAUAAUAUUGAAGCCAAAAGAUGCAAAGUUAAUAAUGAUAGUGCAACUUAUUUGUGGCACUGCCGUUUAGGUCAUAUUGGUGUAAAGCGCAUGAAGAAACUCCAUGCUGAAGGGAUUUUGGAAUCACUUGAUUAUGAAUCACUUGAUGCUUGCAAACCAUGCCUCUUGGGCAAGAUGACUAAAACGCCGUUCUCCGGAACAAUGGAGCAAGCAAUUAAUUUGUUGGAAAUCAUACAUACUGAUGUAUGUGGUCCGAUGAAUAUUGAGGCUCGCAGCGGGUAUCAUUAUUAUCUGACCUUCACAGAUGAUUUGAGCAGAUAUGGGUAUAUCUACUUAAUGAAACAGAAGUCUGAAAUAUUUGAAAAGUUCAUAUAAUUUCAGAGUGAAGUGGAAAAUCAUCGUAACAAGAAAAUAAAGUUUCGAUGAUCUGAUCGUGGAAAAGAGUAUUUGAGUUAGGAGUUUGGUCUUCAGCUAAAACAAUGUGAAAUAGUUUCACUGCUCACGCCACCUGGAACACCACAGUGUAAUGGUGUGUCCGAACAUCGUAACCGUACUUUAUUAGAUAUGGUGCAAUCUAUGAUGUCUCUUACCAAUUUACCACUAUCGUUUUGGGUUUAUGCAUUAGAGACAGCUGCAUUCACGUUAAAAAGGGCACCAUCUAAAUCUAUUGAGACGACACCGUAUGAACUGUGGUUUAGCAAGAAACCUAAGAUGUUGUUUCUUAAAGUUUGGGGUUGCGAUGCUUAUGUGAAAAAGUUUCAACAUGAUAAGCUUGAACCCAAAUCGGAGAAGUGCGUCUUCAUAGGAUACCCAAAAUGUUGGGUACACCUUCUAUCACAGAUCCGAAGGCAAGAUCGUUGUUGCUAAGAAUGGAUCCUUUCUGGAGAAGGAGUUUCUCUCGAAAGAAGUGAGUGGGAGGAAAGUAGAACUUGAUGAGGUAACUGUACCUGCUCCCUUAUUGGAAAGUAGUUCAUCACAGAAAUCAGUUUCUGUGACUCCUACAUCAAUUAGUGAGGAAGCUAAUGAUGAUGAUCAUGUAACUUCAGAUCAAGUUACUACCCAACCUCGUAGGUCAGCCAGAGUAAGGUCCGCACCAAAGUGGUUCGGUAAUCCUGUUCUGGAGGUCAUGUUACUUGACCAUGACGAACCUACGAACUAUGAGGAAGCGAUGAUGAGCCCAGAUUCCGCAAAAUGGCUUGAGGCCAUGAAAUCUAAGAUGGGAUCCAUGUAUGAGAACAAAGUAUGGACUUUGGUUGACUUGCCCAAUGAUCGGCAAGCCAUAGAAAAUAAAUGGAUCUUCAAGAGGAAGAUGGACGUUGAUAGUAGUGUUACUAUCUACAAAGCUAGACUUGUCGAAAAAGGUUUUUGACAAAGUUCAAGGUGUUGACUACGAUGAGAGUUUCUCACUCGUAUCUAUGCUUAAGUCUGUCCGAAUCAUGUUAGCAACUGCCGCAUUUUAUGAAAUCUGGCAAAUGGAUAAACAAAACUGCAUUCCUUAAUGGAUUUAUUAAAGAAGAGUUGUAUAUGAUGCAACCAGAAGGUUUUGUCAAUCCUAAAGGUGCUAACAAAAUAUGCAAGCUCCAGCGAUCCAUCUAUGGACUGGUGCAAGCAUCUCGGAGUUGGAAUAUACGCUUUGAUAAGUUGAUCAAAGCAUAUAGUUUUAUACAGACUUGCGGUGAAGCCUGUAUUUACAAGAAAGUGAGUGGGAGCACUACAGCAUUUCUGAUAAGUAUAUGUGAAUGACAUAUUGUUGAUCAGAAAUAAUGUCAAAUUAUUCUGCAAAGCAUAAAGGAGUGUUUGAAAGGAGUUUUUCAAAGAAAGACCUCGGUGAAGCUGCUUAUAUAUUGAGCAUCAAGAUCUAUAGAUAUAGAUCAAGAUGCUUGAUAAGUUUUUUCAAUGAGUACAUACCUUGACAAGAUUUUGAAGUAGUUCAAAAUGGAAUAGUCAAAGAAAGAGUUCUUGUCUGUGUUACAAGGUGUGAAAUUGAGUAAGACUCAAAGCCCGACCAUGGCAGAAGAUAGAGAGAGAAUGAAAGUCACUCCCUAUGCCUCAGCCAUAGGUUCUAUAACGUAUGCAAUGCUGUGUACCAGAUCUAUUGUAUACCCUACACUGAUUUUGGCAAGGGAGUACAAUAGUGAUCUAGGAGUAGAUCACUGGACAACGGUCAAAAUUAUCCUUAGUGGAAUAAGGAUAUGUUUCUCGAUUAUGGAGGUGACAAAAAGGUUCGUCGUAAAGGGUUACGUCGAUGCAAAUUUUGACACUGAUCCAGAUGAUUCUAAGUCUCAAUCUGGAUACAUAUUGAAAGUGGGAGCAAUUAGCUACAGUAGCUCCGUGCAGAGCAUUGUUGACAUAGAAAUUUGCAAAAUACAUACGGAUCUGAAUGUGGCAGACCCGUUGACUAAACUUCUCUCACAAGCAAAACAUGAUCACACCUUAGUACUCUUUGGGUGUUAAUCACAUAGCGAUGUGAACUAGAUUAUUGACUAGUAAACCCUUUGGGUGUUGGUCACAUGAAGAUGUGAACUAUGGGUGUUAAUCACAUGGUGAUGUGAACUAUUGGUGUUAAAUCACAUGGUGAUGUGAACUAGAUUAUUGACUCUAGUGCAAGUGGGAGACUGAAGGAAAUAUGCCCUAGAGGCAAUAAUAAAGUUAUUAUUUAUUUCCUUAUGUCAUGAUAAAUUUUUAUUAUUCAUGCUAGAAUUGUAUUAACCGGAAACAUAAUACAUGUGUGAAUACAUAGACAAACAGAGUGUCACUAGUAUGCCUCUACUUGACUAGCUCGUUGAUCAAAGAUGGUUAUGUUUCCUAGCCAUAGACAUGAGUUGUCAUUUGAUUAACGGGAUCACAUCAUUAGGAGAAUGAUGUGAUUGACAUGACCCAUUCCGUUAGCUUAGCACUCGAUCGUUUAGUAUGUUGCUAUUGCUUUCUUCAUGACUUAUACAUGUUCCUAUGACUAUGAGAUUAUGCAACUCCCAUUUACCGGAGGAACACUUUGUGUGCUACCAAACAUCACAACGUAACUGGGUGAUUAUAAAGGUGCUCUACAGGUGUCUCCGAAGGUACUUGUUGGGUUGGCGUAUUUCGAGAUUAGGAUUUGUCACUCCGAUUGUCGGAGAGGUAUCUCUGGGCCCUCUCGGUAAUGCACAUCACUUAAGCCUUGCAAGCAUUGCAACUAAUGAGUUAGUUGUGGGAUGAUGUAUUACAGAACGAGUAAAGAGACUUGCCGGUAACGAGAUUGAACUAGGUAUUGAGAUACCGACGAUCGAAUCUCGGGCAAAUAACAUACCGAUGACAAAGGGAGCAACGUAUGUUGUUAUGCGGUUUGACCGAUAAAAGAUCUUCGUAGAAUAUGUGGGAGCCAAUAUGAGCAUCCAGGUUCCGCUAUUGGUUAUUGACCGGAGACAUGUCUCGAUCAUGUCUACAUUGUUCUUGAACCCGUAGGGUCCGCACGCUUAAAGUUCGAUGACGGUUAUAUUAUGAGUUUAUGUGUUUUGAUGUACCGGAGGUAGUUCGAAGUCCCGGAUGAGAUCGGGGACAUGACGAGGAGUCUCAAAAUGGUCGAGACGUAAAGAUCGAUAUAUUGGAUGACUAUAUUCGGACAUCGGAAAGGUUCCAUGUGAUUCGGGUAUUUUUCGGAGUACCGGAGAGUUACAGGAAUUUGCCGGGGAGUAUAUGGGCCUUAUUGGGCUUUAGGGGAAAGAGAGAGGAGAGGCUGCGCGCCCCCCCAAGGCGUAGUCCGAAUUGGACUAGGGGGAGGGGCUGCGCCCCCUCCUUCCUUCUCUUCUCUCUCCCCUUUCCUUGACUCCUACUCCUACUACUUGGAAGGGGGGAAUCCUACUCCCGGUGGGAGUAGGACUCCUCCUAGGGCGCGCCAUAGAGAGGGCUGCCCUCCCCCUCCUCAACUCCUUUAUAUACGGGGAGGGGAGCACCCCUUGGAGACACAACAAUUGAUCGUUUGAUCUUUUAACCGUGUUGUGCUAACGCUUACGCUUUCGGUCUACGAGGGUACGUGGAAAACACUCUCCCCUCUUGUUGCUAUGCAUCACCAUGAUCCUGCGUGUGCGUAGGAAUUUUUUUGAAAUUACUGCGUUCCCCAACAGUGGCAUCAGAGCCUGGUUUUGUGCGUUGAUGUAAUAUGCACGAGUAGAACACAAGUGAGUUGUGGGCGAUAUAAGUCAUACUGCUUACCAACAUGUCACACAUAGGUUCAGCGGUAUUGUUAGAUGAAGCAGCCCGGACCGACAUUACGCGUACUCUUACGCGAGACUGGUUUUACCGUCGUGCUAUGCACACAGGUGAUUAGCGGGUGUCAGUUUCUCCAACUUUAGUUGAACUGAGUGUGGCUACGCCUGGUCCUUGCGAAGGUUAAAACAGCACCAACUUGACAAACUAUCGUUGUGGUUUUGAUGCGUAGGUAAGAACGGUUCUUGCUCAGCCCGUAGCAACCACAUAAAACUUGCAACAACAAAGUAGAGGACGUCUAACUUGUUUUUGCAGGGCAUGUUGUGAUGUAAUAUGGUCAAGACAUGAUGCUAUAUUUCUUUGUAUGAGAUGAUCAUGUUUUGUUGAAGUUAUCGGCAACAGGCAGAAGCCUUAUGGUUGUCUCUUUAUUGCACAAGAUGCAAGUGCCAAAUAAUUGCUUUACUUUAUCGCUAUGCGAUAGCAAUAGUUGCAAGAGCAAUAGUUGGCGAGACGACCAUAUGACGACACAUUGAUAUAGAUCAAGAUGAUGGAGAUCAUGGUGUCAUGCCGGUGACGAUGGAAAUCAUGACGAUGCUUUGGAGAUGGAGAUCAAAGGCACAAGAUGAUGAUGGCCAUAUCAUGUCACAUAUUUUGAUUGCAUGUGAUGUUUAUCUUUUAUACAUCUUAUUUUGCUUAGUUCGGCGGUAGCUUUAUAAGAUGAUCUCUCACUAAAUUAUCAAGGUAUAAGUGUUCUCCCUGAGUAUGCAACGUUGCGAAAGUUCUUUGUGCUGAGACACCACGUGAUGAUCGGGUGUGAUAGGCUCUACGUUCAAAUACAACGGGUGCAAAACAGUUGCACACGCGGAAUACUCAGGUUAAACUUGACGAGCCUAGCAUAUAACAGAUAUGGCCUCGAAACACUGAGACCGAAAGAUCAAGCGUGAACCAUAUAGUAGAUAUGAUCAACAUAGUGAUGUUCACCAUUGAAACUACUCCAUCUCACGUGAUGAUCGGACAUGAUUUAGUUGAUUUGGAUCACAUGAUCACUUAGAGGACUAGAGGGAUGUCUAUCUAAGUGGGAGUUCUUAAGUAAUAUGAUUAAUUGAACUUAAAUUUAUCAUGAACUUAGUCUUGGUAGUAUUAGCAUAUCUAUGUUUUAGAUCAAUAGCGCGCAUUGUUGCUUCCCUAUGUUUUAUAUAUGUUCCUAGAGAAAACUAAGUUGAAAGAUGUUAGUAGCAAUGAUGCGGAUUGGAUCCAUGAUCUGAGGUUUAUCCUCAUUGCUGCACAGAAGAAUUAUGUCCUUGAUGCACCGCUAGGUGACAGACCUAUUGCAGGAGCAGAUGCAGACAUUAUGAACGUUUGACAAAGCUCGGUAUGAUAACUACUUGAUAGUUUAGUGCACCAUGCUUUACGGCUUAGAACCGGGACUUCAAAAAUGUUUUGAACACCACGGAGCAUAUAAGAUGUUCCAAGAGUUGAAAUUGGUAUUUCAUACUCAUGCCCGUGUCGAGAGGUAAGAGACCUCUGACAGUACUUUGCCUACAAGAUGGAGGAGAAUUGCUCAGCUAGUGAGCAUGUGCUCAGAUUGUCUGGGUACUACAAUCGCUUGAAUCAAGUGGGAGUUAAUCUUCCAGAUAAGAUAGUGAUUGGCAGAAUUCUCUAGUCACCAUCACCAAGUUAGUAGAACUUCCUGAUGAACUAUAAUAUGCAAGGGACAGCGGAAACAAUUCCCAAGCUCUUCGUGAUGCUGAAAUCGACGAAGGUAGAAAUAAAAAAAACAUCAAGUGUUGAUGGUUGACGAGACCACUAGUUUCAAGAAAACGGCAAAGCGAAGAAGGGGAACUUCAAAAAGAACGGCAAGCAAGUUGCUGCUCAAGUGAAGAAGCCCAAGUCUGGUCCUAAGCCUGAGACUAAGUGCUUCUACUGCAAAGGGAUUGGUCACUGGAAGCGGAACUGCCCCAAGUAUUUGGCGGAUAAGAAGGAUGGCAAAGUGAACAAAGGUAUAUUUGAUAUACAGAUUAUUGAUGUGUAUUUUACUAGUGUUCGUACCAACCCCUCGGUAUUUGAUACUGGUUCAGUUACUAAGGGUAGUAACUCGAAACAGGAGUUGCAGAAUGAACAGAGACUAGUUAAGGGUGAAGUGACGAUGUGUGUUGGAAGUGGUUCCAAGAUUGAUAUGAUCAUCAUCGCACGCUCCCUACACUUUCGGGAUUAGUGUUGAACCUAAAUAAGUGUUAUUUGGUGUUUUCGUUGAGCAUGAAUAUGAUUUGAUCAUGUUUAUUGCAAUACGGUUAUUCAUUUUAAGUUAGAGAAUAAUUGUUGUUCUAUUUACAUGAAUAAAACCUUCUAUGGUCAUACACCCAAUGAAAAUGGUUUGUUGGAUCUCGAUCGUAGUGAUACACAUAUUCAUAAUAUUGAAGCUAAAAGAUGCAAAGUUAAUAAUGAUAGUGCAACUUAUUUGUGGCACUGCCGUUUAGGUCAUAUUGGUGUAAAGCGUAUGAAGAAACUCCAUGCUGAAGGGAUUUUGGAAUCACUCGAUUAUGAAUCACUUGAUGCUUGCAAACCAUGCCUCUUGGGCAAGAUGACUAAAACGCCGUUCUCCGGAACAAUGGAGCAAGCAACAGAUUUGUUGGAAAUCAUACAUACUGAUGUAUGUGGUCCGAUGAAUAUUGAGGCUCGCAGCGGGUAUCAUUAUUAUCUGACCUUCACAGAUGAUUUGAGCAGAUAUGGGUAUAUCUACUUCAUGAAACAGAAGGGAUUUUGGAAUCACUUGAUUAUGAAUCACUUGAUUAAUGGGAUCACCUCAUUAGGAGAAUGAUGUGAUUGACUUGACCCAUUCCGUUAGCUUAGCACUCGAUCGUUUAGUAUGUUGCUAUUGCUUUCUUCAUGACUUAUACAUGUUCCUAUGACUAUGAGAUUAUGCAACUCCCGUUUACCGGAGGAACACUUUAUGUGCUACCAAACGUCAGAACGUAACUGGGUGAUUAUAAAGGUGCUCUACAGGUGUCUCCGAAGGUACUUGUUGGGUUGGCGUAUUUCGAGAUUAGGAUUUGUCACUCCGAUUGUCGGAGAGGUAUCUCUGGGCCCUCUCGGUAAUGCACAUCACUUAAGCCUUGCAAGCAUUGCAACUAAUGAGUUAGGUGUGGUAUGAUGUAUUACGGAACGAGUAAAGAGACUUGCCGGUAACGAGAUUGAACUAGGUAUUGAGAUAUUGACGAUCGAAUCUCGGGCAAGUAACAUGCCGAUGACAAAGGGAGCAACGUAUGUUGUUAUGCGGUUUGACCGAUAAAAGAUCUUCGUAGAAUAUGUGGGAGCCAAUAUGAGCAUCCAGGUUCCGCUAUUGGUUAUUGACCGGAGACGUGUCUCGAUCAUGUCUACAUUGUUCUUGAACCCGUAGGGUCCGCACGCUUAAAGUUCGAUGACGGUUAUAUUAUGAGUUUAUGUGUUUUGAUGUACCAAAGGUAGUUCGAAGUCCCGGAUGAGAUCGGGGACAUGACGAGGAGUCUCGAAAUGGUCGAGACAUAAAGAUCGAUAUAUUGGACGACUAUAUUCGGACAUCGGAAAGGAUCCGAGUGAUUCGGGUAUUUUUCGGAGUACCGGAGAGUUACGGGAAUUCGCCGGGGAGUAUAUGGGCCUUAUUGGGCUUUAGGGGAAAGAGAGAGGAGAGGCUGCGCGCCCCACCAAGGCGUAGUCCGAAUUGGACUAGGGGGAGGGGCUGCGCCCCCUCCUUCCUUCUCUUCUCUCUCCCCUUUCCUUGACUCCUACUCCUACUACUUGGAAGGGGGGAAUCCUACUCCCGGUGGGAGUAGGACUCCUCCUAGGGCGCGCCAUAGAGAGGACCGGCCCUCCCCCUCCUCAACUCCUUUAUAUACGGGGAGGGGGGCACCCCUUGGAGACAGAACAAUUGAUCGUUUGAUCUUUUAGCCGUGUGCGGUGCCCCCCUCCACCAUAGUACACCUCGAUAAUACUAUAGCGGUGCUUAGGCGAAGCCCUGCGUCGGUAAAACAUCAUCAUCGUCACCACACCGUCGUGCUGACGAAACUCUCCCUCAACACUCGGCUGGAUCGGAGUUCGAGGGACGUCAUCGGGCUGAACGUGUGUUGAACUCGGAGGUGCCGUGUGUUUGGUACUUGAUCGGUCGGAUCGUGAAGACGUACGACUACAUCAACCGCGUGGUGCUAACGCUUCCGCUUUCGGUCUACGAGAGUACGUGGACAACACUCUCCCCUCUCGUUGCUAUGCAUCACCAGGAUCCUGCAUGUGUGUAGGAAUUUUUUUGAAAUUACUGCGUUCCCCAACAGCAAAGUAGCGUAAGUAUUUUCCUCAGUUUUUGAGAACCAAGGUAUCAAUCCAGUAGGAGGCCACGCACGAGUCCCUCGCACCUACACAAACAAAUAAAUCCUCGCAACCAACACGAUAAGGGGUUGUCAAUCCCUACACGGUCACUUACGAGAGUGAGAUCUGAUAGAUAUGAUAAGAUACUAUUUUUGGUAUUUUUAUGAUAGAUAUGGAAAGUAAAGAAAGCAAAACAAAAGGCAAUGGAAAUAGCUUGUUGGUGGAAAAUAAAUAUGAUGGAAAAUAGACCCGGGGGCCAUAGGUUUCACUAGUGGCUUCUUUCAAGAGCAUAAGUAUUUACGGUGGGUGAACAAAUUACUGUUGAGCAAUUGACAUAAUUGAGCAUAGUUAUGAGAAUAUCUAGGUAUGAUCAUGUAUAUAGGCAUCACGUCCGAGACAAGUAGACCGACUCCUGCCUGCAUCUACUACUAUUACUCCACACAUCGACCGCUAUCCAGCAUGCAUCUAGAGUAUUAAGUUCAUAAGAACAGAGUAAGGCUUUAAACAAGAUGACAUGAUGUAGAGGGAUAAACUCAUGCAAUAUGAUAAAAAAACCCAUCUUGUUAUCCUCGAUGGCAACAAUACAACACGUGCCUUGCUGCCCCUACUGUCACUGGGAAAGGACACCGCAAGAUUGAACCCAAAGCUAAGCACUUCUCCCAUUGCAAGAAAAAUCAAUCUAGUAGGCCAAACCAAACUGAUAAUUCGAAGAGACUUGCAAAGAUAACCAAUCAUACAUAAAAGAAUUUAGAGAAGAUUCAAAUAUUGUUCAUAGAUAAACUUGAUCAUAAACCCACAAUUCAUCGGUCUCAGCAAACGCACCGCAAAAGAAGAUUACAUCGAAUAGAUCUCCAUGAGAGAGGGGGAGAACAUUGUAUUGAGAUCCAAGAAGAGAGAAGAAGUCAUCUAGCUAAUAACUAUGGACCCGAAGGUCUGAGGUAAACUACUCACACAUCAUCGGAGAGGCUAUGGUGUUGAUGUAGAAGCCCUCCGUGAUCGAUGCCCCCUCCGGCGGAGCUCCGGAACAGGCCCCAAGAUGGGAUCCCACGGGUACAGAAGGUUGCGGCGGUGGAAUUAGGUUUUUGGCUCCGUAUCUGGUAGUUUGGGGGGUACGUAGGUAUAUAUAGGAGGAAGGAGUACGUCGGUGGAGCAACGGGGGGCCCACGAGGGUGUCGGGCGUGCCCAGGGGGGUAGGCGUGCCCCCUACCUCGUGGCUUCCUGGUUGAUGUCUUGACGUAGGGUCCAAGUCCUCUAGAUCACGUUCGUUCCGAAAAUUACGCUCCCGGAGGUUUCAUUCUGUUUGGACUCCGUUUGAUAUUCUUUUUCUGCGAAACUCUGAAAUAGGCAAAAAAAACAGCAAUUCUGGGCUAGGCCUCCGGUUAAUAGGUUAAUCCCAAAAAUAAUAUAAAAGUGUAUAAUAAAGCCCAAUAAUGUCCAAAACAGAAUAUAAUAUAGCAUGGAGCAAUAAAAAAUUAUAGAUACGUUGGAGACGUAUCACAUACAUAUCCAUGGAUCAUACAUAUGAGCAUAUACAUAAAUGACUUUGAUCAUGAAUAUCUCUAACUGUGCAAAUAUCAUUAACUAUGUAAAUAUUUUUCUUAUAUUUAAUAAAUUGAAUUUCAAUUAUUCAUAUUUCCUUUUAUUUGCAAAGGAGCUAUAUUUUCCCCAAUUCUUCUGCACCCACGAAUAUUACUCCAUCUAUUUGACAGUACCCACAGCCCAUUCUGCAAAAAACAUUUGGUCCUGUAGUUCAAAAUUUUCAAAUUUCAUUCAGUUCAAAUUUGGACCAGAUUCAAACUCCAUGGUCAAAGCGCAAUUUAUAUUGGACAAAAAAUUGUCAAACUUUGCCAGACUCUCUUUUGUGCAUCAACACGUCACCACAAAAAUUCUCAAAAAUUCCUAAAAUUCCUAGAGCCGUUUGGCAUUUUAUCAUACACUUGAUGUGCAAUGUUUAGCACUGUCAAAAAAUUCAGUAAAUUCAGAAAUAUUUGGACAGAGGGGGGAAUCGAUGCCAUGCACUCCUCAUCUUCCUCUAUCCCACACGGCGUCGCCACGCUUGACCCCCUUGGUCAGUGGCUUGCCGUUGAUGGCAUCGGGGUCGACGGCAGGGCGCGGCGACGGUGACCAGUAUAGGGAGGAAUAGGAGGAGGGGAGGAGGAGGGGAUCGGGGUGGCGCUCACACGAGGACGCGUCAGCGAUGAGGAGCGAUGAGGAGCGGGCUCGGGGGCGGCGAUGACAAGGAUGGGCUCGGCGCAGGGCACGGCAACGGCAACGAGGAGGCAGGGCCGGUGACGAGGAGCAAGGCGUCGGCGUCGGGGCGCAGGGCGAUGGCGACGAGGAGCAGGGCGUCAGCGUCGGGGCGCAGGGCGUCAGCGUCGGGGAGAAAGGGACCUUGCUGAAAAUUUCCUAAGUGUUGGCUUAUAUAGCCAGCCCUUUAGUCCCGGUUGGUGGCACCAACCGGGACCAAUGCUUACCUUUAGUCCCGGUUGGUGCCACCAACCGGGACCAAAGGUCUCUUUUCANNNNNNNNNNNNNNNNNNNNNNNNNNNNNNNNNNNNNNNNNNNNNNNNNNNNNNNNNNNNNNNNNNNNNNNNNNNNNNNNNNNNNNNNNNNNNNNNNNNNNNNNNNNNNNNNNNNNNNNNNNNNNNNNNNNNNNNNNNNNNNNNNNNNNNNNNNNNNNNNNNNNNNNNNNNNNNNNNNNNNNNNNNNNNNNNNNNNNNNNNNNNNNNNNNNNNNNNNNNNNNNNNNNNNNNNNNNNNNNNNNNNNNNNNUGGUCCCGGUUGGUGGCACCAACCGGGACUAAAGGGUGGCAUUGGUCCCGGUUGGUGCCACAAACCGGGACCAAAGGAAACCUUUCGUCCCAGUUCGGGCCACGAACCGGGACCAAAGUCCUUGUGCUAGAACUGGCGCGGUGCGGUGGGAUGUUUAGUCCCACCUCGCUAGCCGAGAGGCUUCGACAGUGGUUUAUAAGCGCGGCUGCACUGACCACUUCGGGCUCCUCUGGAAUGCAGGCUUACGGGCCUAAAGUCACUUUAUCUGCCUGUGGGCCUACUGGGCCUUCUACGAGCCUGAAUCCUGGCCCAUGGUUGGGUUUCUAGUCGUAUUCAGGCCGUGGUGGCCCAGUAGGUGGCAUUUUUUAUAUUUUUUCAGUUUUAUUGUUUUGUUUUUUUGCUUUAUUUAUUUUCUUUUGUUUCUACUUACAGUUUUUCAGUGAUUCCUUUUGCUUUUAGGUCACAAAAAUUAUAAAUUUUCUGUUAGUGCCAUUAGUUUUCAAAUUUGAAUAGUUUAAAUUUGAUUUUUUUGAAAUUUGUGUGAAUCACUAGUUUGUGAAUAACUUUACUAUAAAAAUAGAUUUUUGAGUGUUCUUUUUUCUGCUAUUUAAUAUUACUGUGUUUUAUCAUUAUAUUCAAUUUGGUAAUUUUUAGGUUAUUUGAAAUGUCUAUUUUAAUCAAAAACAAAUUUUGUUAUUUUAGUUUUCUAUUAAAGUUUCAAAAAAAAAUCUUUAUGAAAAUUAUUUUUGCUAAUAAUGUUUUGAACAAAAAAUAUUUGAUAAUUUUAGUUGCAUAAAUUUUAUAUAAUUUUAGUUUAAAAAAUACUAGAGGUUGACCCUGAAAUUGAAAAGCACUUCAAAUGAACUCUGAAGAGGUUGAAAAUUGGCAUGGUAUCAUUAUUUCACCCACAUAGCAUGUGCUAAAAAGUUGAGAGGGUUAUGGCAAAAACUGGAUGCACUUCGUGUACAAAAUGGACAAUCUCUUUCGAAGUAUCAGGGUUUCGGACGAAAAUUCAUCUGUUACAAAGGGAUUUCAUUUUUUUGAACUUAUUUGAACUCCAGACUUUUUGUGUGUUCAAAAUGCACCAUUCAAAGACACAUCAUCAAUUUUCAAUCCUUUCUGACUUCAUUUGUUAUUUUUCAUUCAUUUACUGAUUUUUUUGAGAUAUAUGCACCAUUCAAAGAUAUAUGACCCUGAUAUAUGACCCAGAGCAUGAUUGAAGGGGAGAAGGAGGUAUAAAUGAGUCCCCAUGAUUUUACUUGGCAGAAUAUUUAAUUGCCGGAGUCCUUCACGGGCAAUUAGCCGGGUCGUGCAAUUUCUUUCCUUUUUUCGUUGGAGUUUUUAUGGAUGGUCGCUUUCCAUUUCUUUUACUUUUUUCUGGUCUUUCCUUUUCCUUGGACGUGAGGCUUUCCUUUUUUUAGGAACGGAUCAAAGCUUUCCUUUUUUUAUGCGACGCUUUACUUUUUAGUUUCCUGGGAACGGAUUGAGGAUUUCUUUUUUUUUUAUAACUGAGGAUUUAUUUGUUUUGUAUAUACUGGAUGGACGGUUUCCUUCUUCCGGUCUUUCCUUUUUCUUGGACGUCAGGAUCUUCUUUAGGAACAGAUCAAGGCUGUCCUUUUUUUGCGUGAGGCUUUACUUUUGUUUUGAAGCGAACUGAUCAAGGAUUUUUUUAAUACAAAAUACAACUAUAUUGGAUGUGUCAGAUGCCCUUUUUAUGGACAUAGGGAGCAAUCUAUGUUAGUUUUUCUUUUAUCUUGGGCGUAAAUUUUAAAUCCAACGGUGUAACUAAUUUUGAUGAUGUGGAUUAAUGAGAGUACUUGAAAGGUGCCUCCAAUUAGUAAAUACUAGUCGUCAACCCGUGCAGUUGCACGGGCUAGCUAUUUUGAAAACGAUGAAAUAGUGAAAAUAUUAACUUGGGCAUGUGAAAAGUCAUUAUUACAGUCAGAUAAUAGUCCUCUUGUAGAAAGAAGAAUCGCCACAUCAAACCUGAGACAAUAUCAUAUAUUAUUUUCUAAUAGAAAUGCAUUACUCAAUGAAAACCAUAUGUUCAUGUGCCGCGUCAAACUAAACCUUAGAAAAUAGGUCAAAUUCUUAAACGUGGGAAUUAAACCUAUGUAACUUUGAUUUUUUUAGAGGAUGUAACUUCGAUUUAUGGUGUUUAUGAAUUAUAUUAUUCUCAUUUAUGAAGUGAAAAUAGUAACAUUAGAUUUAUGGUGUAUAUAAAUUAUAUUAUUCUCAUUUAUGAAGUGAAAACCAAUACCGUCCUGUUUAUUUUCUCAUGAAAAGUAGUUAAAUAAUGCCAAAAUUCUUGUAGUAUAGAUAAUAAAUAUCAAUAUAUUUCAUCAAUUUGUACAGUUGGACGGGCUAUCAGUUUACGGGGCACAAAAAUAUCAUAUAUUUCGGUAAGAAAUAAAAUUUAUCAUCACUAAGGGCUAUAACAAAACUAAAAACCAUCAAAGGAUCAAAAUGCCUAUCAGAUUUUUUGGUUACGUAUUUAGUGAAGGCCUUAGUUCUCGAAUCCAAGAAAGUGAACUUCAGUACACAGUGGGUCCCACCAUUCUAUAGUUCGGUGGAUUAAUAUUUUUCACCUAGACAUAAAUGGUUAGUAUGUAUCACUCUAUCGGGGGAAAACACAUAAAUAAUUUACCAAACAGAAAGGAAAAUAAUAUCAUCAUUUCUUUUCGGGUUCUAGGAACAUGUGUCAUGAUAUUUUAUAAUAUGAUUGCUAACAGUUCAAACCCAGCCAUACCUUAGUAGCAGAGACUUGCCAAGUAAGAGGGAAACGCGUUGGCAGCAGCAACUUUGAUCACAGUCAAUGUUCUAAUAAAUCAUAAUUAUAUAAGGAUCUCAAGUAUAUGGUAGUUGCAGGUAUUGUUACCCAAAUAAUAUAUACAAUAAUGCGCUUUCAUCUGAUGAAACUUAUAAUCAAAAGAAUUCAGCACAUGAGGACAUGAGUGACGUAGUAGAUCAAGAUAGAUUUUCCAGAGUAUCACAGGAUAAAUGAUACUUCUGAUAAGGCAAAGUUGGGGGGAUAACACAAAGUUGGAGGAAUAUAUAGUACUAUGUACUGCACGAUUAGCAUGCCCAGCUUGGUUUGGACGUACACAUGAACCAAUAGUACCCUUAUUCCUACAAGUGCAAGAGUAUAGGACGGAAAUAAAAUCACCUAGCUGAAGACUAAUUAAAUUAAGUAAAGAAGCUGCGUAUCAAUGUGUUUCUUCACUUAUUCAGUAGUUCAUCCGUUCCUAAAUAUAAGUCUUUUUAGAGAUUCCACUAUUGACUACAUAUGAAGCAAAAUAAGUGAAUCUACACUCUAAAAUAUGUCUAUAUACAUCCGUAUAUAGUUUGUAGUGAAAUCUCUAAAAAGACUUAUGUUAGCCUAAGCUCCACCCGACUAGUGUAGAUCUUUUCUGUUUCAAAUAAGCAGUUGCAUGACCGUCGUGUUGGAUGCAUGCAGCAUGUACGUAGGAGGGGAAGGAGUGCCUGCGUGCACGAUCAUCCACUCCACGCUCUAUCUGUUUUCUGUUAGGCCCGGUCAGUGUGGCGAGCUGAAGAUUCGGACGUCGUGGGAUGGCACGGCAGACUCGGAUCUCAGCGGACUGGCCCGGCACAUAGCUAAGUAGGGGUUUCUUUGUAUUCAGUUAGAGAGAAAAUAGAGAAACAGAAAAGCUGGGAGCUUCGCCCAGCGCAAAAAAACUCUCGCUCUCGCGUUCAUCUCUCUUCCUCUCCAGCUCGAAUCUGCAACGACAACUUAUAUUUAGGAACGAAUGGAGUAGUAAGUAUAUAAUUUUACGGAAAUAGUCUAGCGAAAGCACAUUAGAUUAAGGAAGAGGAAGACAUACGGCUUAGGUGUUCGUUACACUCUGUUCACUCCUGCCGUCAAGUCAGUACCAAGACUUCGCCAGUCAAAAUGUCAAGUGGUCUUCAGUAACACAAACACUGUAUUUUACCGUUGUCAGCUUUCACGCCAAAUAGAGCAAUACCUACAGAAAACAUAAAAUAUGAUGAUAAGUAUAAUGAGUUAAUUUUGGCAAAUUAACUCAAGAUUAACUUCUACACAAAAUUAAAUAAUACAAAUAGUUCACUCAUGGUAAUCCAUUUAUAUUAGAAUGACGUCUUAAACAUUCGAGCACUGAAGUCCUGUUAGGUGCUCCUACCAAGAGACCCAAAUAUGAUAAUGGACAUAGUGUACAUGAGUCUUCUGGAAAAUCAUACCAACCUCAAAGCUAAAUCCAGAGACAUAUACACAUCCAAGAUGUCUGAAAUAACGUGGGAAUUUCUACAGUUAUAUUCCUUGUGAUAGUGGGCUUAAGGGAGCCUCCAGAUAGUGAAAAAUUCCAAAGUUACGAACUCUUGCUCUGACUCCAAAAGGAGGGCGUGCAGCUUUUUGAAAUUUAAACACGACCAUCAAGUGGGCAGUAAUACGUUGGUCAUGUAACUUGAAAAAUAUAUCAUUGGAAAAUUAUUUCAGACAUGAAUCGAAUGUUAUAAGUUUCCUGAGACAUAAUUACAUUUCAUGGACUGAAAUCAUUGUGAAAGAUAAAUCUCAAAAAGCACGUACGCCUUUGAUAGUGGAGCAUAUAACAUGGAUGUGCUUCAAAAAGGUAUGAAUUUAAUCCCUCUUGGUGGAGUCAGGGGGGACUACAACUUCGAGAAGCACAUCCAUGUCAUGCAUAGGCAAGGAAAUAAUUGAAUACAUGCUAUUAGCUUGUUUUAAAAGAUGGAACAUUGAAGCAUAUAUAUCCUAAGGGGUCUAUCUUGUGUGCGUAAUGAUGCAUGAACCAAAUCUAAAUCAGCAGGGCUGGUCUGGCGCCUCUUGGCCUGUUUGGUAGUUCUUUUACCAUGGAGGUUACCACAUCUUCCGUACAAUUUUUUUUAUGUACAACCAAUGGCCUAGCCAUAUAUGUCAUGUCAAAAAAAUAGGCAACUCGGAGGCUGGGAUGCUUAUAAGAGCUGCCCAAAACUACAUUGGUGCAAGACCAUGUGUAACGUCCAAUUCACCUAGUCAGCCAUGUACUAAUGUGUAUUACGUAUCCUUUUUUGCCUCUAUGAAUCGGACAAACAUCCACACGUCUACUUUUGGAAGAAGAAACUAAAACCUAUUAGAUAAGAAAUUCAAACUUGGUCGUACAAGUUUACAUGAAAAAAAUGAGAUGCUUACUGCCGACUGCUAACAACAUAAAAGUUUCAGUCAUAACUCAAGUCUGUGCGAAAACAUACUCUAUCGCCGAAUGAAUCAAAAUUAGAACCCAGUUAUGCCGGUUGCCAAUAGAAGAUUAGCCAUUCUUUUUCUGUGAGAUACUUACCGAAUUCACUAUCCUCAAACACCAGGACCCUCCUCAAUAUAUGUUGCUGCUGGAGCAUGGUGAAUCGAUAGGGAAUCGGUGCCGGCUGAUCAUGUUGUGUUCCUGGUGCUGCUACAAACCGAGGAAUCUCUCAAUCUUCAUGAUGCCCGGAGGAGAGGCCGCGGGUUUGAUGAUGGCGCUAGAAUUAUAGGGUUUAUAAACUUCUUAUUAACUUGAUCAGCAGCCAUAUGCAUAUGUAUAAUUUUCUUCUGAAAAAGGGGAUCUAGAGCAUACUAAGAGUAAUAAUCAAACAUCAGAUUUGUUGAGGUUGGGCGUAGAUAAACCUACACUAUUUAUGCCAUUAAGUUGACAUAGAGGCCAAUCAAAACGGGAGCAGAUGUCAGCCUGCAACUUGACAAUGGGAUUUAUUCAGAGGAUGAAGCUGCCGGUGACCAUGGGUUCGAGCGUGCUGCUGUUGGCCAGUCUUCAUGUGGAGGCCAAACAAAACAGGAGCAGAUGCCAGCCUGCAACUUGACAACGUGAUUGAUUCAUAGGAUGAAGUUGCCGAUGACCUUAGGUUCGAGUGUGCUGCUAUUGGCUAGUCUUCCCGAUAUGAAGGAGGCACUUGUUCUAUCGUGGGAGGAGGAAUUGCAAAGCUUAUCAGCCGGAGAGGGGGGCUCUAGCAGCGAUUGGCCCAAGAGGAAAUGAGGACAUCCCAGCAAAUUGGAAUCGGUGGGGAUUGGCGUGGGUUUACUCCACACAUACACACGUACAUGUAGAGACCAGGAGACAAUGAAGUCACGCACCAGUACAUAGGCCUGUAAUUUUUUAUGAAAAAUAGAUCUAUAUGGCUUUCCUAAAGCACUACGUGGCUCAUAAUUAUUUUAUUUGGAGAUGCAAUCGUAGGCUGGACAAACUCUUGUGAUCGGCUAUCAGGUUGAACUGAAUCGAUUAUAUUAAUUUUUCUUUUUCCAAUUAAAGUGGCAAUUUAUGUAUGGGUUGAUCUACAUCGUAGUAAAUCGGUCCCACCAGAUUAAUGGCUCGUAAAAUCUGAUUAACGUGGUAAUUUCUAGGGAGUCUAGAAUUAGUAUAGGUAUAGAUAGAUAAGAUAAGAUUUGAUACUUGCGAACCAUACCUCGUGGGUAAGAUGACAAAAACUCCAUUCUGCGGAACAAUGCAGCGAGCUAAUGAAUUAUUGUAAAUAAUACAUACUGAUGUAUGAGGUUCGAUGAGUGUUGAUGCACGCGGCGGGUAUCGUUAUUUUCUAACCUUCACAGGUGAUUUGAGUAGGUAUGGGUAUAUCUACUUGAUGAAACACAAGUCUAAAACAUUUGAAAAGUUCAAAGAAUUUUGGAGUGAAGUGGAGAAUCCUCGUAAUAAGAAAAUAAAGUUUCUACGAUCUGAUCGCGGAGGCGAAUAUUUGAGUUACGAGUUUGGCCUUCAUUUAAAACAAUAUGGAAUUGUUUCACAACUCACGCCACCUGGAACACCACAGCGUAAUGGUGUGUCCGAACGUCGUAACCGUACUUUAUUAGACAUGGUGUGUUCUAUGAUGUCUCUUACCGAUUUGCCUUUAUCAUUUUAGGGUUAUGCAUUAGAGACAACCGCAUUCACGUUAAAUAGGGCACCGUCUAAAUCCAUUCAGAGGACACCGUAUGAACAAUGGUUUGGCAAGAAACCUAAGCUGUCGUUUUUUAAAGUUUGGGGAUGCGACGCUUAUGUCAAAAGGCUUCAGCCUGAUAAGCUCGAACCCAAAUCGGAGAAGUGCGUCUUCAUAGAAUACCUUAAAGAAACUAUUGGGUACACCUUCUACCACAGAUCCAAAGGCAAGAUCUUUGUUGCUAAGAAUGGGUCCUUUGUAGAGAAGGAAUUUCUCUCGAAAGAAGUGAGUGGGAGGAAAGUAGAACUUGAUGAGGUAAUUUUACCUUCUCUCGAAUUGGAAAGUAGCACAUCCGAGAAAACCAUUCACGUGAUGCCUACACCAACUAUAGAGGAAGCUGAUGAUGAUGAUCAUGAAACUUCAGAUCAAGUUACUACUGAACUUCGUUGGUUGACCAGAACAUGUUCCGCACCAGAGUGGUACGGUAAUCCUACCCUGGAAUUCAAGUUGUUAGACAACGAUGAACCUACGAACUAUGAAGAAGCUAUGAUGAGCCCAGAUUUCGACAAAUGGCUUGAGGCCAUGAAAUCUGAAAUAGGAUCCAUAUAUGAGAACAAAGUGUGGACUUUGGUGGACUUGCCCGAUGAUCGGCAAGCCAUUGAAAAUAAAUGGAUCUUCAAGAGGAAGACGAACGCUGAUGGUAAUAUUACUGUCUAUAAAGCUCAACUGGUCGCAAAAGGUUUUCGACAAGUUCAAGGGGUUGACUACGAUGAGACUUUCUCACCCGUAGCGAUGCUUAAGUCUUUCUGAAUCAUGUUAGCAAUUUGCCGCAUUUUAUGAUUAUGAAAUCUGGCAAAUGGACGUAAAAACUGCAUUCCUUAAUGGUUUUCUUAAAGGAGAGUUGUAUAUGCUGCAACCAGGAGGUUUUGUCGAUCCUAAAGGUGCUAACAAAUUAUGCAAGCUCCAUCGAUCCAUCUAUGGAUUGGUGCAAGCAUCUUGGAGUUGGAAUAUAUGCUUUGAUGAGGUGAUCAAAGCAUUAUGUUUUAUUCAGACUUAUGGUGAAGCCCGUAUUUACAAGAAAGUGAGUGGGAGCUCUGUGGCAUUUCUGAUAUUACAUGUGGAUGAAAUAUUGUUGAUUGGAAAUGAUAUAGAAUUUCUGGAUAGCAUAAAAGGAUACUUGAAUAAGAGUUUUUCAAUGAAAGUCCUCGGUGAAGCUACUUACAUAUUGGGCAUCAAGAUCUAUAGGGAUAGAUCGAGACGCUUAUUAGGACUUUCAUAAAGCAUAUACCUUGGCAAAGUUUUGAAGAAGUUCAAAAUAGAUCAGUCAAAGAAAGGGUUCUUGCCUGUGUUGCAAGGUGUGAAGUUGAGUAAGACUCAAAGCCCGACCACGGCAGAAGAUAGAGAGAGAGAAUGAAAGUCAUUCCCCAUGCCUCAGCCAUAGGUUCUAUAAAGUAUGACAUGCUGUGUACCAGACAUGUUGUGUGCCUUCCCAUGAGUUUGGCAAGGGGUACAAUAGUGAUCCAGGAGUGGAUCACUGGACAGCGGUCAAAAUUAUCCUUAGUUACCCAAUAGGACUAAGGAAAUGUUUCUCAGUUAUGGAGGUGAUAAAUAGUUCAUUGUAAAGGGUUUUGUCGAUGCAAGCUUUGACACCGAUUCGGAUGACUCUGAGUCUCAAUCUAGAUAUGUAUUGAAAGUGGAAGAAAUUAGCUAGAGUAGCUCCAUGCAGAGCAUUGAAGACAUAGAAAUUUGCAAAAUACAUACGGAUCUGAAUAUGGUAGACCUGUUGACUAAACCUCUCUCACAAGCAAAACAUGAUCACACCUUAGUACUCUUUGGGUAUUAAUCACAUGGCGAUGUGAACUAGAUUAUUAACUCUAGUAAACUCUUUGGGUGUUAGUCACAUGGCGAUGUGAACUAUGGGUGUUAAUCACAUGGCGAUGUGAACUAGAUUAUUGACUCUAGUGCAAGUGGGAGACUGAUGGAAAUAUGCCCUAGAGGCAAUAAUAAAAUUAUUAUUAUUAUAUUUCCUUAUUCAUGAUAAAGGUGUAUUAUUCAUGCUAGAAUUGUAUUGACCAGAAACUUAAAUACAUGUGUGAAUACAUAAACAAAUACCGUGUCCCUAGUGAGCCUCUACUAGACUAGCUCGUUGAUCAAAGAUGGUUAAGGUUUCCUAACCAUAGACAUGAGUUGUCAUUUGAUAACGGGAUCAAAUCAUUAGGAGAAUGAUGUGAUGGAUAAGACCCAACCGUUAGCAUAGCAUAUGAUCGUUCAGUUUAUUGCUAUUGCUUUCUUAAUGUCAAAUACAUAUUCCUUUGACCAUGAGAUCAUGCAACUCCCGGAUACCAAAGGAAUACCUAUGUGCUAUCAAUGUCACAAAGUAACUGGGUGAUUAUAAUGAUGCUCUACAGGUAUAUCUGAAGGUGUCUAUUGAGUUGGCAUGGAUCGAGAUUGAGAUUUGUCACUCCGUGUAUCAGAGAUGUAUCUCUGGGCCCUCUCGGUAAUACACAUCACAAGAAGCUUGCAAGCAAAGUGACUAAGGAGUUAGGUACGAGAUGAUUUAUUAUGGAGCGAGUAAAGAGACUUGUCGGUAACGAGAUUGAACUAGGUAUAGAGAUACCGACGAUCGAAUCACGGGCAAGUAACAUACCGACAGACAAAGGGAAUUACAUAUGUUAUCAUAAAGGUUCAACCGAUAAAAGAUCUUCGUGGAAUAUGUAGGAAUCAAUAUGGGCAUCCAGGUCCCGCUAUUGGUUAUUAACCGAAGAGGUGUCUCGGUCAGGACUACAUAAUCCCCGAACCCGCAGGGUCGCACGCUUAAUGUUCGUUGAUGCUAAAGUAGUAUUGGGAUAUAUGAUGAGUGGUAAAAAAAUGUUGUUUGAAGUCCCGGAUGAGAUCUCAGAUGUCACGAGGAGUCUCAGAAUGGUCGAGAGGUGAAGAUUUAUAGAUGGGAAGUCAUAUUUUGGGUCCCGGAAAAAGGUGCAGUUUUUUCGGUAUUGUACCGGCAGUACUAGGGAUAACCUUAUACACAACAGCUUACCACUAGAGCUUUUUAAAAGGAGGCGCUGCUACUAAUUAGCAGUAGCGCUUGAGCAGAAAGAGCGCUAUUACUAUGCACAUAGACAUGCAAAAAUUAUCAGGUACUAAGUUCAUGAUAAAUUAAAGUUCAAUUAAUCAUAUUACUUAAGAACUCCCACUUAGAUAGACAUCCCUCUAGUCAUCUAGAUGAUCAUGUGAUCCAUAUCAACUAAACCAUGUCCGAUCAUCACGUGAGAUGGAGUAGUUUUCAAUGGUGAACAUCACUGUGUUGAUCAUAUCUACUAUAUGAUUCACGUUCGACCUUUCGGUCUCAGUGUUCUGAGGCCAUGUCUGCAUAUGCUAGGCUCGUCAAGUUUAACCCGAGUAUUCUGCACGUGCAAAACUAGCUUGCACCCAUUGUAUGUGAACGUAAAGCUUAUCACACCCGAUCAUCGCAUGGUGUCUCGGCACGACGAACUGUAGCAACGGUGCAUACUCAGGGAGAACACUUAUACCUUGAAAUUUAGUGAGGGAUCAUCUUAUAAUGCUACCGCCGUACUAAGCAAAAUAAGAUGUAUAAAGGAUAAACAUCACAUGCAAUCAAAAUAUGUGACGUGAUAUGUCCAUCAUCAUCUUGUGCCUUGGAUCUCCAUCCUCAAAGCACUGUCAUGAUCUCCAUCGUCGCCGGAUUGACACCUCGAUCUCCAUCGUAGCAUCGUUGUCGUCUCGCCAACUAUUGCUUCUACGACUAUCGCUACCGCUUAGUGAUAAAGUAAAGCAAUUACAUGGCGAUUGCAUUUCAACAAUAAAGCGACAACCAUAAGGCUCCUGCCAGUUGCCGAUAACUUUUACAAAACAUGAUCAUCUCAUACAACAAUUUAUAUCUCAUCACGUCUUUACCAUAUCACAUCACAACAUGCCCAGCAAAAACAAGUUAGACGUCCUCUACUUUGUUGUUGCAAGUUUUACGUGGCUGCUACGGGCUUCUAGCAAGAACCGUUCUUACCUACGCAUCAAAACCACAAUGAAUUUUUGUCAAGUGUGCUGUUUUAACCUUCAUCAAGGACCGGCCGUAGUCAAACUCGAUUCAACUAAAGUUGGAGAAACAGACACCCGCUAGCCACCUGUGUGUGAACCACGUCGGUAGAACCAGUAUCAUGAACGUGGUCAUGUAAUGUGGGUCCGGGCCGCUUCAUCCAACAAUAUCGCUGAAUCAAAGUAAGACGUUGGUGGUAAGCAGUAUGACUAUUAUCACCCACAACUCUUGGUGUUCUACUUGUGCAUAUCAUCUACGCAUAGACCUGGCUCUGAUACCACUGUUGGGGAACGUACUAAUUCAAAAAGAAAUCUACGAUCACGCAUGAUCUAUCUAGGAGAAGCAUAGCAACGAGACGGGAGAGUGUGUCCACGUACCCUCGUAGACCGAAAGAGGAAGCGUUUAGUAACGCGGUUGAUGUAGUCGAACGUCUUCACGAUCCAACCGAUCCAAGUACCGAACAUACGGCACCUCCGUGUUCAGCACAUGUCUAGCACGAUGACGUCCCUCAAGCUUCCAGUAGAGGGUCGAGGGAGAGUUCCAUCAGCACGACGGCGUGGAAACGGUGUUGGUGAUGUGAUCCGCGUAGGGCUUCGCCUAAACACUAUGACAAUAUGACCGUGGUGGUAAACUGUGGAGGGCGGCACCGCACACGGCUAAGAAACAACGGUUGUGCCUUCGGGGUGCCCCCUGUCCACGUAUAUAAAGGAGGGGGAGAAGGAGGCCGGCCCAAGGGGAACGCCAUGGGGGGAGUCCUACUAGGAAUCCGUUCCUAGUAGGAUUCGCCCCCCUUUCCGUCCAACGGAGAGCGGGAAAGGGGAAGGGAGAGAGAGGGAGAAGGAAAGGGGGGGGCCGCGCCCCCUCCCCUUGUCCAAUUCGGAUUGGGGCAAGGGGGUGCGCGCCUCCUCCCGUUGUCUGCCUCCUCUCCUCCACUAAGGCCCAAUAGGCCUAUUAACUUUCCCGGGGGGUUCCGAUAGCCUCCCGGUACUCCGAAAAAUCCCCAAUCUUCUUCGGAACCAUUCCGGUGUCCGUACAUAACCUUCCAAUAUAUCAAUCUUUACCUCUCGACCAUUUAGAGACUCCUCGUCAUGUCCGUGAUCUCAUCCGGGACUCCGAACAAACUUCGGUCACCAAAACACGUAACUCAUAAUACAAUUCGUCAUCGAACAUUAAGUGUGCGGACUGAGGGAGUCCUGGAUUAAGGGGUCCUCGGGGGUCCGACCUGUUAUCUAUGGGCCGGACUGAUGGGUUGUGAAGAUAUGAAGACCGCAGACUAUGCUCGUGUCCGGAUUGGACUCUCCUUGGCGUGGAAGGCAAGAUAGGCGAUCAAUUAUGAGGAUUCCCUCUGGUGUAACCGACUCUAUGUAACCCUAGAUAUCUCCGGUGUCUAUAUAAACCGGAGGGCAUAGUCCGAAUAGGGGAUACUCAUUACCAUAUUCACAUAGGCUAGACUUUUAGGGUUUAGCCACUACGAUCUCAUGGUAGAUCAACUCUUGUAAUACUCAUAUUCAUCAAGAUCAAUCAAGCAGGAAGUAGGGUAUUACCUCCAUAGAGAGGGCCUGAACCUGGGUAAACAUCGAGUCCCCCGUCUCCUGUUACCAUCGAUCCUAGACGCACAGUUUAGGACCCCCUACCCGAGAUCCGCCGGUUUUGACACCGACAUUGGUUCUUUCAUUGAGAGUUCCACUGUGCCGUCGCCAAGAGGGUUGAUGGAUCGCCUUGUUUUCAAGGAUAAUAUCAUCCUCAGAGGAGCCCUGGCCCCAGGCCAAUCCCUCCGGCUGGGCGGCUUCGUCAUGACCGCCGGGUCGGCCCUUAAGCCGACGAUGACCUCCCAAGUCAUCGAAAAUCGCCUCCGCGUUGAUCCCGAAUACUCCGCCCACAUGGAUCCGAUGGAGUUAUCGUCGCUGAACGAACUCCUGGAUCGCAUGGCCGCUUUGGGGGUCGCUACAGACUACGAUUGGGUCGGGCUUAAACCUGACCAGAGAGAAAUUAAAACUCCGCCGAUCACCCAUCAGGUAGCGGUAGUCGAGGAGCGGAGCAACUCUUCUACUAUAUUGAAGACGAACUAUGUUCGGAUCUCCGAUCUUGAAGGGCCGGAUAUUCUCUGGCAGAAAGGCAUGUCCCGUCCCCCGAACAUGGAGUCGGACGAUGAUACUAAAAAAACAGUCGAUAUCCCAGAGCCCGAACUGCCAGGUCCAGUAGAUUUUCAAAUUCCAGAUCCAAAAUCGGGUCAGGGUUCGGAUUUUGUUCCACCCACCCACCCGGAAAUAGACGCUCUCAUGAGCAUAAAACAAAGGCCUCGGGAAACGGUCCACCACUUCUGGGCCAGAUUCCUCCUUGUCAAAAACAAGGUAAAGGACUGCCGCGACGAAGAUGUGAUAGCAGCAUUCUGCAACAACUGCGCAGACGAAGGCAUCCUCAACGCCAUCAAUCGCUGCCACAUACUAAAGUUCGCUGACCUAGCAAUUAUCGUACAAAAGUACAGCGUAUGGAAAGCGCCUGGAAAACUCAAGCAGCUCGCUGGGAACCGCCAGACCCAACCCAACUCAUCCUACAGGCGAAGAGGACGCACCCCCAUGGCACGCCCAGCCGAACAGUCAAAAAACACAAACCCAUUAUGCUGCACGGCACCGUUCUGGAGGGAUGGCUCAAUGGCCCAUGCAAAAUACACACAACGCCGAAUACCGUGGCAACCCACAACCUUAGAGCAUGUUGGAUACUUUGGCAGGUAGCCAAGAGCGGCGAGGACAUCCUUAUCAAGGACACCCCAGAACAACACCCUCCAGCAAACGACGACAAUAGAGUGUUGACAGUCUUCGAGACAUUCGCUUCAAACAAUAAGCGUAAAAGGGCACUUCGCGAUCUCGCCGAAGUUUGCCAAGUCGCCGCAAUUGACCCCUGGAACGACACGGCCAUAACCAUUAACGCCAGUGACGAACCUCAAUACAUAAAAGUCCGUGCGCCAGCUGCAUUAGUCCUCAGUCCCAUCAUGGAUGGCUUUCGACUUACAAAAGUCAUCAUGGACGGCGGCAGCGGACUAAACCUCAUUUACGAGGACACGCUCCACAAGAUGGAAAUAGACAGGAGCCGCAUCGAGAAAAGCAGCACAACCUUUCGAGGUAUCAUUCCCAGUCGGGAAGCGCGGUGUCUGGGAAAAAUUACACUCGAUGUGGUAUUCGGCACGCCGGAGAAUUAUCGGUCCGAAGAAAUAACUUUCCAGGUGGGCCCUUUCAACAGUGGAUACCAGGCCCUGUUGGGGCGAGAGGCCUUCAUGCGCUUUCAAGCCAUACCUCAUUAUUGGUAUAUGAAGCUAAAAAUGCCCAGGCCUAAUGGAAUAAUCACCCUCGUCAGUGAUCCGGAUAUAGCACUCCGCGCCGAGAACAAAACCGCAUCCUUGGCCCUCGAGGCAUUGUCUGAGGCCCUCGCGGCUGAAGAACUAACCACACUAUGGUCCACUGUGGAUAGAGAUGAUGUCAUCUUGGACAAACGACCCAAAUCUAUUUCCUUCAAGCCACCAGAAGAAACGGUCAAAUUUCAGGUCCAUCCGACAGACCCUAAGAAGACAGCCUCCAUCGGAGCGCAACUCACCCCCACAUUAGACGCCGCACUACGAGACUUCUUGCGCGAAAACUGGGAUAUAUUCGCCUGGCACCCCUAAAAUAUGCCAGGAAUCCCGCGCGAGUUGGCCGAACACAGCCUCAACAUACUAAAGGGAUAUACGCCGGUCAAGCAAACACUGCGGCACUUUUCCGAACCCAAACGACAAGCCAUUGGAGAAGAGCUAGCCAAACACAUCGAGGCCGGAUUCAUCAAAGAUAUUAAACAUCCGGACUGGUUGGCAAACUCGGUAAUGGUACCAAAGAAGGAUAAAUCCUGGCGCCUGUGCGUCGACUUCAAAGACCUUAACAAGGCCCUCCCUAAGGAUCCCUUCCCUCUUCCCCGCAUCGAUCAAAUCAUUGACGCCACCGCAGGACACGACUCGCUGUGCUUCCUUGAUGCAUAUUCAGGAUACCAUCAAAUCAAAAUGAAGGAGUCCGAUCAAGCCGCAACAACAUUCAUUACACCAUAUGGGCCAUUUUGCUUCAACACCAUGCCUUUCGGGCUCAAGAACGCCUGCGCCACCUACCAGCGCAUGAUCCAAACAUGCCUCGAGAAACAGAUCGGCAAAACAGUGGAGGCCUACGUGGACGACGUCGUCAUGAAAACUAGACACGUCGAAACACUAAUAGACGACUUGUGUCUCACAUUCGACAACCUUCGCACAUACAACAUCAAGCUUAUCCCGGAAAAGUGCAUCUUCGGCGUCCCCGCUGGUAUACUAUUGGGCUUCAUCGUUUCCAACAGAGGAAUUGAAGCAAACCCAGCCAAAAUUCAAGCUCUAUUGCAGUUGGCCAUGCCAACCGAACUCAAACAGGUCCGAAAACUCGCCGGGUGCGAGGCAGCCUUAAGCCGCUUUAUCUCCAGGUUAGGGGAAAAGGCGCUGCCCCUUUAUCGCCUUCUACGAUGCAAUGAUAACUUCGAAUGGACAGAUGCAGCGACAGCCGGACUGGAAGAAAUAAAAGCCCUUUUGGCAAGCAACCCAAUACUGGCCGCGCCAAACGUCGGCGAACCAAUGCUUCUAUACAUAUCGGCAACACAUCAUGUGGUGAGCGCCGUACUCGUCGUCGAACGAGAACGGGACGGACACAAAUUUCCGCUCCAACAGCCGGUAUACUACGUAUCCACCGUCCUCACACCAUGCAAAUCCCGGUACCCUCACUAUCAAAAGAUAGCAUAUGCAGUCUUCAUGGCAUCUCGCAAGUUGCUACACUACUUUCAGGAGUGCUCGAUCACGGUGGCUUCCGAAGUGCCCCUCAAUGAUAUAAUCAACAACCGGGACGCAACGAGCCGGAUUGCCAAAUGGGCCAUUGAGCUCCUGCCAUUCGAUAUCACGUACAAACCACGUCGAGCCAUCAAAUCCCAAGUACUGGCUGACUUCAUCGCCGAAUGGACGGAGGCCGAACUCCCUAAAGAGUACGGCGCGUAUUCCAACUGGGUUAUGCAUUUUGACGGCUCCAAAAUGUUGGCAGGGCUAGGGGCGGGCGUCGUAUUAACGUCCCCCACAGGAGAUAUCGUCCAGUAUGUACUCCAAAUAUUAUACACAGACUCCAACAACGCAGCCGAAUACGAGGCCUUGUUACAUGGCCUCCAGAUGGCCGUAUCAAUGGGCAUACAACGCCUGGAGGUGCGAGGGGACUCAAACCUCGCAAUAUCCCAAAUUAAUGGAGACUUUGAUGCCAAAGACCCAAAGAUGGCGGCUUAUCGCAAUGCUGUCUUGAAAAUGUUGGCUCGGUUCGAGGGGCUCGAAUUUCAUCACGUUGCCCACAAAAGUAAUCAGGCGGCAGACGUCCUUGCUCGCAUCGGCGCUAAGCGCGACCCCGUCCCACCUAACAUCUUCCUCGAAAGGCUCUUUAAGCCAUUCGUGGUGUGGCAAGGGGGAGACAGCAACGACAGUCCCGUUCCGAACACAAACACAGAUAGCGAACACGCCGAUAUCAUCCGAGGCUCAGCCACCGAAAUAACACCAUCGGCCGACCUCAUCAUGGCAGUAAUCACCCCGUGGACCGAACCAUUCUUGGCCUAAUUUAAUAGGAAGGAGCUCCCAGAAGAUCAGAACGAGGCUCGCCGCAUCAUCCGGCGUUCGAAGGCCUAUAAAGUUCACGAAGGAGAGCUCUACAAGAAAAGCACUACCGGAGUCAUGCAAAGGUGUAUCUCCGAGGAGGAGGGUCGGCAACUCUUGGCAGAAAUUCACGCCGGUCUCGGUGGGCACCACGCCGUAGCCCGGGCACUUGUCAGCAAGGCCUUCCGGACAUGAUUUUAUUGGCCCACGGCCUGGGCAGACGCACAGGACCUCGUCCAGCGCUGCGUUGGAUGCCAACUUUUCGCCAACCAAAUCCAUAUGCCCCCAACCGCUCUACAAACAAUCCCCAUUACAUGGCCCUUUGCGGUCUGGGGCUUGGACAUGGUUGGACCCCUUAAAGGGGGAAGCCAUAAGAAAAAAUAUCUGCUGGUCAUGGUGGACAAAUUCACCAAGUGGAUAGAGGCUAGACCAGUUAAAACGGCCGAGUCCGGACCGGUGAUUGCAUUUAUAUCCGAUGUGGUGCACCGUUAUGGUGUACCGCACAACAUCAUCACUGACAACAGUUCCAAUUUCACAGUUGACGAGGUGAAAACCUGGUGUGCUAAUCUGGGCAUUAAGCUCGAUUACGCCUCUGUCUACCACCCGCAAACAAACGGUCAGGUCGAGCGAGCUAAUGGUCUUAUUAUGAGAGGCAUCAAACCCAGGCUAGUGCGGUCUUUGAAAGAAUCAGACAAACACUGGGUCGAGGAGCUCGACUCCGUACUCUGGGCGCUGCGGACCACUCCCAACCGUACUACCGGAUACACACCCUUCUUCAUGGUGUACGAUGCAGAGGCUGUAUUGCCCUGCGAUAUUAUACAUGACUCACCUCGAGUGCGUAUGUAUGAAGAGAAAGAGGCCGAGUUGGAUCGGCAGGACAGCCUAGACGCCCUGGAGGAGGAGCGAGACGUCGCCAAAGCCCGUUCAGCAUUUUAUCUACAGCAGGCUCGAAGAUAUCAAAGCGGAGAAGUACGGGCCAAGACUUACAACGUUGGCGAACUCGUUCUACGCUUGCCGGAGAAGAAAAAGGACAAACUCAAGCCCAAAUGGGAGGGUCCCUUCAUAAUUGACGAAGUUCUUACCAGAGGAGCAUACCGUCUUCGUGACGCAUCGGACAAUCGCCUAGAGCCCAACCCCUGGAACGCGGCCAGACUCCGAAGGUUCUAUGCCUAGCGCCGAACCCUUUGUUAGUCUCCUUCUCCCCUACAGUUUCUAUAACUCUUUCCCCUUCUUUUUACACAAUUUCUUUUUUUCGCUUUAAAGCUCUCAUUCGGCUUGACCGAACACUGCUGACGUACACAUCUUUACAUAUGUACGCCCGUUAUACCUGGGGGCUUCCUUAACAGAAGCUUGUUUUCCGAGCGUCAAGCUCGCCACACAUACGCGUUUUUCCCAUAUGUCUUUUCUUCACCAUUAUAUGCAUUGAUAUGACUUAAGUUUUGGCCAAGCCGGGUUGCCUGGUUCCUGUGCUUACCCCUACGUUCCCGAUUGUUCGGCUAGGUGGUAAAGGGGGCACCUCUGCGAUUGUUGCUGCCGGGUCAUCCGAAUGUGUACCUCAGACUGGGUGAAGCCGAAAGCUAGCGUUCUUAAGGGAAUAUUCGGUCGGUGGAUGAAAAUUACUUUUUGCACUCACUCUAUUGUGCACCCCCAGAAGCUAUACACAAUGUGAUUUUCACAUUACAAUUCAGACAUGUCUACUAAUGCAUGCACACCCAGGGAAAGGAACCCUUAACGGAACUAUUCUCCCUGGAAGAUGUUUCUUACAAUCUCAAUGUAAUAUAACAUAACUAGCCGGAUACAACUUGUGUGUUCAAGCAACUAUGACCCCUACGCUUAGUUUUCCACGCAUCGGCCUAUUCGGCCGUGACGGUAUUCGGAAACACUCCGCACCUUCGGGUCCGGAGGUUGAAGCGAAAAGGUCUGCCAUGAUAAAUGAUAUACAAUUCAGCUAGCAUUCCACAUGGUGAGGAAAGUACAUAGUCACUUGGACUCAAACACUUCUGCCUCUAUACCAUCUAACAGGCAGUCUAACUUACAAUCCUGUUGGGAAUAUUUUGCGGCCACCUCUACUUGGUCAUAUACUAAACUAACGGGAAUUUCUUCCCCAUUUGGCCCUAACGGUCCAACCCGGGCCAUGUGAUUAGGAUUCAGCUUCGUAUAUCGUGUUUUCACCAUGGCCCAGGCCUCUCGCACACCCUCUCGGCAGGCUGAUAUCUUCCAUAAUCGGAUACGCCACCGUGCUCCAUUGAACAGCUCUACCAGCUCCUCCAUACUUCAUGGAGGGGAGGCGGAUGGCCAUAAGGCCUUGGCAACACUCGGCAUGGCCAGUCGAGCAUGCUCGUGCACUUGCGACAGUCUUUGCAGCAGAUCACUUGCUGAUCCGGACACCUCCUCUUCAGGACGGCCCGUCAAUAUACCUGCAAGCAUAGCUAUAUCAGUUCCACGUCACUCCGAACUACUAACAAAAAAAACAACAAGUUCGGAAACAUACUGAACAUGCUGCCCCACAGCUUCUUGUUCUCCUUUACGGAGUCAGCUAGCUAGGCCCGCACAUCUUUCAACUCUUCACUCAACUUCAUGUUGGAAUCCUAUAGCUUGUUUUUCUCGUCCCUGACGCGGGUCAGCACAUGCUCACCUGUGGCGUGUUUCCUCUUUGCCUCUCUUUCUCCCUCUUGGGCGAUCUUCAACUUCUCCUCAAGUUGAUCAGGCGACCCUAUUAUGCGAUCAGUGGCAGUAUUAGCACAGUUGGUAUACAGUUAUUGUUCCUCGAUGGAGGGGAACGUUACCAGAGGACGGCUUCUUCAAGUUUCCCAGUUCGGCGGUAGCAGCAUUUAGCUGCGCCCAACACAGCUUCAGCUCUUGAGCUAGCAGGUCAUUCUUCUCCGUAAGGACCUGGUCGUACAACGAUCCUUAAAUCAGUUGUGCCAACCGCUUUCAGUCUCGGGGGCUACGGGCAUAUGGUCAUCCUUUUUGGACACGGAAAACUCACCUGCACAUCCAUCAAAUAUUGCUUCGUGGCUCUUCUAAGCCCAUCUCGAGCAGCUCGGAUGUAUGCAUCGCCCGAGUUCAAGGCAUUGAAUGCCUCCUCCGAGAUCUUGGGGUCCCGUAAGACCGCCCUCUAGCACCGAUGAUUCAUGGCGCUCUCUACCUCCGAGUUGGUAACGGACAUAUUUUCCGAACCCUAUGCCGCUGAACAGUCCGGCAUUGUUCCCACACUGGCUCCCGUCUCUCCGACUGGAUCUAAAUCCUGGUUGACGGAAGCAUGACCGGUCGGGCCCCCGGACAUAGUUCGAGAAACCUUUUUCCUGUAAUCAAACAAACGCACAGGUCACAGUUGGAUGUGGCCGCUGAUAAAGUGUAUGUACCCAUACCUCCUUGAUGAAGGCCUGGUUGUGUCUUCAUUGGCCUUCCUCUUCGAAGGCCUGCCUGACGCAGGAACAGAUCUCUUCGGAACCGUCGAACGCCUCCCCUAUAAAGCACGAAACAGUGUGGUGGGUGAGGCCGAGUAUAAGCACUCUCUUGAAGAAGGUGCCUCUUGAUUACUUACCUGGGAAGCAGGAACAAGGCUAGGAUAAUCGGCGAUGAUGGCCACCUCUGUGCCAUCAUAGCUCGUCUGGUAAAACACUCCCUCGGCGAGCACCACGAACAUAUCCGGAUCCUCCUCAAAUCCAGGACCAAGCUCCCGGCCGUGGUUCUCCGGCUGCGGGUCGGGACUAUGGAGUCCUUUGGUGACCUUUCGCCAGUGCUAUCAUAACAGACGGAUUUGAAAUUUAUCAAGGGGAAUCCGGCAAGGGAAGAAAUGAAACAGAGGGGUGGAAACCUACCCAACUGGGAGGAUCAUACAUAGAAUACCCAUCUCUGUGCUUAAUACGAAGAAAUUCCUCUUCCUCCCCUUUAAACAGCCCGGCCAGUAUCUUGGCCAGAGCGGCGGGAGUGUCCGGACCUUUCCGGCCACAUCGGGAGGCGCCAUCCUCUCCAUUAUAGUGCCACAUUGGUAGCCCUCUGUAUUGUAGCGGCUGAACCCCACGCACUAUGGAGGUCGCCAUUACCUCGAUUAUUGUAAGUCCGGACUGAGCGAGCGUCUUUAUCUUGCUCAUAAGCUGAUGAACUUCCGCACUGUCAUCCUCUUCGUGACUCCGGGGACACCAACUGUGGCAUUUCUUCAGCGGACGCUCGCAAACUCGGGAAGACCCUUUCGAACUGGGUCAGGAAGCGCAACGUCCUCAAUAUAGAACCAUUCGGAAGGCCAUUCGUCAGACACCUUCCUUGGUGUGCCGGACAGAUAUACGGUAUCGGCAAUACGCCACACUGCGGCUCCACCCACUUCAAAUAUUAACCCCUCAUGAUUACGCGGGACAAGGCAGAACAACUUCCUCCACAGCUCAAAAUGGGCCUCGAUGCCCAGAAAUAAUUCGCAUAAAGCGACAUAACCAGCAAUCUGCAAAAUGGAGGCAGGGGUGAAGUUGUGCAGUUGGAGGCCAUAAUAUUCCAAAAACCCUCAGAGGAACGGAUGGAUUGGAAAUCCGACGCCCCUUAGCAGGAAGGGGACAAAACACACCCGCUCUCCCCCAGAUGGGUUGGGGAAAUCCUCCGCUUGAGUCUUGCCAUUAAAAGAGGCCAGUCCUGCUCGAACAGGAACCAGAUCUGCGGGAGGAAGAAAUCCUUGUGUUUGCAACUUCGUUAGUUGGCUGUGGGACACAGAGCACUUCACCCACCCGCCUUUCUCUGAGCGGGAGGAGGAGCUGGGAAUGCUGGUCAUAUUGGAAUGGUUUCUCCUAGCAGUGUCUGGGGAUUUUCUCGGCAUAGCGUCGAAUGGAUCUAAGAUCCAAUCUCUUUAAAUAGGCACACGACCUUGCAUGAAUGGGGUGUUAUUUGCAAAAACAUCCUGACCUUCCGCAUCCGCUCAAUACGUGGAAGACGAAGUUAUUAAACGCACUGAAGCCGAGGGGAGCGACAAUGAAUCAACUGCCGAAUACAUUACUUGGAAGUCAUCGGAGGAGGAACCCGCCUUGCAAUGCCGAAGACAAUCUGUGUGCCGAACCCUUCGCUAUUGAAGACUGGUUCGGGGGCUACUGAGGGAGUCCUGGACUUAGGAGUCCUCGGGUGUCCGGCCUGUUAUCUAUGGGCCGGACUGAUGGGCUGUGAAGAUAUGAAGACCGAAGACUAUGCUCGUGUCCGGAUUGGACUCUCCUUGGUGUGGAAGGCAAGCUAGGCGAUUAAUUAUGAGGAUUCCCUCUGGUGUAACCGACUCUACGUAACCCUAGAUCUCUCCGGUGUCUAUAUAAACCGGGGGGCAUAGUCCGAAUAGGGGAUACUCAUUACCAUAUUCACAUAGGCUAGACUUUUAGGGUUUAGCCAUUACGAUCUCGUGGUAGAUCAACUGUUGUCGUACUCAUAUUCAUCAAGAUCAAUCAAGCAGGAAGUAGGGUAUUACCUCCAUAGAGAGGGCCCGAACCUGGGUAAACAUCGUGUCCCCCGUCUCCUGUUACCAUUGAUCCUAGACGCACAGUUCGGGACCCCCUACCCGAGACCCGCCGGUUUUGACACCGACACGGACCCUAUGGGUUCGAGAACUAUGUAGACAUGACCGAGACACAUCUCCGGUCAAUAACCAAUAGCGGAACCUGGAUGCUCAUAUUGGCUCCUACAUAUUCUACAAAGAUCUUUAUCGGUCAAACCGCAUAACAACAUACGUCAUUCCCUUUGUCAUCGGUAUGUUAAUUGCCCGAGAUUCGAUCGUCGGUAUCAUCAAACCUAGUUCAAUCUCGUUACCGGCAAGUGUCUUUACUCAUUCCGUAAUGCAUCAUCCCAUAACUAACUCAUUAGUCACAUUGCUUGCAAGGCUUAUAGUGAUGUGCAUUACCGAGAGGGCCCAGAGAUACCUCUCCGAUACACGGAGUGACAAAUCCUAAUCUUGAUCUAUGCCAACUCAACAAACACCUUCGGAGACACCUGUAGAGCAUCUUUAUAAUCACCCAGUUACGUUGUGACGUUUGAUAGCACACAAAGUGUUCCUCCGGUAUUCAGGAGUUGCAUAAUCUCAUAGUCAGAGGAAUAUGUAUAAGUCAUGAAGAAAGCAAUAGCAAUAAAACUAAACGAUCAUAAUGCUAAGCUAAUGGAUGGGUCUUGUCCAUCACAUCAUUCUCUAGUGAUGUGAUCCCGUUCAUCAAAUGACAACACAUGUCUAUGGUCAGGAAACUUAACCAUCUUUGAUUAACGAGCUAGUCAAGUAGAGGCAUACUAGGGACACUCUGUUUGUCUAUGUAUUCACACAUGUACUAAGUUUCUGGUUAAUACAAUUCUAGCAUGAAUAAUAAACAUUUAGCAUGAUAUAAGGAAAUAAAAAUAACAACUUUAUUAUUGCCUCUAGGGCAUAUUUCCUUCAGUUGGCAACCAACACUACUACUAUGGGCACCAUAUCCACACCGGUCGGCCCGCACGCGUCCUCACUCUCCCCUCACACUCUCACUCGCUCUCUCUCCGCCGCGCGCCGUCGCCGUCAUCGCCUGCCGUCACCAACCGUCGCCCCCGUCGCUCGCCGUCACCCACCGUCGCCCCCAAGGUAUCUGCCUCCCUCCCUCCUCCUCUCGCCGCCCGCGCCCUCCACUCUCCUCCCUCCGGCGGCCCUCCUCUCUCCUCCCUCCACCCGUCGGCACCUGAUGCUCUCCUCCCACCUCCUCCGACCGCCCUGCUCCCUCCUCCCUCCUCCCAGUGCCGUCCUCUCUCCUCCCUCCCCCAGCUGCCCGAAGCCCUCACUCCUCCCUCCUCCUCCCACCUCUCUUGGUAUAAAAAUUUAGGUAUAGAAUUUUUUAGUAAAAGAAUUUAGUAAUAGAAAUUUUUAGGUACAAAAAUGUAUUAGAAUGCUAUAUGCGAUUUUUUAGUAAAUGUAGGUUUUUUGAAUAGAAUUUAAAAAAAUAAGUAAAUGGAGGUCUUUUGAAUAGAAUAGGAAUUUUUUUGUAAAUUUUCUACUUUUGGAAUAGAAUAGAAAAUUAGUAAAUGUAGAAUAGAAUAGAAAAUUAGAAAAAUUCAGUAAACGUAAGUCUUUUAUUUUUGUGUUAGACAUAGGGUUUCAAACUCUAAGUUAUGUGAAAUUAGGGCAUUUUUCUAUGAUUCAAGAAGUAGACAGUAGUUAAAAAACGAGGGCAUUUUUUCUAGGGUUUAGGAGGAUAUAUAGAUAGAUGGAUUGAUGGACAGAUGUUAGGGCUAGAACUAGGGUAUUUUUAGUAAAUGUAUAGGUCUUUUCAAUUUUUACGGUUAGAACAAGGUAUUUUUAGUAAAUGUUAGGGCUACACCUAGGAUUUUUUAUACAUAGGGUUUCACUAAGUCCUAAGAUGAGGAUAAUAAUGUUUUUGUUUAUUUUUUGUUUUUGCAGAAAUCAAGGAGCCCCGGCCUCGAGGUGAGACCAGCCAAAUCCACAUGUCGAUCAUGAUGUAGAUGUUUUGAUAGUUGUAGUAGACUAGUAGCUACAUGAGUGGCCUAUGUUUGCAGGGAACACCUCACAGUGGCCUAUGUUUUGCCAGAGUAUUGAUUAAUUUCCAUUCCGGCAAAUUUCAGGCGCUCGAUAUAUGUCCUUUUCAGCAAAGGUCAUGCUGGAUUUUUCCGUGAAUUUUGACAUGACUUGUGCUAGAAUAUGUAGGAAAUAUCGAGUGGCCCGGAUUUUGUAGAAAGAUAAUUAAACGACAUUUCCGGGUUGACUUUAAGUCUGUGAGGGCUCCAUACAUGACCGUCAACAAAUGAGUGAGGGAGAAAGUCUGCACCAUAUAUGAGAGAAGAAGAAUCCCGGCUGUUGUCGUGGGGGUCGUUUCUCCUUCUUCUCCUUGUGCUAGACCUUUGUUAUGCACUAGGGGAAGGAGGAGUAACGACCAUCACCGAUGGUCGAAAAAUCUGUGAGGGGGUGUCCACCAUAUAUAUAUGUGAGAGAGGACGAAGAAUCCCGACUGUUGUCAUGGGGGUCAUUUCUCCUUCUUCUCCGGGUCCUAGACCUUUGUUAUGCACUAGGGGAAGAAGGAGUAACGACCAUCACCGAUGGUCGAAAAAUCAUUGAGAGAGUCUCCACCAUAUACACCACAUGAGAUGAGAUGACAGUUUUCAAGAAACGACUCGACAGACUGACAGUCAACCCGUGAUGAAUAAUAAUUAUCUAAUUUAGUUUUUGUAGUACAUAUAUUGAAUUUUACAAGCUUAAUCUUUGAAUUAUGUACAUAGGAAAUGUCUGACAACAACGAUAGGCUCCCGGAGUGCGACUGGUGCAGCGACGACCGGGGUCUGUGUGACAGGCCUCACCUGGUAGACAGUCGACGCUUCAGUGUUAAGCUCGAUGAGACCUUCGAUGUUGACACGGUACGCAACGACAAGUAUUUUUUCGUAAUUAAGCAUGACUUAUGCUUCUUCAACGUGUAAUUUUCCCUUUUUACAAUUCGACUAGCUUAUCCCAUGUCAUGCAAGACGCUAUGUCUUCGAGCAUCUGGAUUUCGAAGAUCAUGAAAAUAUGGAUACAAAGAUAAUUCAUCUCAGGACCCAUCAUUGUUAUGAUUUUAUUUUAAAGCUAUACAAUUUGGAGAGCGUAUCCCAUUUUGGUUGCUCGAAUUGGGAAGCACUGUGCCAGGCAUAUGGUUUUCAGGUGGGUAUGUAUGUCACCUUCGAUAUUGGUGAUGAAGACGAUGGCAUGUGGGUCCUUGUUGAUACGCUUCCACUUCUACCUCUAUGUGAGUUUCUCAAACAUACUUAUUAAGUAAUUUAUGUUGUUUAUUUCAAAAUAGUUGAUAGCUUAUUUCCAUUAACAACUUAUUUUCAUUCUUCAAAAAAUAUACGGAAGAUGGUAGACAACACCUACUACACUGAUGGCGCAUAAUUAACUUAUCAACAGAAAGAUCAUCUUAUCUCAUCUAUUAAUGAUGUUCAGAUUUACAAUAUCAAUUAUCAAACUCCUGCACAUUAUGGUCAAUACGUGCCACUAGUGCACGUGUUGAACUACGGUAACAUCCAUGGAGAUGGCAUGGUAAGAUAUUUUACUAUUACGGCAUCCGCGCAUAUUUUACAUAAAUUCUUAUAAAGCUAAACUACAUUGCUAACUACGAAGUUAUUACUAUGUUUUUCAACAGAAAAUCUUGAAGGAUUUUGUGCCUGGUUUGAUGCUUCUGAAAGGUCGUCUUGAUGUUAUUAGCUUACGGCCAGGUCAUCCUAGGGUUCACUGCUGUUCAUACCGGAUUUCUAAAACCGAUCAAGAUAUGACAAUCGAAUAUUGGAAAAACUGUAUGGACAAUUGUAGGGAGCUACUUGGAAGCAACAUUGUGCGAAGCGCAAGAAUUGGAGACAGGAUAAUCGCCAUUCUCCAUAAUGGAGAGUCAGGGCCUAUCUUGUUUUAUGUUAUUUUAACUUAGAGAGGGUAGUAGUAGGUCCUAUCCAAUACUCAUGAUCAUGUGUUAAGAACAAUUAAGUAGGGUUGGUUAGAUGACUAUGAUGAUGAGUAUGACUUGUUAUUAUGAUAACGAGUAGAAGCUUUAUGAUGAUGAUGAGUAGGACUUGUUAUUAUGAUAACAAGUAGAAGUUGUAUGAUGAUGAUGAGUAGGACUUGUUAUUAUGAUAACAAUGAUGAGUUAUUUAUUAUUACGAUGAUGCAUGAUGCUAAGUUGUUAUAUAUGUGAGCAUGAUGAGUUAUUCCGUAUAUUAGUGGAUGAAAUGUACAUGGAUUAGAUUCAAGUGGAGUCAACAUGUGGUGCACAUCGAAAGUGCUACUAAUCCAAACUAGAUCAAGUUUGGAUUAGUAGUACUUUCGAUGUGCACCACAUGUUGCCUUCACUUGAAUCUAAUCCACGUUCAUUUCACCCACUGACAUAUAUAAUAACUAAUCAUGGUCAUAAAACCAUAUGAUGAAAGUACUGUAUAUAAAACCUAUACAAAUAUAGCAACAAUAAGCUGCAUUUUCAAAAAUAUAGGAAAAUUUAGCAGUGUGCUUUUUAGAAGAAACGUUGCUGCUACUUACUAUUAUCAGUAGCGUUUUCCCCUACCGAGUGCUACUUCUACCAGUUAGCUGUAACACUUUACUGGUAGCGCUUGUACAAGCACUACUGAUAGCUAUAAAACCAGUGCUACUAGUAGGGUUUUCCCUAGUAGUGUGGGAAGCUUCCAAAAGGAUCCGGAGGAUUCCGGAGGGGUCCCAAAGUCCACAAGUGGGUCCACCACGACCCAAGGGCUAGCAUGGGUUGCGGGGAGGCGUUCUGGCCUUAUUGGGCUAGGCGCAAAAAGUCCUCAAAAGCCUAUGUGGCUAGGGAAGGCAAAAAAGGAAGGAGUCCUAGUAGGAAUAGAGAGGACUUGGAGUCCUAGUGCUCUCCCCCUUAGCUGCGCCCUAGGGCUUGGAGGGGCUGUUUCCCACGCCCAUCCACCUAUAUAUAGAGGGGAGGGGGCGCCCCAAGAGCACACACUAAGCCCUUGGCGACCCUCUCUCUCUCGUUACUCCGUACUUCCACCGCCUCAUCCCAGCGACGCUUAGCGAAGCGCUGUCGGUGCUCCACCACCACCUUCACCACCACGCCAUCCUGUUGGUUGUGAUCCCAUCUACUUCUCCUCUCCCACUUGCUGGAUCAAGAAGGAGGAGACAUCAUCGAGCCGCACAUGUGCUAAACUCGGAGGUGUCGUCCAUUCGGCACUAGAUCGGUUGGAUUCUGAUCGGAUCGCGAAGAGAACGACUACAUCAACCGCGUGAUAAACGCUUCCGCUUAGCGAUCUAGAAGGGUAUGUAGAUGCUCUCCCCCUCUCGUAGCUAUGCAUAUCCAUGGAUAGAUCUUGCGUGUGCGUAGAUUUUUUUUGUUUUCCAUGCAACGUUUCCCAACACAUAUUAGUUGGCAAAUACUCCCUCAGUUUCUAAAUAUAAGUCUUUUUAAGGUUUCAAUGUGGAUUAGAUACAGAUGUAUAUAGACGGAUUUUAGAGUGUGAUUCACCCAUUUUACUUCGUAUGUUCAUUUGAAAUCUUCUAAAAAGACUUAUAUUCAGAAACAGAGGGAGUAAAUAAAGAUAGACUUACUACGAGACCAAGAAAAUAGGCCUAUGUACAAAUGACAUAUACGCCAAUAAGAAUCUAAGUAAAUAAAACGAAACUUCCAACUCAAAAAAAUAAAGAAAAAAGAAACUUGAACUAUAUUUACAUAUACAGAAACAAAAUGAUUACACAUUACAUAAUCUAUAUAUGGAAGGACUACAUGCUUCCCAUCGUGAUUGAACUCAUAAAUUUUCAUGAUAAAACAACUUUUUCCAAACUUACGGGUACAAUUUCCAUGAUUAAAGGAUACUUAGCUAAUAUAACCAUACAAAGGCAUGUCCUAACCUUGUACAAGAAUACAUGCAUUCUUGACCACAUGUUUGAAUUACAAAUAUAAUUUUGCGUAGAGAGAUAUUUAAACUUAAUGUUUUUAUAUAAUUUAUGAUCCGUACAUACCUUUAAGAUGUUCAACACGCCUUGCAAAUGAACUACAUUAUCUCAAUACCUAAUUUUUAAACUUAUGAUAUUAUAAGAUGUUCACUUUAAACAAAAAAAAAUGUAAAAUGAUGAAAUAUGGCUUCUAACAUAUGAAAAAUGUACGUAAAAACUAGUCGAGCAAAUGCGCGGGAAACUCCGCUAGUUCUUUAUCAUUGUAACACAAAAAAAUGUCACCUGCAUAAGAAUGUUAUUCAUGAUAAAGACAAGUGCACCAACACAUAAGUGUAACAACGGACUCCAUCAUACCACACGAAUCAUUAGGGCAUGAUGAUUGUAUAAUGGAAUGGCUAACCAUGGAAGGUUCUCGCAAGCUCUCAAUAACCAUCACAUGUAACAUGACAAAGAUAUAGCAUACACAUGCACAAGCAAGUCAAGUUAAUGUAUCUUGUUUAGAUUUGGCAUUAAUGAUCUUCUGAACCUUUGUGAGAAAACCGACAAAUAAAUCAGUAGCCACCAGGACGACCAUUCAACACCGAUCCGAGACAUCACUAGAAUAGCUCAACAACUGCUCGAGACGGUUGGCUAUACGGGGUAGCAUAACACUUACCACGCAGAACUCGAUAGCAGUGUUGUUAAGAAGAAUUUGGCGGCUGCCCAAGAUGAUUGGCUACAAAGAUCUCUUAUCACACGGAAGUUGGGAGUAGUGUCGAGAACAAUAAAGUUACCAACUGCCCAAGGUGGAUGGCUACAAAAAGAUCUUAUCACACAUGACCUGGGAGCUGUGUCGAGAAAACGAUUGGCUUCGAAGAUCUCUGAUCACAUAAAACUUGGGAGUAGUGCUAAUAACAAGAAGCUUCAACAACUGCAGAAGACGGUUGGCCACAGGUAGCACUUAUCACACAGAACUUGGGAGCAGUGUUGAAAAGAGAAACUUGACAAUUGCCCCAAGAUGGUUGGCUACGAAGAGAUCUUAUCACACAGGAGUUGCCAGCAGUGUCGAGAAAAAUAGAGUUAGUAGUUGCCCAAGACAAUUGGCUAGAAGGAGCUCUUAUGACACGAAACCUAGGAGAAGUGCCAACAAAAGAAAAACAAAGGUUCAUCCGAAUCAUGUCCAGUUUAUUAAGGUUCUUCUACAACUAUUUCGCACAUUGGAGAUCAUUUUCGUUCACAUGCAAGUCUGCAGGUUUUUUAUUAUAUUGGGUCGAAUAGUACCUAAAAAGUAAGAAUGCAUGCUACCAACAUUUAUACACAAGUAAACAUACACACAUUCGUCAUGCAUAAAUGCUUAUAAACCUAGGAGCAAUGCUUUGGGACAUAGAUUAGUUGGUUGGCUUGCCUUGCGGUGGAGGAUUCUUCAAAACGAGGUGCGGCCAUCUCGCGGAAAGGAUUCAUCGGAAAAGAGCUUUUUCGAAAAACCUAUAUGAAGAAGAAUAACAAAGGUGCCGUUUUAAGUCUGUAUAAACAUCAUGAAAAUGACGUGUUUAUAAUAUUCUCUUUGAAUGGAGAACAUGGGCGUUGGAAUCACCUCGAUCGGAGUUAUGAGCGAAAGUUAUGAAUGAUUCACCGCUAGGGACCUUUGUGUAACUAGCAUAAUGCUAGUGCGUUGUUACGAAACUUUAAAAUAGAACGAGUUAUGUCAUUGGUUAAGAGCAUAAUUUUUUUUGUUGGAGUUGCAUUUUUAUAUUUAGUAUUUGUGCAUUCUGCAAGUGUUGGUUCCACAAGAAAGUAUUCAUGUAUUUGCUCCAGUACGAGUGGUGAUCAGGCUUGCGUCACGGCAAACUCGUGCUCUGCCCUGUUCUUGCCCCUGUUCCUGUCGCCUUCCUCCACGUCUCGACGUCCCACUUUGUCCUGGAGGUAGCUCGUGAUCUUCUUCAGCUUCUGGUGCUGCCCCGCCUUAUCACGCCGACGUUUGGUCGCAAUCGCCAUGCCCGUGCCACAAACCACCUCUGUCCUCCAUUAGUGACCAGUCCAAGCUCUCCCGUGAGCUCUAGGAGCUUCUCCCGCGGCUAUAUAAGGACCCCCGAGGUUCUCCCGCAGCCCCCAAGCCUCUCCCCUUCCUCUUUAGUCCACAGGAGCAGCGGCAUCUCGCCGGAGUUCGUUGCCGUCCACCAUGGCCGCCUCGGCCUCGGCUUGGUUCCGACCACCUCGAGCCUCCACUCAUCCUCCUACCACGUCCACCGAGUCCCUCUCGUUCCACUCAGCCGCCCCACCCCCUUGCCCCCUCGCCGGAGUGCCCGCAUCGCCGGAGAACUCCACCGCCGCCGCCUCCCUGCCCUCCUCGGGUCGCCGCCCAUCGCCGCUGUCGCCCUUCAGCUGAACGGGUGCGGCGUGGCCCUGCACGCCCGCCGGUGGCCUCGGCUCGGCCGGAGGCCGCCUGAGCCGACCGGCCCCUCGCCGCCUCCCCUCCCCUGCUCCUCCUCUGUCUCGCACGGGAGAGCGGGAGGUAGAGGACGAGCGCCCGUGCCCCUCCCCCCCUGCGGCUGGGCCCCACCCGCAGUGGCACACCCCCUCCAUCCCACGUGGCAAGUGUAAGCGUACUUUCUGUACUUCGUUUUUCUUCACUGAAAGCGCACUUACCUUCGUCUUUCGCAGGUAGUACGGUUUCCUUCUAUGAAAACGUAUUUUCUGAAAAGGCGCGUUCUAUUUUUCCUCCCAGGGACCCGUUGGUCAUAAAUUUUUCUUAGAUUAGUCCCUGAUCUUCUACACCUCGUAACUUCGCGACCGUAACUCCGAUCGAGGUGAAACCAGCGCUCAUCGUCUCGUCGAGCUCUUUCUGUUGGUGCCAUUCUCAUAAGGUGUUCACACUGUGAAAAUGACCAUUUUGCCCUUGCCCCUAAUCAGCCCCCUCCAUGGGAGAACCCUUUCCGGCGAUUCCUUCCGCGAUCGUUCCACACUUCUGCCCGGAGCAUUCUUCACCCCCAGGUAAGCCACAACACCCACUUGCAUGAUGGCCAUGCUGUAGCCAUGGUUUUCAACUUGAAUAUUUAAUAAAUGUCUGCUUGUUUUGGAUACGGUUAUCGUUGUUUCGGUGAUGCUUAUGGAUUUGUGUUCACUUCCAUGCUAUGUUCUUAUGCACCUGGUUAUCAUGUACUAGUUGCUAGUAUUUCUGUCGUAUUUCAUGCUUGGUGGUAGUACAUGGUUGUGUUGGUAAUGUUCUUCGUUGCAUGACUAUGGUCAGUUACCAAGUACCGUUGAUACACAUGUUUCUUUGCAUCUAGUUGGUUAAAUGCUUACUUGAUAGUGUUAUUGCCAUAGUAUUUAUUUCUGAUGCUAGUGGUCAUGCUAUGCUUAUGGUAGAGUUAUGUUUGUGUUAUUCAUGCUCGUCCGUAUGUCAUGCCCAUUUGGAUAUAUGAUUUAUGGUUGUUGAUAGGCUUGAGGAUUAUGUUGCACAUCCAUGCUCGUGUUGGUAUCAUGCAUUGUAGUUGCAUCAUGUUAUUUUCAUAUGGCUCUUAUGACAUUCAAGUUUAACCGGACUCAAAUGAACUUGAACAACUGUUGGCUGAGGCAUGCUGCCAUCGAAUCGAGCUGACCAGUGGAACUACACUUGCCUUAUGGGGGGCUCCUAACUAGGUCUAUUGUCAUGCCUCUCGCCGGUGCCUCCAACGAGGGAAGGUUAUGCGCGGGCGCUACCUUGGCCGGGUAGGACGACAUAAGCCUUGUGAGCCCGAGUUUGGUUAUGUGCACAUGUCCCCGUUUUGGACCGUUUAUUGUUUUGCCAUGACGGUGGCAGUUGAUGCCUUUGGUAGGCACGGGGCCACCCAUGACUUAGCCCAAAGGAGAGUUGGUUGGAGUGGCCGGGAGAGUGCCAUGGCAGUAGAUCGGUUUUGUUGGAAUGCCGUUGGUCCACCCGAAUGGGAGUGCGAGGCCAUGGAUUCUGUGGUGUGGGUACAGUGUGCUAACCUCUGCAGAGUGUGUAUUAAAUCUAUCGAUAGUCGCGCCCGUGGAUAUGGGCCCAGUUCAUAGUCGGUCACACUAUGGGUCAAUACUACUAAUAAUAACUUGUUUAAUAACAACCCUGGUUCGAUGAUGAGAAAGAGAUUGGUUGUGACCGCGAGAGGAUCACCCUGGUAUCAUGGAUACUGAGUUGAUGGAUAUUUGUGAUGUUGUGCGACAGUCAAUGGUAAAGGUCAAGCUCCUUGUGGUCAUGUAAUGAUUACUACGGUAUGGUAAUACCAAGCUUGAUUGGAUCCUGAGAUGAUCGUGUGAUGUCCGUGAUGGUAAGCUGAUGUAUGUGAUGGUUACUAGGUAACCCGAGCAGAGUAAGUUGGUGCAUGAUAG